rnacentral:lncRNA from 1 species
CUGCCGGUCAAGAGAGGCGAUCCAGGAUGCCCAGUCAUCCCGCUCUCCAUCGGCAUGGUGGACUUCCCAGAAGCACUCUGCGACCUUGGCUGCAGCGUCAACAUUAUGCCCAGGGUACUCUAUGAAAAAUUCUUUACACAUCCUUUACUAGAAACAACCAUGUGUUUGUAGCCUACAGAUCAGACACUAAGUUUCCAAAAGGGAAUAUUGAAGAACCUCUGUGUCCGAGUUGGUACCUUGUACGCCCCUGCAGACUUCUUGGUAAUAGAGACUGGUACUGAUGAGAGGGCACCCAUCAUCCUAGGGAGGUCAUUCCUGAACACCUCAGGAGUUGUCAUCUAUGCUAGUGCUGCCAAGAUCAGUUUCUACAUCAAGGGGAGGAAGGAGACGUUUUCCUUCAAGAACAAGACUAUACAAGUCUCAGAGCAAUCCUGACAUGAAUCAAGCAAGAGGACCAACAGGAGGAACAGGAACAAGCAAAUGUGGACCAAGUCAGCUAAGAUGGUCACUGCAGUUCAAGGAGGUCAAGACCGUCGACUUAAGUCACCGUUCCUGACCAAAAAGGAUGACCCAGGUAUGCCAAGCAUCCAGUGCUCCAUUAAUGGAUACAACUUCCACAAGACGCUUUGCGACACCGGGUCAGGCAUCAACAUAAUGGCCGCAGUCACCUAUCAGCUCUUGUUCGGAACCAUGCCCCUAAAACCGACAUACAUUCAGCUCCAGAUGGUAGAUCUGACAUUCCGAACGGUUGAAGGUAUAGUAACUGAUGUACCUGUCAAAAUAGACAAUCAUUUUGUCCAUACAAAUUUUCAGGUUAUUGACAUGGGAGAAGACGAGUACGAUCCACUCAUCAUCCUUGGGAGACUGUUCCUCAGCACCGUUAAAGCAAUCAUCUACAUUGGAACCCGAGAAGUCCACAUGCACUUCCACUCUGAGAAGGUACGCCGCUAUUUUACUGACCUUAACUAUAUUGUUGAAGACUCUAAGCAGAUCAGGACAAGAAGAAGACGACGCAACCACAACCAGAGGAGGCAAAUCAUCAAGGACGGAUGAGCAGACUACGAAGAAGAAGUGGUAAGGUCUGAAGACAUACCGCUUCAACAGAACUGUCCUGAGGAGACCGUAGCACCGAGUCAGGUGUGGAGAGAGAAGAUAGUUAUACACGAAGAGGAGGCGCCGCCGGAACCACCGACUACGCCAUCCAGCGAAUCCCAGGACGACUGAGAAAACAGAGAGUCCCGUUCGGAGGACUUAAAAACACCAAACGCCUUGCCAAGAGGUAAACUUGGUAGUUAUCUUUUUUCCUUUCAACUAUUUAAAAUAGUUUGCUUAGUUAAUCAGGUUCAUAUCAUCUUGAAAAGAAAAUAAAAAUGUUAAAAAUAGUAAGCCCCAUGUGAGUAUGCUCAUGGCAUAAAACCCAUAAGUACAUUCACUGUGGUGGCAUAAAAAUAAAAUAAAUAUAUUCCUGUCCUAUAAAAAUAAAAAUAUAAAAAUAAAUUUAUGAUCCUACCAAAGAGUGUAACAUUUAUUGAGGAGGCUCAACAUGAUAAAGGCUAGAUAUUUAUGCUAACACUUAACUAGUUCCACAAAGCUUUGUUGUCUAUUUGAGCUCCAUAGAAUUCAAGUAUCAAAGAAGACUAGCAGACGAAGGACAUCCUAAUUUCUGUCAGGGUGUUGCCGACAUUCAAAUACACCUCCGCCACCUGCUAGCUAUAUCAGAAGAAAUUAUGUCAAAAUCCAGCUUGGGGGAGAGCACCCCCAUUUAUCCAGCUAAGUGUUUCUACUCACAUUUAUACUUUACUCAAAUAAUAAAAAGAUGCAUAAUCACAAAAACCCAAAUAAAGAUUUUGUGCUUAUAUAUAUAUAUCUCUUUACUUAGUUUGCUAAAUAAAUAAAUAAAUAAAGUUUGCUAUGAACCCUCAUGAUAAGCUCUCACAUGGAAAUGAUGAAUAGUUGCUCUGCCAUGACUAGUUCUCAAAAUUGAAAUCUCUCUCAAGUUUAGGCAUGACUGUUAUUAAAUAAGAUUUGCUCUAAACCUGAACUUGUGGAAGAGUACUUGAUCUAAAGUCUAAGUCGUUAACGGAUAUGAUAUGGGAAGGUUGAGCUACUGUUUAUCUGUUCCUAGAGAUGCUAGAAUUCUGGAGAAUUUUAUCUUUGAAAUUCUUUAAAAUGUUGCAUGAUGAGUUCCUAUAUGAUGAGAGUUUAAAAUCCUAUCAUAGCCAUAUAUACAUGCUAAUUAGACUAUGAACCAUACAUUUACUUUUUACUGCUUAUGAGCAUUGAGUGUGGCCAAGCUGUGUAGACCCUUAGGAGCUUGUCAUGUGGUUAAAAUCAAGAUUCACUUGCGCGUUCACUCAUACAUGCUGCUUCUACUCCGGAAGUACGCAUCCACAUGCAUCCACUCAUUUCCAUAUCUAGAUUCACCUAAAAUUAUUCUACUCCUAUCUAGGAGAGAAUAGCCAAAAACAUUAUCCUAUCCCUGUUAUUCCCCGUGAAAUAAAUGCUCGAGAUAUUUUGGUUACUACCACUUGCUACAUUAUUCCAGGAGGGUGAGUGCUCUAAAAAAAGUGAAUACGAGGAAAUUAAAAGGGGCAAGUGCCCGAAACCUCAAGAGAAAAAAAAAGAGAAAAAGUGAGACGAGGGGUAAAAAUGGACAAGUGUCCGACAGUAGAAUUAGGGGUAGAAGAUACCCACCUGAGAGAAAAGAAAAAUAAAAUAUAGAGCAUCUCAUUCCCCUCAAAAGUCUCAAGUGCAAGGAAGGUAUGUACCCCCUCAAAAGAGCAAAAGUAGAAUUAGACUUUCACCAUUAUUUUCACCAUUAUCUCCAUUCAUUCGCCACACAUGCACAUCUUGAUUUGACUUAUUGACUUGUUCUUCUGGAUCCAUGGUUUGACUAUGCAAUAAAUGUCCUGUAAGUAUGUAUUAGCUGUCUCCCACCUAUGAGCUCCAGAUAUCAAAACCUUAUUAGAGUUGGGUGAGAGAGAAGGCAAUGUCACUAUGCCUCAUACCAAAAAUACCACAUACUUUGAGAGAAGGCAUACACCAUUACUGCCUUGCUAAUGAUCCAAAAAUACCACAAAAGAGAGACUAGAGAGAGCCAUACAAGGAAUCUCUGAGUUUUAUUUCAAAAUCUAUAAAAACUCCAGAGCUAUAGUUAAUCGAAGAACAAGAGACAUGGCGCUUGACUAGACCGUUCUAUCUUUUAACUCCUCAAGACACAAGUGACGGUUGCAAGCCCCAUGGUGGAAGGAAAAAUGAGUAAGUUUAAGUCUUAACAGUUUACCCUAACCCAGAGAUGAGAUCUUGUUUCAACGCAUGUGUACCUUUAAGGCAUGAAACCACUGCAGAAACUCUUGAGUCCAUCCUUGCUCAGGGACGAGCAAAGGUUAAGCUUGGGGGAGCUUGUUGACGGUCCUUAAUGCUCACAUUUAACCGUCAACUAAUCAUGGAAAAGGACCUAUAUGAAACCAACACCCAGACUUAGGGUUUUAUCUGACAGAAUUCCACGAGUUUUGGUGUUCGUCUAUUUCUACAGUGGGUUAUCAGGAAACAUGGAGGAAAGGCUCACACGUCGGGUUUACAUAGAGAUAUUAAUGUGUGCGCUAAUUUUCUAUCAUCUAGAAGACUCUAGAAGCCACGGGAACGAACGGGAGGCCGAGCGGGCCCGGGGGCUGGGCGCCUGCCCUCACCCCUUGGGCGCCCGUCCUACCCUGGUGACCAAUCAGGGCAGGUCUCGCGGAUCGUGCUCCAUCACCUUUGAGGAUCAAGGAAAACAAUGCGAUUAAGGUCGGUUUGAUCCGACGGCCCACGUUCAUUUGGAAGGGCUGUAUAAGCAGGCCUCUGGCCCCUGGAGAACAUACCUCUUCUACAGAAUCAAAGCUAGGGUUUCAAUUAUUCAUCCAAGUAGAGAGGAUCCCUCUAGUUCAUCUAGUUCUAGUUCUAGUUCAUCUAUUUCUAGUUCUAGUUAGUUCUAGUUGUAAUCUAGAAAAUAGGGUGAGAGAAGAGGAGAGCGGAGGAGGAGCCAGAUCUGUCGGAUCUUCCUAACAUUGUACUUUUGCAGCAACUGGUUCGUUCUUCAUCGUUCUCCAAGUUCUUCAAUUCAUAAUUCCUGAGUUCUUUAAUUACUUUUAUUUACAUUCAAGUUAUUUAUUGGAUUCCCACUUGCAUCAAGUGCUCUAGUCUUUGAAACGCUAGAGUAGUAAUUAAUAGAUUAGACAUGGUGUUUAGUCUUGCUAUUACCUGGAAUUGCACCCAAUCCUACGGAUUGUUGUGGUAGCCCUAGGGUAGUGAUAGCCCUAACGGUCGACGUAUUCCACCUUGUUUGGAUCGAUGUUUGUAGGACCGAAGUUAGAGCUUCCUAGCCCCCUUCUCAUCUCUUUCUGUGGUUAGUGUUCUGAUGUCCCGAAAUAAAUAAUCUUUGAAGUAAUUCUUGAUUCUUAGAUCAACUAGAGAACUCUCAGGAAACUUCCUCUCUUCCCUCCAAAAAUAAUUAUAUAGUUAUCCUUGGGCGAUCUUGAAUCUGAAUUAGUACACUCAUGUUCCCUGUGGAAAAUCGAUACUCUGGCGUACUCCCGGGUGAAAGCUACAUCGGUAUCCAUGCGCUUGCGGAUUUUUCUGUUUGCGUUUAAAAUAUCCAACACCUAGCACGAAGAAUGAGCAUGGUGAUCCAAUGUGCAUAGGGUAGCUGACGUCGACCCCUGAAGCCCUCAGCUAUGGUGUCCUCAAUCUCUGACACUAUCAGAUCCCACAAGUCAAAGGCCUCUGAGCAAUCAGGUGAGCUAUGAGCCACUGUUGAAUCCUGGUGAAUCCAUCCCUGUAGCCCUACCUGGGGAGAAGUGUCUUCCUCAUCACGAAGUCGAGGAUCCGACCUGUGCGUGUAAGAUUGCCCACUGUCCUACUAGAGCCCUCACCAAAAGGCUGACUAAAGCACGGUGCAACAAAAUCAACAGGAGGAAGUGCACCACCGUGUGGUCGUCGAGGGGGCUCAAAGUCGCCAUAGCACAACUCAUGGAUCUUGGUGUCAUAUGCUGUCAACUCCCAAGUCCCUCUGGCCCUCUGAGCUGUUACCCUAUAGUCUGUGCCUGCCAAUGCGUAGUGGAUAUAAAUGUGAUCUGGAGCAACCCACACUGAAGCGAAGAACUCACGUACCCACUCCUCAACAUAUGUACCUGGCAGAGCAAGCAGACAUGGGAGACCUGGUAGAUAAGUGUACUACCUGAUGUCCGCACCUACCACGUUCCCUAGCAUCUCAAGGUCUAGCACCCUGUGUCCCCUGAACUAAGUCUCAGCAUGGACAAAUGCCAUAUACAUGUCCUCCUAAACAACUAUGUAGAAUCUGGCAUGUGCCCUCUGAUCUCGGGCUACUGGAAACCAGUUGGGGAAGGGAGCAAACCUCAACCCCUGGAUCUCACGAGUAGGUGCACGUGUGUAGUCCUUGUGGAUCCAGACUAGAGCUGGGCGUCGAGCUAGGGUGCUGCCUGCUGGGGUGGAGUGAGUAGACGAGGUGGACUGACGCUGCGUACGAGUCCUAGAGGCUGCCUGGGUAUGAGUGCGAGUCGACCUCCGAAGGGGCUGCUCCUAUUGCUGAACCUCUGCUUGGCCCUCUACUUGGGCCUCUACCUCUAUCUUAGGCUCCUCAGUCUCCACCUCUGUCUUGGGCUCCUCCUGUCCAGGCUCAUUGACAUUGAUCCUGACACGACGACCUCCUAGCAUGAUCGUGCCAGAUGGAGUCCCAUGUCGCUGCUCAACCUGAAGCACUGCACGGCUCUUAGGUGGCGUGAGGUCUGACCCGAUCCUCAGAUUACCUGAGCGACCACCCCACUAAGCUGCCUCUGCUGCUGCUGCCCCUGCCUUUGCUACCUCAGCUUCUCUGUCACUGGCCUUCCUCUUAUUGGUCAUAACCUUCUUCCCCUUGCCCUUCUCUACAGCUAUUGGACGACGGGGCCUGUCAUCUCCCCCAUCGCCACCUAGUGUGCCACCACUACUGGCUGUUGGACCACUGACGUUCUUGCAACAUGACAUUGCAAGAAACUAAACCUGAAAAACUGCCAACAACUGAUAGACUGACACUCGAGAGGCUUGGCCUCAAACCGUACUCGCGGGCUUGGCCCCGAGUUCAACUGACACUGACAACUGACAAGCAGAAACCAACGUGCUGCAAGAGAUGGAAUAGAUAGGGUAUAUAAGCACACAUAAUAGCUAGAGACAAGAAAACCCUAUAGAUCGCAAGAUAUAGAUAAGAAUGGACAUGAACUGCUUACGAUCGGUUCGGCGAGAUGCGUUCUGGAUGAAGUAUCGAGAUCAAGGAUUGUCGGAGAGCACAAACCAAUUUCACAAGAUGCUACAUGGGUAGAACAAAUGAAAUCGUCAUCAAAAACAACAAUUUAUUCCAUUCAAACAUAGAAUCGAGCACCUUGUGGGCAAAGGUUAAAGCACUCACCCCAAAACUCUAGAACCCUAUGCGACAACAGGGUUGAGCGCAGAGGAGAAAGGGUAGAGGCACAGGGGCGAGAUCUGAUGCAGGGAGAACGAAGAUCGCUGGAGAAAGCUGGAAUCCUGUGGCGGCGGUGAUUUCCUCGGCGAGUUAGGGCUUGGUUCUGCAGCUGGCGGAUCGAGAUAAAGAAAAGAACUCGGCCAGAGAAAACCUGUACGCUCGGGGUUAUAUCCGCUGACUGUGGGGGCACCGAACGCUCUUAAGUUGUCACAGGACGCGUCCGGUGCCAACCGGUCUUAAACACAAAGAGCUCCACAAAACGUUCGAGCACCUAACGAUGGCCAACGGAUGCUCGCCUAGUGUCCGGUGCCACAGGGCACCCCUCGGUGAGUCACCGGACGCACGUCACCAAACGCGCUCAGCGCACUGUGCGCGAGUUCUGUGAGUGCAGACCUAGACACCCACCACACUAGACACAUUGGGGGUGCGUCUUAUGUAGCGUCCGGUGCACCAUUAACCCAAAGUUUCAACAGAGAACUGACCCGACUUUCACCCAACCAAUUUCCAACUUCAAGAAGGCUCAAAUAAACACAAAUUGGAACUGGUAUGAGUGAUCUCUGUAACAGAACCGCCCAAAUUAUGAGAUUAAGCCUAAUAGUGACCAUCUGCACAGUCAAACCAUUGAGCUUAAGCCCAUAUAAUCCCAGUAGUCUGUGAAAUCUCAAAGGAUUUCAAACCACAAAUCGUACGUACAGCCAAGAUCAUAAUAAGUUCAGCGGUCACCAUUCACAAUUACAUCUAGUUCGCGUCAUUCAUCAAAUACAUCGGAGUUACUUAAAGUUAUUACAACCCAAGUUCUCAAGUAGCGGAAGCUUCAUAGUUUGAAAGUAACACACACACAUUUAGUCUGAUACAGUGCCAUAGUUGAUCAUUCCCACAAAAGCAAAAGAGAAGGUAGAGUGACCAUCGCCCUUGGUCUAGUCAUCACCCAUUGUUGGGUACAAGCAGAGAAUGCAAUAACCAUAGUACAUCUGCCCAUCUGCAAAACAACAUGGAAAUGGAACCCUGAGUAUGAGAUUGUACUCAGCUAGACUAACUCGUCAUAGACCAAGACUCUUCAAGGAUCAUGUAGGCUGUAUGGUGGGAUAGCUGAGACUUUUUGCAUAAAAGCAUUAUUCCACUAAAAUAUAGCCUAAUAACCUUUCUUUUUUUAUUAGCUCAAGUUCAAUAUUAUCAUCACCUAUUAUCUAGGUUUGCACCUGUACUAUUGCAAACAAGUGUGGUGAUAUGAUGGUGCCUCAUCAUAGCAUUCAUAAACCAUUUAUCUUCAUAACCUAAGUGUUCCAUAGUCCUUACUACGAGGACGAAGCUCAUGUCAAGUGCUCACUAUCCAGGAGCGAUGGCAAUUUGAAUCGAUUUCUAACCAGCUGACGAGUUUAUUCCUCCACACAACCCACACUCACUGAUCAAGUGAGCUACAGAUCAUCGUAUUGCACUAUCCAGGACCAAUUCGCGGGUUCGACAGGCACCGCCCGUACCCGAGGACCGUUCCGGUGACCGAGGUAUCCAAGGUAUACCAAGGUUGCGCGCCGCGCCCUCGUCGUUCUCCUCAACCAUCACCAAUACAGCGCAUACAUCAGGCCGAUUCCCGGCCCGGAUAGUGCCCAGGCUUCGCGGUCGGAACGACUUAUCCUUCCAGCUAAGUGUGGGGCAUGCGUUCAACAUGACAAGAGGGCCGUCAACGAUCGGUCCUUAAUUGACACAGGCAGGGGCACUACGGUCAACUUCACCAUAAGACCCUGCCCGGUCUCAAAUUCAUUACCACACUUGGUUACUUUUCCUCAAAGCAUUAUCAGCUAAACAACCAGGUGCCCACCUAUAUCUCGCAGGUGACAGGAAAUCACCCGACUUCUACCGUUCUAAGCGAGAUAAGAAACACACCCGAGCCUAUCUACAUAGGACAAGGUAGAUAAACAAGUGGUGAUAUCAAGGAGUAUAUAUGCAUCAAUGGUAUCAAGCAAUUUCUAUCACUUAAAUGCAACAUAGUAGAACAAGCAUAACAUAUCAUUAAGUUAGCAAGAAUAGGGAGACUUAGAAUGCUCCGGGGCUUGCCUUUCUCAAACGUGCUCGGCUUGUGGUCUGGGCACUCCUGCAGCUCUUCUCCGGGCUCUGGUCCUCCCAGAAGUUCCUGCUCCUGGGUCUCCUCCUGCUCCUCGGGUCCCACCUCGUUCUCCUGCGAGCCUGUAUGAUGCAUGUGUUCUCAUGAGUGGAGUGCGAGAUGCCCGGGGUGCAAUGCUUAUGCAAGUGAUUACCCGAUGACCAUGACAUGGUGCAUAGAUGACAUAGGUGGUUAUUUCUAAAAGGUAGUCAACAUCAUCCAAGAACAUGUACUCAAAUUAAGCAACUAUUGCAUUCUCUUCUACAGUUGCCUCCAUGGUUAACCAGCAAGCUAACAUGAUGCUUCAAAGAUACACCAAACACCCUUUUAUUCUAUUUAAUUUAUGCACAACAAUUCAUAAUUUAUUUAAUCAUUAUUGGAUCUACAAAAGUAGCAUAUGUUUCUGUAAAUCAAUAAAUGCCACAAAAAUUACAGCAGAUCACCAGUCAACCAUAAAGUCUACCAUAAAUUUUUCAUAAUAUUUGGACACUUAUUUUGGGCUACAAAAAUUACAAGGUUAUUCAAUAUAAUUAGGUAUAAAUACCCUACUGUUGACCAAGUGUCAAACAACCGAUUUCAAAAUUUUAUAAAUUACUUAUCAACAUAAGAAACACCCACAAAAAUUUCCAGAUUAAUUGCAUGAUCCAAUUAUUUAUUAAAAAUCAUAAACCACUGCCAUGCAAGCAUUUAAAUCACCAUAAAUUAAUUUCAUCAGCAAAUAAUAUGUGACAUAUUUUUCCCAGAGACUAAUCCUCCAUGCAAAGCCAACAAAAUAAGUUUCACAUUUUUCUAAGUUAUAUUUUAAUUACUAUGCAUUUCCCAAUUUUCAACAAAAACAUGGAUUAAAUAUAUUUGUACAGAAAAGUUGUUCCAACAUAACAUGCAACCAUACCAAACUGUAGAACUAGAAUUAUAGAACACACCACAAUUUAUUUCAUCAUUUUUGGAGCCAUAUAUCUCAAGAUAUGGAUUUUAUACUAUUUAAACCAUUUUCUGGAAAACCUUUUAAAACGAAAAUCGAGUUAAAACGCUAAGGGCACCAGGAUUCAAACCCGCAGAGCCACUGAUAGGCGGGUCCCGUGGGUCAGCCGAACCCACUUGUCGGCCACCCCGACUGCCCGCGGCCAAAGACUCACCGGAAUCUCACCGCCGGUGAGGUCUCCAGCGACACCAAGGGGCUCUACGGCUUCGCGGAUGCGAGACGAAUCAAACCAUGCCCUUUUUGGCGCCUACCAAGCAGCGGAAUCACCUCACCAUCGAGAAUGGCGGAUGCGGCGGCGCGGCUCGCCGUGGUCCGGCCACCUCGCGACGGUAGAGCGCGCGCUAACAACUGGAACAGGUGCGCAAAGCCAAGGCAAAGCUAACGUGCCUAAAAUGCAGGAAAUGGCGGAGAGGGAGAGCCGCGCGGACCGAGGGGUCGCCGGAGCUCCGACUCACUCCGGUGAGCUCUACCGGACGCGCGGGACUCACCGAGCGCGAUUGAGCGCGAGCACGGGGUGCGGAAGGAUGAGGCGGAGGUGUUGGUGCUCGCGGAGAGGAGGGAGAAGGUCGGAGCUGGCUAGGAGAUGUCGGCGGCGAUGGUGCGCGGCGGAGCGGUAGCUGCUGCGCGCGAGCGAGAGAGAGGGCGAGAGCGCGAGCGGAGAGGCGCAAAUGGUAGCGGGGACACAGGCGGACGCUGCCGGGUGCUCCUGGUGGCCGACCGGGGCGCGUCGAGGCUGCCGCAUGCUCGCCACGCUGCGGCCGAGCUCUGCCGGCGCGCCACGGCGGCACAGCGCGGCCGUCCGCGCGCGGGCACGGCACGGGCGCGGGGAAGGGGGCGAGCGCGGACGGGCUGGGCCGGCUUCGGCAAGUGGGCCAGAAGUGAGGCCGCGGCCUCCUAGCGCCCCCCUUUCCUUUUUCUAUUUUUUUUUUGAAAUUCUUUUCUCAAAUCUUUUUCUAAAUUUAUUUGGACUAUCUUAAAACCCUUUUCACCUUUUGCUCCCAAAACAAAAGUUGUUCUAAAUAAAAAGUUCUACAACUUUGUUUCAAGUUGUAUUUCCAAUUUCCCAAUAGAAUCUGAAUUACCACUUAAAACUAGUUCUAGGUUUUCAUAUAAAUUCAUUUUAGGGAAUUAUGUAUAAAAUCCAUUUCUCAAUUCCUAUAGCUCCAAAAAUUUCACAAAAUUACUCUUAAUUCUUCUAACACAUAUUUCAACCUAAUUUGGGCAUUUCAAGAAACUUAGAAGCAAGCAUAAUAUUUUUACCAUAUUUAAUUCACAUAAAAUAAAGCACAUAAAAUCACACUUGAAUGAAUAACAUGCCUAUGUGAUGCUAUGCUUGAUGAGAAUGAUUAUGGAUGGUUUAUGAGACUAAGUAUAUGCUUAACACCUAGGGUGUUACAGCCCCUCCCCCCUUAGAGAAAUCUCGUCCCGAGAUUUUGGGUUACUAACCAUUUCUUAUGAAAUUUUGGAUAAACUGUUUUUAGGUAAUCCUUGGUUUCCCAGGUGGCAUCUCUAUCAUCAUGAUGACUCCACACCACCCUAUAUGUUUUGACAACUCUGUUCCGAGUUACCUGCUCCUUGGUAUCUAUGAUGCCCACUGGCUGCUCUUUAUAUUCCAAGUCUGCUUUUAGUUUGAUUCCUCGUGGUUCAAUCCUUUGCUCGAGUACUUUCAAACAUUUCCUCAACUGGGAUACAUGAAAAACUGGAAAGAUUGAGCUCAACUCUUCAGGUAACUGAACCUUGUAGGCCACAGGGCCUUUCCGCUCUAGUAUCUGAUACGGCCCCACAUAACUAGGCGCAAGCUUGCUUCUAACUCGAAAGCGUUGAACUUUCAUCGGUGUAACCUUGAGGUAUAUGUAGUCUCCCACUUUAAACUCAAGGGGUCUUCUUCUUUUGCCAGCAUAGCUUUUCUGUCGUGAUUGUGCCACUCUCAUGUGUUGUUGUAUGAUGUGCACCUUCUUCUCAGCUUCGUUCACGAAGUCGAUACCAUAGUUUCUUCUUUCACCGGGUUCGACCCAGUUUAACGGAGUCCUGCAUCUUCGACCAUACAAAGCUUCGAACAGAGCCAUCUUGAUACUCUCCUGGUAGCUAUUGUUAUAUGAAAAUUCAGCCAAGGCCAACCAUGAUUCCCAUGAUCCCUUGGAUGAUAACACACAAGCCCUUAGCAUAUCUUGGAGCACUUGAUUGAGGCUUUCCGUUUGACACGAGGUUUGGGGAUGAUAUGCGGUGCUUCUUAUCAGACUAGUCCCCAAACUCUUAUGCAUUCGCUCCCAAAAAUGAGCGGUGAAUUGCGGUCCUCUAUCUGAUAUGAUGGUCUUGGGAAUACCAUGUAUCCUGACGAUCUCAGCCAUGUAUAUAUCAGCAUACUCAGGAGGUCUGUACGUGUUUUUAACUGGAAUGAAAUGAGCUGACUUGGUCAAUCGAUCUAUGAUUAACGAAAUCGAGUCAUUCCCCUUUCGGGUUGUCGGCAAACCUGUGAUAAAGUCCAUGCUAACCUCUUCCCACUUCCACUCCGAAACCGACAAUGGUUGCAACAGACCUGCAGGUUUCAUAUGUAUAGCCUUGACUCUUCAACAUGUGUCACAACGGGCCACAUAUGCUGCUAUUUCUUUCUUCAUUUUGGUCCACCAAAAGUGAGACCUCAGGUCUUGAUACAUCUUGCUACUGCCAGGAUGGAUAGAAAGUUUUGAGAGAUGCGCUUCAUCCAUGAUGCGAUUCUUUAGCUCUCGAUUUUUCAGAACUACCAACCGGUGCGGAAACCACAAUACCCCUUUCUCAUCAACUCGGAACUGAGUCUUUGGGUCGUCUUUGAUCUUCUCUUUGAUGUGGAAAAUACCCUUAUUUGUUUUUUGACCUUCGAUGACCUGACUUUCAAGUGAACGACUGAGCUGUAUGUGACAUAAGACUUCAGGAUGCAUGAGGUUGAAACCAUCUUCAAAUAAUAGUUGAACUACUUGAUAGUGUGGUUUGCGACUUAAGGCGUCUGCUACCACAUUAGCCUUGCCUGGAUGAUAGUGGACCUCCAGAUCGUAAUCCUUGAUCAGCUCUAACCAUCUUUGCUGCCACAUAUUUAGCUUGGACUGAGUGAAGAUGUACUUUUGACUUUUAUGAUCUGUGUAGAUAUGACACUUGUUUCCUAGCAGAUAGUGCCUCCAGAUCUUCAGAGCGUGCACUACUGCUGCUAGCUCGAGGUCAUGAGUCAGGUAGUUGACUUCAUGCUUCCUCAACUGUCGUGAAGCCUAAGCUACAACUCUGCCUUCUUGCAUCAACACACAUCCUAAACCACUUUUUGAUGCGUCACAAAACACAUCAAAAGGCUUCUCAAUAUUGGGUUGCGCUAGAACGGGAGCGGUGGUCAGCAACUUUCGCAAACUGCGAAGGCUAUUUCACACCCUUCCGUCCAGACAAACUUAUGAUCCUUUUGUAGCAAACUAGUCAUUGGCUUAGCAAUCUUGGAGAAGUCGGGUAUGAAACGACGAUAAUACCCAGCCAGACCAAGAAAACUCCGAACUUCCGAGACAGAAGUUGGUGCCUUCCAGUCCAUGACUUCCUGUACCUUUGACGGAUCCACAGCAAUCCCUUCUUCAGACAGAAUGUGCCCUAGGAAAGGAACUUUCUUCAGCCAGAACUCGCACUUGCUGAACUUUGCAUACAACUGAUGCUCUCAUAAUCGCGUUAGCACGACUUAGAUGCUCGGCGUGAUCUUGCUCAUUCUCUAAAUAGACCAGAAUGUCAUCGAUGAACACCACAACAAACUUGUCUAACUAUGGCAUAAAGACCGAGUUCAUCAGAUACAUAAAGUAUUCAGGAGCAUUUGUCAACCCAAAGGACAUGACAAGAUAUUCAUACAACCCAUAUCUGGUGGAGAAAGCAGUCUUUGGUAUAUCUUGCGGACGGAUCUUGAUUUGGUGAUACCCGGACCUCAAAUCUAUCUUGGAAAAUACUUUUGCCUUGGACAACUGAUCAAACAAGAUAUCAAUCCUUGGCAGUGGAUACUUAUUCUUAAUCGUUACCGCAUUGAGUGGACGAUAGUGCACGCACAUGCGCAGCGAUUGAUCCUUCUUUUUCACAAACAACGCCGGACAACCCCAUUCCGACGAACUUGGCCGAUGAACCCUUUAUCCAGUAACUCCUUUAGUUGAUUCUUCAAUUCAGCGAGCUCAUUAGGCGGCAUCCGGUACAGUCUUCUAGAGAUUGGUGCGGUACCUGGUAUCAACUCUAAUGCAAAUUCCACUUCCCUAUCCGGGGGAAGUCUGGGCAACUCUUUGGGAAAAACAUCAGGGAACUCACAGACCACGGUAUAUGUUCUAGAGGAACCACCUGUACUGCACACGAGAGACUGGCGAAGUCUAACCGUCGGGGUAGCCUGACCUGAAGCAUACCCUCCCACUGCGGGUCUUUAAGGGAGAGUGUUCUAUGUCCAGCAUCUAUAACUGCACCCCAGUCAUUCAUCUUAUUCAUUCCAAUGAUAACAUCCAAAACCAGCCCUCGCAUGACCACAAGGUUUACACAAAACCUUCCGCCACUGAUAUCCAAGGUAACCCCCGUUACUGCUUUGUUAGUCAACACAUCAGCCCCUGCUGAACUGAUGCGAUAACCAUAACCCAACUCGGUAACUGGUUGGUCAUGUUUUUGUGCAAAUGCUUGGCUCAUGAAUGAAUGCGAUGAUCCAGAAUCAAACAAAACCACUGCAAGAUGUUGGUUGAUAGGAAACAUACCAGCUGUUACCGGUUCUCCUUCCGGGAUCUCCUCUAUCGAGGUAUGGUGCACACGGGCUGGCUAGGUUGCCUGUUGCUUCUUGGGGUAGGGGCAUUCCUUAGCAAAGUGCCCCAUCAUGUGGUAGUUGUAGCACGGCCCCUUGGUCAUGUUGUUGGCGGCAGGUGCUGCAGCUUGAAUUGCCUUUGGCUUGGCAGGAGUUAUUGCCACCAUGUAUGGUUUCUACUGUGUUGGAUGCCCUAUGUUCCUUCUCUGCAGCGGUCGGAACCAAGCACCUAGGGCAGGAGGACGAUACUGCUGACGUUCUGCCACUAGUGCCCUGGACUGAGAUGAUCCAACUUCAAAAGCCCUCUUGCGAGAUUUGGAUGCACUAUAGUUGUUAUUAUUGUUCUCCUAGGUCAGACAGUCACUGAUGUAGGCAUUGAAGGUAGCCCGGGUUCCUGUACCCAUGGUCUUCAACAUCUUUGGGCUCAAGCCUCUCUGGAAACUAGCGAUCUCCUUCACCUCUGUGUUCACAAACUCGGGAGCAAAACGAGCAAGAUUGUUAAAAGCGUGCAGAUACUCCUUCACAGACUUCGUUCCCUGGGACAGCCUCAUGAACUCCCCAACCAUCAUUUCCACCACACCUGGAGGAAUAUAAUUCCCCCGAAAAGCAGUGGUGAAGCGGUUCUAGGUGAUCGGGGUCCCCUCUGGGUAGGUGGUGCGAUGAUGGGACCACAUAUCCGAGCAGGCCCCAGCAACUGAUGCGCCUCGUACUCGGCCUUGAGCUCUUCGGUCCUCCAAAGAAGACGGAACUUUUGCUCCAUAGUGUUAUUCCAUUCGUCUGCCUCAAGUGGUUCCAAGGCCUCCUUGAAGACUGGUGGUUUAGUAUCCAUGAGGUCCUUGAAAGAGCUGUACUGAUUGGCUUCAUGGCCGCCCUGGUUAUCCCCACGGCGAGUGUUGUCAGCGAUAUUACGCAGGGCUUCUUCCAUGUUGCGCUGCAUCUGCUUCAUGUUGCAUUGGCUCCCCAGAAACUGUGCGAAAAACACAUCAGCGGUGUACGGAGGAGGGGAUGGUGGUGGCGGUGAUGGUGCUCUCUCCUCAUUCCUUUGAGCCCCAACUCCGGAAGUACCUGCUCCAAGACCGGGGUUGCUGUUACCCCCACCACGGGUUUGCACCAUCUGCAUGUGUCAAUGAUAAGCAGUCGUUAGGAGCUGUUAUCGACGGGUAGACAUAUGCAGAAUCAUGCCGUACUGAAUUUACUGAGGAAAUAAAUUUGCACAAUAAAUAGAGGCACAACAAUUCAUCAUCCACAUACAACAUCGCUAAAGGAUUACUUAACAUUCGAGCAACAAGGUUCGCAUAGAUCCAAAAUUGCCAACAUACAUACACUGGACUUUCAGCGUCAUCGCAUAAUGUUUUACACAUCCAAGAUCCACAGACUACAAGACAUGCCAUGCAACAACAAUAGCAAAAGAAGGACUAGCUCUAUAGCUCUAGCAUCUACUCGCUAUGGUCACUGUCCAUGCCGGAGCCUUCUUCGUCCUCAUCUCCACUAGCGGCUGCCUCCAACUCUGGAUCCUCAUCCAUCUCGUCCUCUGAGUCUAACUCAGCUGCUCCAGGCAGGUGGCGAGGGUCGAGCUGGUUAUGCAGCUGGUGGAUCUCCUCAUGCAGGUUCUCAUUGUACUCCUCAGCAUUAGCUAGCUGCUGCUCAAGCUCUAGUUGUCGGGCCCUCAGGGUGUCCUCCUCGUGCCAGGCUUCAUUCCUCUGACCAAGCACAUGAACUAGCAUUUGCUCGCAGUACCUGUGAGCGGUGGUCAUCCUGUCCCUCUGCUCUCUAACUACGAGCAGGUCCUAAUUCAGCUCACUGUUCUUCUAGACUACCUGAUCCCUCUCCAAAGUCACACGGGCUAACUUUGCCUACAGCCUCUCAACCUCAGUGUCAAACUCGCACUGUAGCUGGCGCUUCUCAUCCUGAACUAUGAGAUGGGACCCAGACAAGCGUCCCAAACAACGCUCCAGACCCCCAUAGGUCUUCAUCAAGGCGAACAUAGCACUCAUAGUUGCGCUGUCAAUGUGCUGAUCCUCAUCCGCACUCCUCUCUAGAGCGUUCACCUCGGACUGAUCCCACACCGUAGUGUAGGGGUCACCCUGGGGAAACACCCCAGCGAAGGCGUGGGCCAGCUCCUGUGGGAACCUCUCCAUGAUGUCCCUCAGAACUGCAAAAGCUACUCUGCUGGCACCCUGGAAAGGCGUGGUACCUUGAGACUCAAACACCCAGCCGCCCCAGGUGGGGUCACCUCCACUGGUAGGGACCACUGCCUCGACCCCCACCAAGGUCCCGUCACCAAGCUGCUCCUUGUUCCAACAGUAGCGAGGUUCCCUUCCUUCGGGAUACCCCAUCGAACUGAGCACCCUCCAAAGCAAGGUGGGCAUCCCAAACUCCUCUAGGAACUUGCUCUUAUGACGCGAGCUCCUAGGUACCAACUGAUGGCGAGGGGCCCGCCCACCAGUGGACUUGCAAGCGGUGAGCCUAGUGCGCGCCAUCUACUGAAAAUAGAAUACCUUGGGUAAGAUUGAGGAUUAUCUUUUAUUAUCUUAAUUGAAAUUGGGAUAGAUUUAAUUAAUGGGAGGAAGUAAGCAAUGAUAUGGAAUGAACAUGAUGCAUGGACGAACUUACGAUCUCACAAACUUAGAAACAAGAGUUAACACUAAUCGGUUUAUGCGGUGGCACACAACGUUCUCUCAUAACGUAACUAGCGUUCUAGGCGAGAACGUGGUUAGCGUACUCUGUCACUGGCCUCUGCUACCUCAGCUUCUCUGUCACUGGCCUUCCUCUUCUUGGUCAUAACCCUCUUCCCCUUGCCCUUCUCUGCAGCUGUCAGACGAUGGGGCCUGUCAUCUCCCCCAUCGCCACCUAGUGUGCCACCACUGCUGGCUGUUGGACCAUUGACGUUCUUGCAACAUGCCAUUGCAAGAAACUAAACCUAAAAAACUGCCAACAACUGAUAGACUGACACUCGAGAGGCUUGGCCUCAAACCGUACUCGCGGGCUUGGCCCCGAGUUCAACUGACACUGACAACUAACAAGCAGUAACCAACGUGCUGCAAGAGAUGGAUUAGAUAGGGUAUAUAAGCACACAUAAUAGCUAGAGACAAGAAAACCCUAUAGAUCGCAAGAUAUAGAUAACAAUGGAUCGAGAUCGAGGAUUGUCGGAGAGAACAAACCAAUUUCACAAGAUGCUACAUGGGUAGAACGAAUGAAAUCGUCAUAAAAAACAAUAAUUUAAUCCAUUCACACAUAGAAUCGAGCACCUUGUGGGCAAAAGUUAAAGCACUCACCCCAAAAGUCUAGAACCCUGUGCGAGAACGGGUUUGAGCGCAGAGGAGAAAGGGAAUAGGCACAGGUGCGAGAUCUGAUGUAGGGAGGAUGAAGAUCGCUGGAGAAAGCUCGAAUCCUGUGGCGGCGGUUAUUUUCUCGGUGAGUUAGGGCUUGGUUCUGCAGCUGGCGAAUCGAGAGAAAGAAAAGAACUCGGUUGGAGAAAACCUACAGGCUUGGGGUUAUAUCCGCUGACUGCGGGGCACCGGACGCUCUUAAGUUGUCACCGGACGCGUCCGAUGCCCACCGGUCUUAAACACAAAGAGCUCCACAAAACGUCCGAGCAUCGAACGAUGGCCACCGGAUGCUCGCCUAGCGUCCGGUGCCACAGGGCACCCCUUGGUGAGUCACCGGACGCACGUCACCGGACACGCUCAGCGCACUGUGCACGAUUCCGGUGAGUGCAGACCUGGACAACCACCACACCAAACGCACUGGGGGUGCGUCUGAUGCAGCGUCCGGUGCACCAUUAACCCAAAGUUUCAACAGAGAACUCGCCUGACUUUCAACCAACCAAUUUCCAACUUCAAGAAGACUCAAAUAAACACAAAUUGGAACUGGUAUGAGUGACCUCUGUAACAGAACCGCCCAAAUUAUAAGAGAUUGAGCCUAAAAGUGACCAUCUGCACAGUCAAACCAUCGAGCUUAAGCCCAUCUCGGUAGUCCGUGAAAUCUCGAAGGAUUUCAAACCAUAAAUCGUACGUACAACCAAGAUCGUAAUAAGUUCAGCGGUCACCAUUCACAAUUACAUCCAGUUCACGUCAUUUAUCAAAUACAUCAGAGUUACUUAAAGUUAUUACAACCCAAGUUCUCAAGUAGCGGAAGCUUCAUAGUUUGAAAGUAACACACACACAUUCAGUCCGAUAUAGUGCCAUAGUUGAUCAUUCCCACAAAAGCAAAAGAGAAGGUAGAGUGACCAUCGCCCUUGGUCUAGUCAUCACCCAUUGUUGGGUACAAGCAGAGAAUGCAAUAACCAUAGUACAUCUGCCCAUCUGCAAAACAACAUGGAAAUGGAACCCUGAGUAUGAGAUUGUACUCAGCUAGACUAACUCGUCAUAGACCAAGACUCUUCAAGGAUCAUGUAGGCUGUAUGGUGGGAUAGCUGAGACUUUUUGCAUAAAAGCAUUAUUCCACUAAAAUAUAGCCUAAUAACCUUUCUUUUUUUAUUAGCUCAAGUUCAAUAUUAUCAUCACCUAUUAUCUAGGUUUGCACCUGUACUAUUGCAAACAAGUGUGGUGAUAUGAUGGUACCUCAUCAUAGCAUUCAUAAACCAUUUAUCUUCAUAACCUAAGUGUUCCAUAGUCCUUACUACGAGGACGAAGCUCAUGUCAAGUGCUCACUAUCCAGGAGCGAUGGCAAUUUGAAUCGAUUUCUAACCAGCUGACGAGUUUAUUCCUCCACACAACCCACACUCACUGAUCAAGUGAGCUACAGAUCAUCGUAUUGCACUAUCCAGGACCAAUUCGCGGGUUCGACAGGCACCGCCCGUACCCGAGGACCGUUCCGGUGACCGAGGUAUCCAAGGUAUACCAAGGUUGCGCGCCGCGCCCUCGUCGUUCUCCUCAACCAUCACCAAUACAGCGCGUACAUCGGGCCAAUUCCCGGCCCGGAUAGUGCUCAGGCUUAAUGGUUGGAACGACUUAUCCUUCCAGCUAAGUGUGGGGCAUGCGUUCAACAUGACAAGAGGGCCGUCAACGAUCGGUCCUUAAUCGACAUAGGCAGGGGCACUACGGUCAACUUCACCAUAAGACCCUGCCCGGCCUCAAAUUCAUUCCCACACUUGGUUACUUUUCCUCAAAGCAUUAUCAGCUAAACAACCAGGUGCCCACCUAUAUCUCGCAGGUGACAGGAAAUCACCCGACUUCUACCGUACUAAGCGAGCUAAGCAACAGACCCGAGCCUAUCUACAUAGGACAAGGUAGAUAAACAAGUGGUGAUAUCAAGGAGUAUAUAUGCAUCAACGGUAUCAAGCAAUCUCUAUCACUUAAAUGCAACAUAGUAGAACAAGCAUAAUAUAUCAUUUAAGUUAGCGAGAAUAGGGAGACUUAGAAUGCUCCGGGGCUUGCCUUUCUCAAACAUGCUCGGCUUGUAGUCUGGGUACUCCUGCAGCUCUUCUCUGCGCUAUGGUCCUCCCAGAAGUUCCUGCUCCUGGGUCUCCUCCUGCUCCUCGGGUCCCACCUCGUUCUCCUACGAGCCUGUAUGAUGCAUGUGUGCUCAUGAGUGGAGUGCGAGAUGCCCGGGGUGCAAUGCUUAUGCAAGUGGUUACCCGAUGACCAUGACAUGGUGCAUAGAUGACAUAGGUGGUUAUUUCUACAAUGUAGUCAACAUCAUCCAAGAACAUGUACUCAAAUUAAGCAUCUAUUGCAUUCUCUUCUACAAUUGCCUCCAUGGUUAACAAGCAGGCUAACAUGAUGCUUUAAAGAUACACCAAACACCCUUUUAUUCUAUUUAAUUUAUGCACAACAAUGCAUAAUUUAUUUAAUCAUUAUUGGAUCUACAAAAGUAGCAUAUGUUUCUGUACAUUAAUAAAUCAAUAAAUGCCACAAAAAUUACAGCAGAUCACUAGUCAACCAUAAAGUCUACCAUGAAUUUUUUAUAAUAUUUGGACACUUAUUUUGGGCUACAAAAAUUACAAGGUUAUUCAAUAUAAUUAGGUACAAAUACCCUACUGUUGACCAAGUGUCAAACAACAGAUUUCAAAAUUUUAUAAAUUACUUAUCAACAUAAGAAACACCCACAAAAAUUUCCAGAUUAAUUGCAUGAUCUAAUUAUUUAUUAAAAAUCAUAAACCACUACCAUGCAAGCAUUUAAAUCACCAUAAAUUAAUUUCUUCAGCUAAUAAUAUGUGACAUAUUUUUCCCAGAGACUAAUCCUCCAUGCAAAGCCAACAAAACAAGUUUCAUAUUUUUCUAAGUUAUAUUUUAAUUACUAUGAAUUUCCCAAUUUUCAACAAUAACAUGGAUUAAAUAUAUUUGUACAGAAAAGUUGUUCCAACAUAACAUGCAACCAUACCAAACUGUAGUAGAACACACCACAAUUUAUUUCAUCAUUUUUGGAGCCAUAUAUCUCAAGAUAUGGAUUUUAUGCCAUUUAAACCAUUUUCUAGAAAACCUUUUAAAACGAAAAUCGAGUUAAAACGCUAAGGGCACCCGGAUUCAAACCUGCAGAUCCACUGACAGGCGGGUCCCGUGGGUCAGCCAACCCCACUUGUCGGCCACCCCGAGUGCCCGCGGCCAAAGACUCGCCGGAAUCUCACCGCCGGUGAGGUCUCCGGCGACACCAAGGGGCUCUACGGCUUCGCGGAUGCGAGACGAAUCCAACCAUGCCCUUUUUGGCGCCUUCCAAGCAGCGGAACCACCUCGCCAUCGAGAAUGGCGGACGCGGUGGCGCUGCUCGCCGUGGUCCGGCCACCUCGCGGCGGUAGAGUGCGCGCUAACGGCUGGAACAGGUGCGCAAAGCCAAGGCGAAGCUAACGCGCCUAAAAACGCAGGAAAUGGCGGAGUAGAGAGGGAGAACCGCGUGGACCGAGGGGUCACCGGAGCUCCAACUCACUACGGUGAGCUCUACCGGACAUGCGGGACUCACCGAGCGCGAUUGAGCGCGAGCACGCUGUGCGGUAGGACGAGGCAGAGCCGUUGGUGGUCGCGGAGAGGAGGGAGAAGGUCGGAGCUGGCCGGUAGAGAAGCUCCGAGCGUCGGCGGCGAUGGCGCGCGGCGACAGCGCGAGCGGAGAGGCGCAAAUGGCAGCGGGGACGGAGGCGGAUGCGGCCGGGCGCUCCUGGUGGCCGACCGGGGCGUGUCUAGGCUGCCGCAUGCUCGCCACGCGGCGACCGAGCUCUGCCGGCGCGCCACGGCGGCACGGCGCGGCCGUCCGCGCGCAGGCACGGCGCGGGCGCGGGGAAGGGGGCGAGCGCAGGCGGGCUGGGCCGGCUUCGGCCAGUGGGCCAGAAGUGAGGCCGCGGCCAGCUAGCGCCCCCUUUCCUUUUUCUUUUUUUUUUUGAAAUUGUUUUCUCAAAUCUUUUUCUAAAUUCAUUUGGACUAUUUUAAAACCCUUUUCACCUUUUGCUGCCAAAACAAAAGUUGUUCUAAAUAAAAAGUUCUACAACUUUGUUUCAAGUUGUAUUUCCAAAUUCCCAAUAGAAUUUGAAUUACCACUUAAAACUAGUUCUAUGUUUUCAAAUAAAUUCAUUUUGGGGAAUAUUUUGUAUAAAAUCCAUUUCUCAAUUCGUAUAGCUCCAAAAAUUUCACAAAAUUACUCUUAAUUCUUCUAACACAUAUUUCAACCUAAUUUGGACAUUUCAAGAAACUUCGAAGCAAGCAUACUAUUUUUACCAUAUUUAAUUCACAUAAAAUAAAGCACAUAAAAUCACACUUUAAUGAAUGACAUGCUAAUGUGAUGCUAUGCUUGAUGAGAAUGCUUAUGGAUGGUUUAUGAGACUAAGUGUAUGCUUAACACCUAGGGUGUUACAGCCUCUCUCAAACCCUCAAAGUUUUCACAAAUAUUCACCCUUAGGCAUAGUAGUUUUUAUGAAAAUAGUCAAGUGAAAGCACCAAGGAGCAUCGUGUGGCCAUAAAGCUAGUGGUUUAAAUCAUGAUGAGCUUUGAAUGCUGCCCCUAUCUAUGGACGAACACAACUGAUGCUCAAAGCAAAAAAUAAAAAGAAACGGUAAACCAACAAGCAUGCUUGAUGUCAUCCACCGGCAUGUUCUUCAUGCCAUCCCUCAAUGGUUCACCACCUACAUCAUCAAGAUUAUCACUUGCUCCUUGGGAUCCAUUAGUUUCGUCAAAUUCAACAUCAAAUGUUUCUUCAACCAUGUUUGUGGCAUGGUUAAAGACCCUAUAUGCCUUGGACUUUGAUGAAUAGCCAACCAAGUAGCCAAUGCCACAUCUCCUUUGGAACUUGCCCAAGUGUUGGCGAUUCUUGUAGAUGUAGCACUGCANNNNNNNNNNNNNNNNNNNNNNNNNNNNNNNNNNNNNNNNNNNNNNNNNNNNNNNNNNNNNNNNNNNNNNNNNNNNNNNNNNNNNNNNNNNNNNNNNNNNAUAUGGUGUCUUCUCUAGAAACUUGUGAGGAAAGAGCCGGUUUGAUGCAUAGCAUGCGGUGAUCAAUGUCUCCGAAGUGUUGUACUCAUCAAGCAUUGUUCUUCCCAAGGUGAUCAAUGUCCGGUUCUUUCUUUCUACUACCCCAUUUUGUUGUGGUGUGUAUGUUGAGGAGAACUCAUGCUUGAUCCCAACUUCAUCACAAUACUCUUCAAUGUUGGUGUUGUCAAAUUCUUUACCAUUAUCACUUCUUAUCUUCUUGAUCUUCACAUCAAAUUGAUUUUGAGCAUUCUUUGCAAAUUUUUUGAAGAUUGAUGCAACUUCGGCCUUGUCUUGCAAGAAGAAUGUCCAAGUGUACUGGGAGUAAUCAUCAACUAUGACCAAGAAAUAUUUGUUGCCUCCAAGACUAACAUAUGUGGUUAGUCCAAAUAAAUCCAUGUGGAGUAGCUCAAGCACUCUUGAAGUAGAGAGACAGGUUUUUGUUGGAUGAGCGUUUGCAACUUGCUUGCCGGCUUGACAUGAACUACAUCGCUUGUCCUUCUCAAAAGUCACAUCCUUCAAGCCUCUAUUCAAUUCUUUCUUCAACCACUUCUUGAGUGUGCCCAUUCCAACACGUGCUAACCUUCUAUGCCACAACCACCCAAGUGAGGUCUUGGUGAAUAAGCAAGUCUUCACAUCAACUUCAUCGGAUGAGAAAUCAACUACAUAGAAGUUGUUGUGUUGGAAGCCUUUGAAUACCAUUUCAUUAUCAUCCUCCUUGGUCACUAUUACUUCCUUUUUCUUGAAUAGGCAUCGAAAGCCAAGAUCACAAAGUUGUCCAACCGAGAGCAAUUUGAAACUUAAUGAUUGCACAUAGAGCACAUUGGUGAUGGCUUUGUCAUUAGAUAUUGCAACCUUUCCUAGAACCUUGACCUUGCCUUUUGAAUUGUCACCAAAUGUGAUCUUCUCUUGGUUCUCAACAUCUUCAUCAAGUGAGGUGAACAUCCGGGGAUCUCCGGUCAUAUGUUGAGUGCAACCACAAUCAAUUACCCAAUGUGAUGCACCGGUCUUGUCGUUCACCUACACAAAAGAGAUCAAGCUUGAGAUUUAGGGACCCACAUUUGUUUAGGGCCCUUGACCUUCUUUACUAGUUGCUUUGGCACCCAAAUCUUCUUUGGCCUUAGCUUGUUGGGCGGCCCCAUGAAGCUAACCUUGACCUUGCCACUCUUGUCUUUCCUUACAUUGUAGUGAGCAUUGAGGGCAAAUGGUCUAGCAUGCUUGUGCAAGGGUGGUGGUAGUGGUGCCUCACACUCAUGAGCAAAGUGUCCCUCUUGUAGUGACUUGAUGAGCUUGGUUUUAUGAGCCUUGUAGCCAAUCCCACUCUUGUCCAUCUUCAUGAUGGUGUUCAUGAAAAGCUCACUUUGAUGGUCUUUCUCUUUGGUGAACUUGGCUAACCCCUUGGUUGGGUGUUCUUUCUCUUUCUUGAGCCUGUUGUUCUCUUGAGUUAGCUUCUUGAUGAUUGGGUCAUUGUUGCUCUCUAGCUCUUCCAAGAUGAAAGACUCAUCUUCUUCUUGCUUGUCAUACAACAACCCAAGCUUGAGAUAUUGGUUCUCUUCUUUGAGCAACUUGUUCUCAUAUGCAAGCUUCUUAUCUUGAUCAAGUGACUCAAUCACUAUGGUGUUGUGUUUGACUUGCUCUUGCAACUCUUUCUUGAGCUUGGCAUUUCUUCCUUGAUCUUGAUAGUGUACUCAUAGCUCUCGGCCACUACCACUUUCUUGCCCUUGCAACAAACACAUUUGCUAGUGCUCUCCACAAGUAAGUCAUCACAAGAUGUGGCUACAUCAAGCUUAACAACAUUGUUAGUAGCAACAUGUGUUUCAUUGAUUGCAAGAUCAUAAGCUAUCUCAAGGUUGUCAUAGUUUGCUUUUAGAGUUGUGAAUUCUUCCUUCAAGGCUCUAUGUCUAGUGAUAAGCUCAUCAUGAACACUCUCAAGUUUAUCAUGUUUUUCUUUGAGCUCUUUUAGAGAAAGUUUGAGCUCCUUGAGCUUAUUAGUAGUCAUGAUAUCAUUUUGAUCUCUAAGCUCAUCACUAGAUUUAAGCUUUGCUAGAAGUGAUUCAUUUUCAUGUUCAAGUUUGUCAUUUUCACUUCUAGUUUUUCUUAUGACCUUAGUGUAUUUAUUUAGCAAUUGCACAAGUUCAUCAUAAGAGGGUGAUUCAUAUUCACUAUCACUCUCACUACUCUCAUCCUCACUUUGUACCUUCCGGUCACCCUUGGUGAUGAAGCAUCAAUGGCAAUAAGAGGUGUGUAGAGGAUGUAGAUGGUGGUGCAGAUGAUGGUGAUGAAGCAUCAAUGGCAAUAGCGGUAACCUUCUUAUCAACACUUUCAUUGCUGGAGGAGUCACCACUUGUGCUUUCAAUGUUGGUGAGCCAAUCACCAACAAUGUAAGCCUUGCCAUUCUUCUUCUUGUGGUACUCCUUCUUCUUGCCACCUUUCUUCUUGUAUUGCUUCUUGUCGUUCUUCUCAUCAUCACUUUAAUCAUCUUGCUCUUUGUUCUUCUUCAUGUACUUGUUCAUCUUGGGCUUGAGACAUUGGUGAGCAAGAUGACCAAGAUCACCACAAUUGUAGCAAUCCAUAUAAGAGAUGGGCUUCCUCUUGCUACUUGUGAAGAACUUCUUCUUCUUGGAGUCAAAGUUGACUCCAUUCUUGUUGAGCUUUUUCAACAUCUUGGUGGUUCUUCUCACCAAGAGGGCAAUGGAUACAUCAUCAUCACUUGAAGUUGAUGACUCAACUUCAAUCUUCUUGGCUUUGCCCUUGUGAGAAGCUUUGAGGGCCAAGUUCUUCUUCUCCUUCUUGGCCGAUGAAAAGCUAUCUUGGGGGUUCAUGUGCAUCUACAUCUCAUGAGCGUUGAUCUUCCCCAAGAUGGACGUUGUUGUGGCGGAGGAGAGAUUGCCUUGGUGAAACACGGUUACUAUGUGCCCAUAUUUCUCAAUGGGAAGAAAACAUAGUAUCUUCCUCGCCACAUCUGCAGAACUCAUUUGAUUGAGCCCAAGUCCAUUUAGCUCCUCUACAAUGACAUUCAAGCGAGAAUAGAUUUCAUUAGCAUUUUCUUUUGGAAGCAUUUCAAAUGUAUUAAGCUUGUUCAUCACAAGAUGAAAGUGUUCCUCACGCUCACUCUUGGAUCUCUCAUGGAGCACACAAAGUUCCUUCCAUAACUCACGGGUGGUUUUGUGGUUCCUUACGCGGUUAAACACCUCUUUGCAAAGACCUCUAAAGAUGUGGUUUUUGGCCUUUGUAUUCCACUUCUCAUUCUCAUGCUCUUGUGGAGUAAGAGCGGUGUCUUUUGCCGGAGGGGUAAACCCUUCGGUCGCGACUUUUAGGCACUUAGUGUCACAUGCCUCAAGGUAUGACUUCAUCCGUAUUUUCCAAUACGGGAAGUCAUCGCCAUCAAACAUGGGUGGCGGUCCAUCCCCGUUAGACAUCUUUUCUCUAGGCGGUGAAGCCUAAAUAAUGAGCACUAGGCUCUGAUACCAAUUGAAAGGAUUAAGAUGCCCAAGAGGGGGGGUUCAAUUGGGCUUCUCUAAAAAUUUAUUCAACCUAUAAGCUCUAGUUUAUCCCCUUGUGCCUAGUGUGACUAGAGAGCUACCGGAUAAAAGUUUAGCAACCUAGUUCCAAUCCUAUUCUAGCAUGGGAAUUCUAGGAAUGUAAAAACUCAAUGUAAUUACACAAAGUAAAUACUAGAAAGUGAAGGAGGAGAGCGAGAAAGUGCUCGGUGAUGUUUUGCUGAGGUAUCAGAGAGUCGCCACUCUUUACUAGUCCUAGUUGGAGCACCUGCGCAAGGGUCUUGCUCCCCGUUGGUCCGUGCAAGGACCAAGUGCUCUAUACAGGCUGAUUCUUCGACACUCCAUCACGGUGAAUUGCCCACAACCGCUCACAAACUUGACACGAGCCACCCACAAGAACUUCGGGUGGUCUUCGUGCCUCCAAUCACUACCGAACCGUCUAGGUGAUAGCGAUCACCAAGAGUAGGAAGCAAAGAACUCUCACUUGACCCAAACAUGGCACUCGAGAGUGGUGGAUGCACACUUGACUCGUGGAACUCAACUAGAGAAGGAUUCUCAAAAGAAAUCUCUCAAAUCUCAAUCCUCUCUAGGCUCUUGCUUCUCUCUUGCACCACAAGGUGAUUCUUGUUGGGUAUUUUAAACGCAAAUAGAAAAAUCAGCAAGCGCACGGAUACCGAUGUAGCCUUCACCCGGGAGUAUUCCAGAGUAUCUAUUUUCCACACGAAACGUGAGUGUACUAAUUAAGAAUCAAGAUCGCCCAAGGAUAACUAUAUAAUUGUUUUCGGUGGAAAGAGAGGAAGUUUCCUGAGAGUUCUCUAGUUGAUCUAAGAAUCAAGAAUUACUUCAAGAUUAUCUAUAUCGGGACAUCAGAGCACUAACCACGGAAAGAGAUGAGAAGGGGGCUAGGAAGGUCUGACUACGGUCCUACAAACAUCGAUCCGAACGAGGUGGAAUACGUCGACCGUUAGGGCUGUCACUACCCUAAGGCUACCACAACAAUCCGUAGGAUUGGGUGCAAUUCCAGGUAAUCGCAAGACUAAACACCACGUCUAAUCUAUUAAUUACUACUCUAGCGUUAUAAAGACUAGAGCACUUGAUACAAGCGGGAAUCCAACAAAUAACUUGAAUGUAAAUAAAAGUAAUUAAAGAACUCAGGAAUUAUAAAUUGAAGAACUUGGAGAACGAUGAAGAACGAACCAGUUGCUGCAAAAGUACAAUGUUGAGGAAGAUCCGACAGAUCCGGCUCCUCCUCCGCUCUCCUCCUCUCUCUCCCUAUUUUCUAGAUUACAACUAGAACUAACUAGAACUAGAACUAGAGGAACUAGAAUUAGAACUAGAUUGUAACAGAACCGACCAAAUUAUAAGAGAUUAAGCCUAAUAGUGACCAUUUGCAUAGUCGAACUAUCACGCUUAAGCCCAUAUAAUCCCGGUAGUCCGUGAAAUCUCGAAGGAUUUCAAACCACACAUCACAUAUACAGCCAAGAUCGUAAUAAGUUUAGCGGUCGCCAUCCACAAGCACAUCCAGAUUACAACAUUCAUAAAAUACAUCGGAGUGCUUAAAGUUAUUACAAACCAAGUUCUUCAAGUAGCGGAAGCUUCAUAGUUUGAAAUUACAACACACACGAUAAGUCUGAUACAGUGCCAUAGUUCGGUCAUUCCCACAAAAGCAAAAGAAGAGACGGAGUGACCAUCGCCCUUGGUCUAGUCAUCACCCAUAGCUGGGUACAGACAGAGGAUGCAAUAACCAUAGUACAUUUGACCAUCUGCAAAACAACAUGGGAAUAGAACCCUGAGUACGAGAAGGUACUCAGCUAGACUUACCCGUCAUAAACUUAAAAUAAAGACUCAUCGAGGAUCAUGAAGGCUAUUUGGUGGGGUAGCUGACAACCAUUUUGCAAAGACCGCAAGGUUUUAUUACCCAAACCUACAUAAAUCUUUUCUUCUUUUAGUCUGCUCAAGUUGAAAGUAUCAUUAUCUAUUAUCUAGGUUUGCUCCUGUGCUAUUACAAGCAAGUAUGAGACUAUGAUAGUACCUCAUCACAGCAGUCAUAAACCCGUUUCAUUAUAACCCAAGUGUUCCAUAGUCCUUACUACGAGGACGAAGCUCAUGUCAAGUGCUCACUAUCCAGGAGCGAUGGCGAUUCGAAUCGAUUUCUAACCAGCUGGCGAGGUAUUCCCCACACAAACCACACUCACUGAUCAAGUGAGCUACAGAUCACCGUAUUACACUAUCUAGGACCAAUUCGCGGGUUCGGCAGGCACCGCCAGUACCCGAGGACCGUUCCGGCGACCGAGGUAUCCAAGGUAUACCAAGGUUGCGCGCCGCGCCCUCGUCGUUCUCCUCAACCAUCACCAAUACAGCGCAUGGCGGCUCGAUUCCCGGCCCGGAUAGUGUUCAGGCUUCGCGGUCGGAACGACUUAUCCUUCCAGCUAAGUGUGGGGCAUGCGUUCAACAUGACAAGAGGGCCGUCAACGAUCGGUCCUUAAUCGACACAGGCAGGGGCACCAUGGUCAACCCACCAUAAGACCCCGCCCGGUCUCCAAAUUCGUUCCACACUUGGUUAUUCUUUUCCCCGAGCAACCAAUGCUUAAUCAAGCAGGUAUCCACCUAUAUCUCGCAGGUGACAGGGAAUCACCCGACGUCUACCGAACUAAGCAAGCUAAGCAUAGACUCCGUGCCUAUCUACAUAGGACAAGGUAGUUGAAUGAGUAGGAAUAACAAGGAGUACUCAUGCAGCAACGGUAUCAGGCAACUCCUAUCACUUAAUAUGCAAUACAGUAGAACAAGUAUAACACUUUAUAUAAGUUAGCGAGAAAAGGGAGACUUAGAAUGCUCCGGGGCUUGCCUUUCUCAAACGUGCUGGGUCGGUGAUCCGGACACUCCUGCAAUUCCUCUCCGGGUUCCUGUGCUUCCGGAGGUUCCUGCUCCUGAAGCUCCUCGGGUUCCUCGGUUCCCACCUCGUUCUCCUGCGAGCCUGUAUGAUGCAUACAUGCUCAUGAGUGGAGUGCGAGAUGCCCGAGUGGAUGCUUACAUGAGGGAGUACCAAAGGAGUCAUGUUAUGAUGCAUAGGUAAUGCACUUGAUCAUGCUUAUUACAAGGUAGUCAACAUCAUCCAAGAAUAAACAAUUGAAUCAAACAUCUAUUACAUUCUCUUCUAUAAUUAUUUUUCAAAUGAAAUCAGCAACCUACAUGAUGCUUCAAAGAUACACCAAACCCAACUUAGUCCAUUCAACCCACAUACACAACCAUUCAUAAUUUUCUUUAUUCAUUUCUAAGCCCAUUAAAAAUCACAUGCAAUUCUGUUCAUCAAUAAAUUCCAGAAAAAUUACAGGAGACUACUAGCUAAUCAUAAAGUCUACUGUAAAUUUUUCAUAAUUUUUCGUUACUUAUUUUGAGCCACAAAAAUCACAAGAUUAAUGGAUAAGGCAAGUAUAAUCACCCUACUGUGAUAUAAGUGUCAAACAACAGAUUUCAUAUUUUUACAAUUUAUCUAAUAUCAUAAGAAAUACCCACAAAAUUUUCCAGAUUUAUUGCAUGACCCAUUUAAUUAUUAAAAAUCAUAAAGCACUGCCAUGCAAGCAUUUAAAUUACCAUAAAUUCAUUUAUACACCAAAUAAUAUGUAACAAUAUUUUCUCAGUGAUUAAACACACAUGCAGAGCCAGCAAAACAAGUUUCACAUUUUUCUGAGCCAUAUUUCAUUUACUAUGCAUUUUCCAAGUUUAACAAAAUCAUGGAUAAAAUAUAUUCACACAGAAAAGUUGCUCCAACAUGACAUGCAAUUACAUCAAACUGUAGAUCUGGAAAUAUAGAGCACACCAAAAUUUAUUUCAUUCAAUUUGGAGCUGUAGAACUCAAGAUAUAAAUUUUACAAUCUUUAAAUCAAUUUCUGGAAAACACUUUUUCAAGAAAACCGACGAAAAACGCUACGCACACCCAGAUCUACACCCACCGGGGUACCCCUGCGACUGACAGUGGGUCCCCGACCCCACCAGUCAGCGAGACCGAGAGGGAGCUCACCUCCGACGAGCGGAUCUCGCCGGCGGUGAGGUCUCCGGCCACGGGGUGAGCACCAACGUGCUCCCCGCAGCAAGACGCACCCAACGGUACCCUUGGAUCGACCAGAGGGCGGCCGGAACACCUCCGGCGAGCAUGCAUGGCGGCACGGCGGCGCUGCUCGCCGUGGCCAGGCUGCUCCGGCGCGGUAGAGCGUGCGCAAACGCCUCUCCGAGCUUCCUCACCUUCCUACCGACCUAGCGCAACAGAGAACGAGCGAAAAGACGCAGGGAAACGCUAGAUCCGCCGCGGCGGAGUACUCCGGCGAGCUCGGGGUAACUCCGGCGAGCGAUUCACGGCGCUCGACGGACUCUCACCUCGGUAGAACGUUCGCACGAGCUUACCCUAGCGACGGCGAGUGCCCUGGUGCUCUCGGCGUCGAGCUUGAGGCUCUGGUGUGGCCGGCGACGAGCGGCGGAGCUCUCUCCGGCAAUGGCGCGCGGAGGAGCGGCUGCUGCUGCGCGGUGCGAGUGGAGGAGGAAGGAGAAGGAGGGCGCGGGGGACAGAACGGGUGAAAUGGUCUGGGAGCCUGCGCCGGCGUCCCGACCAGGGGGGGUUGGAGGCCGGCCGCGGUGCGUCCAACGCCGGCGUACGGCCGCCACGUGGCCGGCGCCGGGUGGAGCGAGGCGCGUCCGCGCGCGGGAGGGAGAGGGAGAGGGGAGGCAGGCCGGGUCGCUUGCUGGGCCGAAAGGGAAGCGGGGUUGGCCCAGCAGCGCCUGCCCCUUUCUCUUUUUUUUUUGAAUUUCUUUUCUCCAAAUUCUUUCUAAAUUCAUUUGGACCAAUUUAAAAUCAUUUUCACCUCUUGCUCCCAAAAACAAAGUUGUUCCAAAUUAAAAACUCUACAACUUUGCUUUGACAAGCAAGACCAAAUUCCAAACAAAAUUUGAAUUACAAGUUAAAACUCAGCUCUAGGUUUUAAAUAAAUUCAUUUUGGAAAAGUUUGUAUAAACUCCAUUUCUCAAAUUCCAUAGCUCCAAAAAUUGCACAAAAAUGUUCUUAAUUCUUCUUACACAUAAAGCAACCUAAUUUGAAUAUUUCACAAUUUUAGAAACAAGCAUCACAUUUUUAACAUAAUUAAAGCACAUGAAAUGAAGCACAUAAAAUCAUAAUUUGAAAAGAGUGUCAUGCUCAUGAUGCUUAUGCUUGAUGGAAAUGCUUAUGCAUGACUUUGGUGUGACUAAGUGCAUGCUUAACACCUAGGGUGUUACAGCCCUUCCCCCCUUAGGGAAAUCUCGUCCUGAGAUUUUGGGUUACUAACCAUUUCUUAUGAAACUUUGGGUAAACUGUUUUUAAGUAAUCCUCUGUUUCCCAGGUGGCAUCCCUAUCGUCAUGAUGACUCCAUACCACCUUAUAUGUUCUGACAAUUCUGUUUCGGGUUACUCGCUCCUUGGUAUCCACGAUUCCCACUGGCUGCUCUUUAUACUCUAAGUCUACUUUUAUUUUGAUCCCUCGGGGUUCAAUUCUUUGCUCAGGCACUUUCAAACAUUUCCGUAGUUGCGACACAUGGAAGACCGGAAAGAUCGAGCUCAUCUCUUCAGGUAACUGAAUCUUAUAGGCCACUGGGCCUUUCCUCUCUAGCACUUGGUACGGUCCCACAUAUCUGGGUGCAAGCUUGCUUCGAACUCGGAAACGUUGAACUUUCUUCAUUGGCGUAACCUUGAGGUACACAUAGUCACCUAUGUUGAAUUCAAGUGGCCUUCUUCUCUUAUCAGCAUAACUCUUCUGUCGUGACUGUGCGGCUUCCAUAUGUUGUUGUAUAAUCUGCACCUUUUUCUCGGCAUCAUUCACAAAGUCGAUACCAUAGUAUCUCCUUUCACCAGGUUCCACCCAGUUUAACGGAGUUUGACAUCUCCGCCCAUACAAAGCUUCGAACGGGGCCAUCUUGAUGCUCUCUUGAUAACUAUUAUUGUGUGAGAACUCAGCCAGAGGUAACCAUGAUUCCCACGAUCCCCUGGAUGAUAGCACACAGGCUCUUAGCAUAUCUUCUAACACUUGAUUUAGCCUCUCGGUUUGACCUGAAGUCUGGGGAUGAUACGCCGUGCUUCUUAUCAGACUGGUCCCCAAGCUCUUAUGCAUGCGCUCCCAGAAGUGAGCAGUGAACUGCGGUCCCCUAUCCGAUAUGAUAGUUUUGGGAAUACCAUGCAAUUUGAUGAUCUCAGCCAUAUAUAUAUAUCAGCAUACUCAGGAGGUCUGUAUGUGUUCUUGACUGGAAUGAAAUGAGCCGACUUGGUUAAUCGAUCUAUGAUUACCCAAAUCGAGUCAUUCCCCUUCCUGGUUGUCGGUAAGCCGGUGAUAAAGUCCAUACUGACCUCUUCCCAUUUCCACUUCGGAACUGAUAACGGUUGUAACAGACCUGCAGGUUUCAUAUGGAUGGCCUUAACUCUGCAACACGUGUCACAACGGGCCACAUAAGCGGCUAUUUCUUUCUUCAUCUUGGUCCACCAAAAGUGGGGCCUUAGAUCUUGAUACAUUUUGCUGCUGCCAGGAUGAAUAGAAAGCUUAGAGAGAUGGGCUUCAUCCAUGAUGCGAUUUUUCAACUCCCGAUCUUUCGGGACCACUAACCGCUGUUGAAACCACAGUACCCCCUUCUCAUCAACCCGAAACUGAGUCUUUGGGUCAUCUUUGAUCUUCUCUUUGAUGUGGAAAAUACCCUUGUCUGUUUUCUGACCUUCAAUGACUUGACUCUCGAGUGAACAACUGAGUUGUAUAUGACAUAAGACCUCGGGAUGCAUAAGAUUGAACCCAUCUUCAAACAAUAGUUGAACCAUUUGAUAGUGCGGUUUGCGACUCAAAGCAUCUGCGACCACAUUAGCUUUGCUUGGAUGAUAGUGAACUUCCAGGUCAUAAUCCUUGAUUAGCUCUAACCACCGUCGUUGCCUCAUAUUCAGCUCGGACUGAGUGAAGAUGUACUUCAAACUCUUGUGAUCGGUGUAAAUGUGACACUUAUUUCCUAGCAGAUAAUGUCUCCAGAUCUUCAAAGCAUGUACCACUGCUGCUAACUCAAGGUCGUGCGUUGGAUAGUUGACUUCAUGCUUUCUCAACUGUCGGGAAGCAUAAGCUAUCACCCUGCCAUCUUGCAUCAACACACACCCCAGGCCACUCUUCGAUGCGUCACAAAACACAUCAAAAGGCUUCUCUAUAUUCGGUUGUGCCAGAACGGGAGCAGUGGUUAGCAACUUUCGCAAGGUGCGGAAGGCUAACUCACACCCUUCCGUCCAGACGAACUUAUGAUCCUUUUGUAGCAAACUUGUCAUUGGCUUAGCAAUCUUGGAGAAGUCAGGUAUGAAACGACGAUAAUACCCGGCCAGACCAAGAAAACUUCUAACUUCCAAGACAGAAGUUGGUGCCUUCCAGUCCAUGACUUCCUGCACUUUUGAUGGAUCUACGGCAAUCCCUUCUUCAGACAAAAUGUGCCCUAGGAACGGAACUUUCUUCAACCAGAACUCACACUUGCUGAACUUGGCAUAUAACUGAUGCUCUCGUAAUCGUGUCAGCACGAUCCUCAGAUGUUCGGCGUGAUCUUGCUCAUUUUCUGAAUAUACCAGAAUAUCAUCGAUAAACACCACAACAAACUUAUCCAAUUCUGGCAUAAAGACUGAAUUCAUCAGAUACAUAAAGUAUGCAGGAGCAUUUGUCAACCCAAAGGACAUGACAAGAUACUCGUACAACCCAUAUCUGGUGGAAAAAGCAGUCUUCGGGAUAUCUUGCGGACGAAUCUUGAUUUGGUGAUACCCAGAUCUCAAAUCUAUCUUAGAGAACACUCUUGCCUUGGAUAACUGAUCAAAUAGGAUAUCAAUCCUUGGCAAGGGAUACUUAUUUUUGAUUGUCACUGCAUUGAGUGGACGAUAGUCCACGCACAUGCGCAACGACUGAUCCUUCUUUUUCACAAACAACGCUGGACAACCCCAUUCCGACGAGCUGGGCCGGAUGAACCCUUUUUCUAGUAACUCCUUCAGUUGUUUCUUCAACUCUGCGAGUUCGUUUGGUGGCAUCCGGUAUGGCCUUCUAGAUAUUGGUGCUGUACCUGGUAUCAACUCGAUUACAAACUCUACCUCCCUAUCUGGGGGAAGUCCUUGUAACUCCUCGGGAAACACAUCGGGGAACUCACAGACCACUGGGAUCUGUGGUAAAGGGACCACGUGCGUAGCACAGGAGAUGCUAGCAAAGUCAAGACGACGGGGCAGCGGUACUUGAAAAGAGUUACUGCCCUGUGGUUCUCUGAGAGAUAACAUCCUCUUUCCAGUAUCUAUGACCGCAUCCCAUUCUCUCAUCCAUUUCAUGCCCAUGAUAACAUCCAAAACUAACCCAGGCAUGACCACUAGAUUUACCCGAAAGACUCGGCCACUUAUCUCCAGGGUUGCCCCUCGGACCACUCUAUUGGUCAACACAUCUGCCCCUGCUGAGCUGAUGCGGUAGCCAUAGCCCAGAUCUGUAACUGGUUGAUUAUGCUUUUGUGCAAAUGCUUGACUCAUGAAAGAAUGCGACGAUCCAGAAUCAAACAAAACAACUGCAAGAUGUUGGUUGACAGAAAACAUACCAGCUGUUACCGGUUCUCCUUCCGGGAUUUCCUCAAUCGAGGUAUGAUGCACACGAGCUGGAUAUGUUGGCUGCUGCCUCUUGGGGUAGGGACAUUCCUUAGCAAAGUGCCCCAUCUUGUGGCAGUUAUAGCACGGACCCUUGGGCGCAUUGUUGACGGCAGGUGCUGCAGCUUGAAUUGCCUUUGGCUUGGCAGGAGCUAUCGCCACCUUGUACGGCUUCUGCUGUGUUGGAUGCCCGGUGUUCCUUCUCUGCGGUGGUCGGAACCUAGCACCCGGGGCAGGAGGACGAUACUGCUGUCGCCCUGCCACUGGUGCCCUGGACUGGGAUGAUCCUGCCUCAAAAGCCCUUUUACGUGACUUGGAUGCACUGUAGUUGUUGUUAUUGUUCUCUUGGGUCAGGCAGUCACUGAUAUAGGCAUUGAAAGUAGCCCUGGCCCCUGUACCCAUGGUCUUCAGCAUCUUUGGAUUCAAGCCCCUCUGGAAACUAGCAAUCUUCUUGGCCUCCGUGUUCACAAACUCAGGGGCAUAGCGAGCGAAAUUAUUGAAGGCAUGUAGAUACUCUUUCACAGAUUUCGUCCCUUGGGACAGCCUCAUGAACUCCCCAACCUUCAUUGCUGUAACAUCUCUGAUGUUACGGUUACUAAAAACGGAUCAUGUCAUCAUAAGCAUUGUAAAGCAUAAUUGUUAAAGCACAUUUGUAUGCAUCAACUUAAAACAAGUUUAUUUUUAUUGCUUGAGCUUAGGGAGGUAGAGUGUGCUUAUGUGGUGUGUUGAUGCUUGUGUGGUUGCUAAACCCUAGGGUGGAAAUUUUCCGAAAAGCUAAGGGGGGAAAAACCCUGAUUUUCUGAAAUUUUCCUAGAUUUGCCCCCUUUUGCAUAAGUCAAAAACUAAGCAAAAUUUGAGGUUGAGUUCAAAAGCAAAGUUGUAGCUCUUGGCAAGAUGUACAACUUUGGUGUUUUGAGUUUUUGAAGUUUCAAUACAAAAUUCAAAGUAAUUUUGAAAAUACAGAUUUCCGAAAAGUGUCCCCUUUUCCAACUUAAGCCCCCAAUUCAAAAUCCAUUUGGAAUUUUGAAAAGUGGUCAACAUGAAAGUUGUAGAGCACAAAAAGUUGAGCAACUUUCAUGUUGGGAGUUUUUCAAGUUGUUUAGGAAAAACAAAAGUAAUUUUGGAAAUCCUACUUUGCCCCCAAUUCAAAAAUUUGAAUUUCAUCGAUUUGAGUUGAAAUUCCAAACUGUUUAGCCAAAUUGGCUAUCUUCCACUCGGAAUCAGCUAUGGCCACCAAAAGAUGAUUUGUAGUUUACAAAAUUUUGUACAACUUUUGUUUUGGUGGAAAUUUGACUUUAGUUCAAGUUUUGGUCGAAUUUCGCAAGAAGACAAACUGUGGAUGAGGACUGCUACAGUGAUCGGCAGGGGGGGGUGCUCUGCCGCCGGGGCAGAGCCGCCUCCGCGCACGCCGCCACGCAGCUGGCCACGCAGCUGCUUGCUGCUGUGCUUCGCGUGGACGUCCUCAUCCGCGAACCGCCUUCUGUCGUGGGGAUAAAGCCCCGAGUGGCCGGAGUCCCCUCUUUCUUUUCUUGAACCCCGACGCCGACGAGUUUCCUGCGCCGACCAAAUUCGCCUCACCCGUUGCCAUUCCAAGCCAUUUGAGCACCCCAGCAGCUCCGCCUUGAGCCCCGCCACCGAUUGCACCCCCAAACACACGCUCUACUCUACCGUAGCUCCCACCCGAGCCGUUUCCCUUCUCAACUCCGGCCGAGCGCCACCGCAAGCACGUCAUCGUGGCCAGCGUCAACCAGAGCCUCUCUGCUGCCGCUUCUUGCUCGGUUGAAGUCGUGGUGAGCCCCUGGUGCUUUUGCGCUGCUCAAGUCACGCUCUACUCGCUCGUAGUGGCCGGCGUUUGCUCGGCCGAGACGGCCGUUCGCCGUGCCCGUGGUCACAGGGGUUAGGAUAGAGGAGAGUGGGAGAAAAGGGUGCCCCUGGGUGCGCGGGAGGCCGAGGAAGCUAACGCGUCUCACCGCAGAGGCCGAGAGCUCGCCAACGGCUCACUGGAGCUCGCCGGAGCCGCGGCGCUAGGAAGGAGACGGAGCUGACGGGCGGGACCCGCCCGUCAGCGACCGCGUGAGAGAGAGAGGGAGAGGGCGCUGAGCGCGGGAGAGCUCGCGGGCCGUCUUGGGCCGGGUCCGAGCAGGCCGCCAGCACUGCACAGUGCACUUUUCUUUUUCCUUUUUGUUUAAAAAUAUUUGAUAUUUGAAUUUAAAUAUUGAAUUGUGUAGUGGUCCAAAAAUAGUGAAACUUUUUGGGUAGGUUCCAGAAAAUGUAUAGAGCCUAGGAAAAAUAUUAGAAUUUAUUUCUCUGAUAGUUUGCAUGUCUAUAAAAAUUGGCUCUUUAAUUAGUGAAUAAAACUUCUAGGAAUUUUAGUAAUUUAUUAGGAGGUCCAAAAAUCACCAAAAAUUGUGGAGAGCCUCUGAGUGGUAUUCCCUGGCUCCACACAAAAUUUGGUGGCAUUUGGAUAAUAUUUGAUUAAAACAUUAAUAAAUCCUUAUUUAGCACUUAAAUAAUAAUUCCAAAAUAAUUAAAUAGUGAUUGUUUAGAUCCUCAUAAUUAGGGUUGAGUGAUUUUGGGAUUGUGUGAUAACCUGAGGUCGUUAACCCUAAUGACCUUUGACAUUUUAUUAUUAUUUAGCCUUAAUGCUUAAUUACUGUCAUUAAUAGUUAAUUAAGAAUUAAUUAAGGUAAUUAGGAUUAAUAAUUACUAAUUUAAAAUAAAUAUGAAUUAAAUAAAGUCUUAGUUUACAGAUGCAACCUUUUGGGUAAAAACAUUAAGAUAUUAAGCAACUUUAUUUAGUGAUAAUUCUGUAUUGCAUCAAGAAGGCGAGUUGUACUCGAUUCGGUCCUUCUUGCAUAAUUGUCAUACACCUAUCAUGAGCAUUCAUCAUUUUGCGUAUAGUGUCCGUGACCGAAGGAGCGCCCGUUGAACCGAACCCCGAGGUCGGUGCUCCGUUCGAGGAAGUCGGAUCCGAGACUUGGGAAGUCUCCGAGGGUCCCUCUCUACCCUGCAACCAAGGCAAGCCCCAGAUGCAUUACCCCUUCUUGAAUGUUUUAAAUCUUUUAUCACUUAUGAAUUGAAAAUGCUGCAUUAGAUAGUUGAGAACUGGGUGAACCUACUUGCUGCAUUUACCACCUUGAUAUUUUUUAUCUUGUCCUUGGCACUUGUUUUACUUUAAAAACUGCGUAGGGAUGCUUAGCCCUGCUACUAGAUAGGUUUUCAAGCAAAGUUUGAAGGGUUGUUGUGGAAUACACUUAUGAUCAAUGAUGUUUCAAUUUGAGACCGGUCGGUGGACUUGCUUUAAGAAUGGAGUCUUAAAGUAGUGUCUCCAACUGUGUCGAUUAAGGACCGUUCCGUUGAUGGCCUGCUGGGUUGAGAAUUUAUAGUACUAACCACUUGCCCUCGGUAAGCCCGGUCUUGUGAUCCCUCGACGCGAACAGCUACUCGCGCACUGGGAGUGGAAAGAUGGCGAGAGUAGUGUGUACCCACCUUACGGAUCUGAGAUGACCGGAAAACAUCUAGAUCGGCUGUAGGAUGGUGGAGUACUGUGCUCUCGGGUGCCGCGAACCUGGUCAAAUCUGGGGAGAGCCUGACUUGGGUUGGUAUAUGCAAGAUUUGGUUCUACAUAUGUCGGGUGGUUAGGAACUCCAGCUGGAUUGCUAAGCGAUUCGAAUCGUCGUUGCUCCCCGAUUGGGAGACUCAAUUCCUUCGACCCUCAUCGUAGUUAAAUAAGCAACUGAAUGAUAAAAUGAGAAAGGGGAAAAUGUCUCAUGAGGUUCGGAUCCCAAUUCCCGGACUCAUAGCGACAUGAAGCUAUGGCCAUCGAUAAAUAAUACUUGACGUUAGGAUUAGGAACUCACGGAUUCGUCUGUGGGGUACAACUAGUUAAACUAUCCUCGAACUCCUCGGCCUCUGCGAGGGAGGAAUUCGUGGGUAAAACUUGAAAAUAAGGAUGCACUACUAGUAAGCUUUUUACGCAAAACACUUUGGCUCCUUGCUCAGCCACCCCUUGUCUACCCUAAGCCUGCAUCCCUAAGUUCUCCUCUUUUCCCAUCGGGUAAGUCUUGUUGAGUACUCCCGUACUCAGGGUUUCAAUACCCCUGUUGCAGGUGAAGCGCAGGAGCCGACUUGCUUCGGACCCUGUUGUGUGACCGUCGUCGAGGUUGACGACGAAGAAGAGUGAGCGUGACCCAUGGGCAGGGUCUGUAAAUUUGUACUGUCUGUACUAAAGUUUCAGUUGCUCCGCUGGACCAGGCUUGUAAUAACACUCUACUAUUUGGAAGAACUCCUUUUGUAAAUUAAGUUAUGUAAUACUUCCGCUGUUUUACUCUGAAAUAUUAUUUUAGUCUUGUGUCGUUGGAGUUACUGCUUUAUCUUCGCAACGAAUGAUCCUGGUGUUAAGGUGGCCACUUGCUAUCCUGUAAGGGCGAGAAGAAGCAGUUCUCGUUGCUUGACCAUUGCUAGUGGUCAGAACGAGCCAGCUUGAUACGCCACAGGUAGCAGUGGAAUGAGCGUCCAGCGAUGCUCAUCGGACUUCUAAGGUGGGAGGACUCCCGGCAUCACCGUCAGAGGUCCUUAGGACAAUGGCAGGUGCCGGUGGGCCCAAACACUUAGGGGGUUCUGCCACAGCUGGUAUCAGAGCAUUCGUUGCUAAGAUGACUGCUGUAACUAUUGAAAAACUUCAAAAUUCGUUUGGAUCUAAUACUAUGAACCUGCCUAUUUUGAGUCCAAGUGCUUAGUCCUAACCUGCCCCUGUCUAUAGGCUUUCUUAGAAUUUUUGGAAGUGGUAUGGAGGAGCAACAUAAAGUAUUGCCCUAUGUUGUAAAAGUUUAAAGUAAUAACGUUACGAAUUGUUAGUAGGAAUCGUAAGUUCGUGCAUGCAUCAUGAUGUAUUAACUGGUUAAGUUCCUUCCUCCUUGUUUGGGUUGGGUGAAUAGAAUCAAUCCUAUUCUUGCUAACCUUUAAGGUCUCUCUUACUAAUCUAAACUUACCCUCUACAGGAUGGCUCGUCAGAAGCAGACCCCGCGUAAGCGGACCGGUCCAAAAGGAGUUCCCCGACAUCAGCUAGCUCCACGCAGUGAUCAAGCCAGUAGUAGCCGUUCGCCGCCUCAGCAGGAGGUGGACAGGUUGUCCGCCGAGUUGACUGAGGUGAUGAGAGAGAGAAUGUACAAUGUUAUGGAGAUUGGCAAACUUAAAGCUCAACUGGCCAAAGAAAAACAAGCUACAGAGAACUGUGAGGCUAUGUUGUCCCGGAUGGUGGAGGAGCGGAAUGCAGCCAUUGCCCGAGAGGAAGAAGCUAGGAGCACACAUAGGCAUGAGCUAACUAGGAUGAACGCAAAGUUGGGCAAGGCAAGGUAUCUUAAGGAUUUGUAUGUGAAGAUGGCGGCCACGGUCACCGCACAGCGGGAUGUCGCGUGGCAACGAGAGGACCAGCUCCAGCUGGAGAAACUGGAGCUGGCACAUCACUUAGAUACAGUCAAUGACCUAGCUAUGCAAUAUCGUGAUAUUGCAUUUGAUCUAUAUCAUCAACUCCACCCACCUCCCGGCGAAGGGGAAAUGGAUACGGAUGGCGAGUUGGCAGACGAUGGGGAACCCGACCCCGGCCUCAGUGAUGAAGAGGAGUCCGACUCCGAUGACCACAACCCAGGGGGUAAUCAGGAUGAUGGCAAUGACGACCCGGGCUACAGCUCUGGCCACACCGAUUAGUUCGAUGAAACCGAGGGCAACGUCGUUGUAGGAGUUCUAGCUUGCCGUAGCGGGGUUCGGGUUUGUAAUAUAAGUUUUCUUUCGGUUUGAGAAGUUGUACCUGUUUACUCUUGGUAUGUUGAACUAAUGUUUAAUAAGUGAAUUGAAGAAUGUAAGAUAUGUUCUGUGUUAUGAAUUUCACGUGGUAACAGGUAUCUACAACUCUUGUAACAGAUGCCGAUGCGUACUCGCGGAUCUGAGGGAGCUGGGACAUCCCAGGGAGGGGAUGAUAUCCCCAACCCUCCACCUGCUCCACCUUCUUUGGCUGACGCCAUUGCUGUUCUGCUAAGUGCCACAACUGACAACGCUCGCUUACUGCGCGAGCUAGCACAGCGUCAACCACACCCUGCUCCAAACUUCAGGGCACCGCGCAACGGGGACGGAGAGACUCGGUAUGUGGACUUUACCGAGACCAGGCCCCCGGUGUUCGCUAAGGCCGAUGAGCCUUUAAAAGCGGAUGACUGGCUCCGAACCAUGGAGCAUAAGUUCAGUUUGAUUCAGUGUUCAGAAACUCAGAAGCCCCUGUUUGCAGCCCAGCAGCUUCGGGGAGCUGCAGGUGCCUGGUGGGAGAACUUCUUAGCUAUUCAAGCUCCCGGUCACCAGGUUACCUGGACUGAGUUUAGGGACGCGUUUCGCGCCCACUACAUCCCCGAAGGGCUCAUGGCCAUGAAGGCCGAAGAGUUUCUCGCCUUGCAGCAAGGCGAUAAAAGUGUUAUGGAGUAUGUGGCAAGAUUUAAUCAUCUCUCUCAAUAUGCCACGGACCAUGUGAACACUGACAGGAAGAAGAAAGCCUGUUUCAUGCGUGGUCUAAAUACUAAACUUCAGACCAUGAUGACCACCUGCCAAAAUGUUACCUUCUAUGAGGCGGUAAAUAUUGCCAUCGCCUCUGAGGAAAAGAAUAGAAAACACAAGGAAGCCAAGAAGAAGGCUGCUUCCUCCUCUUUCUCUGGUCGCGGUCAAAAGCGCCAGAAGAUCAUUUAUCAUCCACAGGGCCACGGACGCUUCCCAGCGCCGUCACCGUAUCGUGGUCCUUUCUCCCCUCCACAGUACAGACCAGGGCAGCAGGUAUACUCUCGACCUACUGCCAUCACUCUUGCACCACGUCAGCCGAACACCCCAGGUGUUCGCCCCACUGCUCUGCCCAGCCACAAUUACCCUUGCUUCAAUUGUGGUAAGCCUGGGCAUUUCUCUAAAGAGUGCCCUUUUCCCCGCCAAACCAACCCUACCUUUCAAAGGCCACCUAUGGGCCAACCCCAGCCGAGUCAGUUCAGGACUGGGACUCAAAAAGGGCAACAGGUACAGAAAGGUAGACCGGUAAAGAAGACAGGGCAAGUCUUCCAUACUGAAGUGGAAACGAUUCCACAGGGCGAACCAGUGAUGAUGGGUACGUUUCCUAUUGCGAAACAUCCUGCUUUAAUGCUCUUUGAUUCUGGUGCAUCUCAUACAUUCAUUAAUCGCACCUUUGUGUUAAAGCAUGGUAUACCCAUUGGGGAAACACAAGAUCAUUUUUAUAUACAGUCGCCAGGAGGACGGCUGAUGUCUAAAGAAAUGGUUCACCAAGUACCCAUCGAAUUUGGUGGGCACAAUUUUCCUACUAGCAUGAUUGUUCUUAAGGACCAAGAAAUUGAUGUCAUCUUGGGCAUGAACUGGAUGGCACAACGAGGGGUUGUGCUGGAUACUCUGCAUCGAACCAUUAAAAUCCCAUUGCCCAAUGAGAAUUCUUAUUUGCUAAUUUAGUUAGUUACUCCCAAACGGACAAUGGGGCAAGUUCAUGCCGCGAAUGUGUCUGAAGUUAAAGAUAUCCCGGUAGUUCGAGAUUUUCCGGAUGUAUUUCCUGAAGACUUACCAGGUCUACCUCCGGACCGGGAUGUACAAUUCAGUAUAGAAUUGAAACCAGGAACAGCCCCAAUAUCUCGAAGGGCCUACAGAAUGGCACCGAAAGAGCUGGCCGAAUUAAAAACCCAAUUACAAGAGUUGUUGCAGAAGGGUUUUAUUCAGCCCAGUUCUUCUCCAUGGGGUUGCCCAGCCUUGUUUGUGAAAAAGAAAGAUCAAACAUUAAGGCUGUGUGUCGACUAUCGUCCCCUAAAUGAGGUGACGAUUAAGAACAAGUACCCAUUGCCCCGCAUUGACUUAUUGUUUGACCAGCUAGCUGGGGCCAAAGUAUUCUCAAAAAUUGACUUGAGAUCAGGGUACCACCAAAUUAAAAUUAGGCCGGAAGAUGUGCCCAAGACAGCUUUUACAACCCGUUACGGGCUAUAUGAAUACUUGGUGAUGUCCUUUGGGUUGACCAAUGCACCGGCCCAUUUCAUGUACCUGAUGAACUCUGUCUUCAUGCCAGAACUAGAUAAAUUUGUUGUAGUUUUUAUUGACGACAUUUUGAUUUACUCCAAAACUAAGAAAGAACAUGCUGAACAUUUGAGGGUCGUGCUGACUCGUCUCAGGGAACAUCAGCUAUACGCCAAGUUCAGCAAAUGUGAGUUCUGGCUGGACAAAGUCCAUUUCCUGGGUCAUGUAUUAUCAGCGGAGGGAGUCGCUGUAGACCCAGGCAAGGUAGAAGAUGUGUUGAAUUGGAAACCCCCGACUACGGUACAUGAGGUCCGUAGUUUUCUGGGUAUGGCGGGAUAUUACCGUCGUUUUAUCCCGGACUUUUCCAGAGUCGCCAAACCAAUCACAACCUUGCUCAAAAAUCAAACUAAGUUUGUUUGGUCACCCCAAUGUGAGCAAGCCUUUCAGACUCUGAAACGGUUGUUGACAACUGCACCUGUCUUAGCCCAGCCAGAAAUUGAAAAACCCUUUGAUGUAUAUUGUGAUGCAUCAGGGAUCGGAAUAGGCUGUGUGCUAAUGCAGGAGGGUCGCGUAAUUGCAUAUGCUUCCAGACAACUCAAACCCCAUGAAGGGAAUUACCCGACCCAUGAUCUUGAACUAGCCGCCGUGGUACAUGCAUUAAAGAUCUGGCGUCAUUAUCUGUUGGGGAACACAUGUCAUCUAUAUACCGAUCAUAAAAGCUUGAAGUAUAUUUUUACUCAAGCUGAGCUUAAUAUGCGCCAGCGAAGGUGGCUAGAAUUAAUUAAAGAUUACGACCUUGAGGUGCAUUAUCACCCUGGCAAGGCAAAUGUAGUAGCUGAUGCCCUCAGUCGUAAGGCUCACUGCAAUUGCGUAACAGUGAUGCCUAGAGACAUAACUUUGUGCCAAGAGCUAGAGAACUUGGGAAUAGAAAUGAUUUCCCAAGGAAGCCUUACCAAUCUAAAGAUCGAUUUCAAUCUCGAAGCUCAAAUCAUAAAGGCACAAAAAGAAAACAAAGGCAUGAGACAUCUUAAAGAGAAGAUUUCUAAUAGACCACCCACAGACUUUAAGGUGGAUGAUGCAGGAGUAAUUUGGUUCAAGAACCGGUUAGUGGUUCCAAAGGUACCUGAGCUACGUCAACAAAUCCUAGAUGAAGCUCAUACCACGAGGUAUUCUAUUCAUCCGGGAAGCAAUAAGAUGUAUCAGGACCUAAGGCAAAGGUUUUGGUGGACAAAAAUGAAGAUAGAGAUAGCUCGCUAUGUGGCCCAAUGUGACACCUGUCGAAAGGUCAAAGCCAUUCAUCUCAAGUCCGCUGGGGAGUUGCAACCUUUGCCUAUCCCCGCAUGGAAAUGGGAUGACAUAAGUAUGGAUUUCAUAGUAGGAUUGCCCAAGACGGCCAAGGGCUUUGAUUCAAUUUGGGUCAUAGUAGAUCGUCUCACCAAAACAGCACAUUUUCUUCCUGUAAAGCUAUUGUAUCCUGCCUCCACCUAUGCUAAGAUUUAUUUCGACCGUAUCCUAAGUCUGCUGGGGUACCAAAGACGAUAGUGUCAGAUAGAGGCACACAAUUUGUCUCCCAAUUCUGGAAAUGUUUACACGAGUCCCUGGGCACUAAACUUUUAUACAGCACAGCCUACCACCCUCAAACCGGUGGACAAACUGAAAGGGUGAAUCAAACCCUAGAAGAUCUAUUAAGAUCUUGUGCCCUGAAUUUUCCAGAUAAGUGGGAUGACUGCUUGCCUCUAGCAGAAUUUUCCUACAAUAAUAGCUAUCAAGAAAGUAUCAAAAUGGCUCCCUUUGAGGCACUGUAUGGUCGCCGAUGUCGAACACCGUUACACUGGUCGGAACCUGGAGAAAGAUGGUUCUUCGGAGUUGACUUGGUGAAAGAGACUGAGAACAAAGUGAAACAAAUCCAGAAUAACUUGAAAGUUGCUCAGUCCCGACAGAAAAGUUACGCUGAUAAAAGACGUCGACCAUUAAAGUUCGCCAAAGGUGAUCAUGUGUAUUUGAAAGUAUCCCCAAUGAAAGGAGUAAAUCGUUUUGGUGUUAAAGGCAAGUUAGCGCCUCGUUACAUUGGUCCAUUUCCAAUCAUUGACCGAUGUGGACAGGUCACUUACCGCCUUAAACUGCCCGAACGAUUAUCCGGGGUGCAUAAUGUGUUCCAUGUGUCUCAACUGAAAAAGUGUCUUCGGGUACCAGACCGAGUUCAGGAUAUUGAAGAUGUAGAACUUGAACCAGAUCUAACUUAUUCGGAAUAUCCUAUCCGAGUACUGGAUCAGAAAGAUAGAGUUACUCGAAGAACAACCACCAAAUGGUACAAGGUACAAUGGAACCAGCACUCUGAAGAGGAAGCCACCUGGGAAUCUGAAGAUUACUUGCUAGAGAAUUUUCCUGAAUUCCACGCUUCCCUUCAGGACAACACGUGAUAAAUAGAGAAUGUAUGCUAGUGAAGGAAAAGAGUCACCAGAGCCAUGCACUCAAUGUACAUAUAUACUUAUAAUAAAGUAUUUUCCCCAACUUCUUGCCUUAUGGAAAAGUUGAAGAUGAAAGAGUUUUGACAAAUUUCCUUUUCCAUUACUUACCCUAAGGUUUUAAAUCUCGGGGACGAGAUUUCUUUAAGGGGGAAGGGCUGUAACAUCUCUGAUGUUACGGUUACUAAAAACGGAUCAUGUCAUCAUAAGCAUUGUAAAGCAUAAUUGUUAAAGCACAUUUGUAUGCAUCAACUUAAAACAAGUUUAUUUUUAUUGCUUGAGCUUAGGGAGGUAGAGUGUGCUUAUGUGGUGUGUUGAUGCUUGUGUGGUUGCUAAACCCUAGGGUGGAAAUUUUCCGAAAAGCUAAGGGGGGAAAAACCCUGAUUUCUGGAUCCUAGAUUUGCCCCCUUUUGCAUAAGUCAAAAACUAAGCAAAAUUUGAGGUUGAGUUCAAAAGCAAAGUUGUAGCUCUUGGCAAGAUGUACAACUUUGGUGUUUUGAGUUUUUGAAGUUUCAAUACAAAAUUCAAAGUAAUUUUGAAAAUACAGAUUUCCGAAAAGUGUCCCCUUUUCCAACUUAAGCCCCCAAUUCAAAAUCCAUUUGGAAUUUUGAAAAGUAGUCAACAUGAAAGUUGUAGAGCACAAAAAGUUGAGCAACUUUCAUGUUGGGAGUUUUUCAAGUUGUUUAGGAAAAACAAAAGUAAUUUUGGAAAUCCUAUUUUGCCCCAAUUCAAAAAUUUGAAUUUCAUCGAUUUGAGUUGAAAUUCCAAACUGUUUAGCCAAAUUGGCUAUCUUCCACUCGGAAUCAGCUAUGGCCACCAAAAGAUGAUUUGUAGUUUACAAAAUUUUGUACAACUUUCGUUUUGGUGGAAAUUUGACUUUAGUUCAAGUUUUGGUCGAAUUUCGCAAGAAGACAAACUGUGGAUGAGGACUGCUACAGUGAUCGGCAGGGGGGGGGGGUGCUCUGCCGCCGGGGCAGAGCCGCCUCCGCGCACGCCGCCACGCAGCUGGCCACGCAGCUGCUUGCUGCUGUGCUUCGCGUGGACGUCCUCAUCCGCGAACCGCCUUCUGUCGUGGGGAUAAAGCCCCGAGUGGCCGGAGUCCCCUCUUUCUUUUCUUGAACCCCGACGCCGACGAGUUUCCUGCGCCGACCAAAUUCGCCUCACCCGUUGCCAUUCCAAGCCAUUUGAGCACCCCAGCAGCUCCGCCUUGAGCCCCGCCACCGAUUGCACCCCCAAACACACGCUCUACUCUACCGUAGCUCCCACCCGAGCCGUUUCCCUUCUCAACUCCGGCCGAGCGCCACCGCAAGCACGUCAUCGUGGCCAGCGUCAACCAGAGCCUCUCUGCUGCCGCUUCUUGCUCGGUUGAAGUCGUGGUGAGCCCCUGGUGCUUUUGCGCUGCUCAAGUCACGCUCUACUCGCUCGUAGUGGCCGGCGUUUGCUCGGCCGAGACGGCCGUUCGCCGUGCCCGUGGUCACAGGGGUUAGGAUAGAGGAGAGUGGGAGAAAAGGGUGCCCCUGGGUGCGCGGGAGGCCGAGGAAGCUAACGCGUCUCACCGCAGAGGCCGAGAGCUCGCCAACGGCUCACUGGAGCUCGCCGGAGCCGCGGCGCUAGGAAGGAGACGGAGCUGACGGGCGGGACCCGCCCGUCAGCGACCGCGUGAGAGAGAGAGGGAGAGGGCGCUGAGCGCGGGAGAGCUCGCGGGCCGUCUUGGGCCGGGUCCGAGCAGGCCGCCAGCACUGCACAGUGCACUUUUCUUUUUCCUUUUUGUUUAAAAAUAUUUGAUAUUUGAAUUUAAAUAUUGAAUUGUGUAGUGGUCCAAAAAUAGUGAAACUUUUUGGGUAGGUUCCAGAAAAUGUAUAGAGCCUAGGAAAAAUAUUAGAAUUUAUUUCUCUGAUAGUUUGCAUGUCUAUAAAAAUUGGCUCUUUAAUUAGUGAAUAAAACUUCUAGGAAUUUUAGUAAUUUAUUAGGAGGUCCAAAAAUCACCAAAAAUUGUGGAGAGCCUCUGAGUGGUAUUCCCUGGCUCCACACAAAAUUUGGUGGCAUUUGGAUAAUAUUUGAUUAAAACAUUAAUAAAUCCUUAUUUAGCACUUAAAUAAUAAUUCCAAAAUAAUUAAAUAGUGAUUGUUUAGAUCCUCAUAAUUAGGGUUGAGUGAUUUUGGGAUUGUGUGAUAACCUGAGGUCGUUAACCCUAAUGACCUUUGACAUUUUAUUAUUAUUUAGCCUUAAUGCUUAAUUACUGUCAUUAAUAGUUAAUUAAGAAUUAAUUAAGGUAAUUAGGAUUAAUAAUUACUAAUUUAAAAUAAAUAUGAAUUAAAUAAAGUCUUAGUUUACAGAUGCAACCUUUUGGGUAAAAACAUUAAGAUAUUAAGCAACUUUAUUUAGUGAUAAUUCUGUAUUGCAUCAAGAAGGCGAGUUGUACUCGAUUCGGUCCUUCUUGCAUAAUUGUCAUACACCUAUCAUGAGCAUUCAUCAUUUUGCGUAUAGUGUCCGUGACCGAAGGAGCGCCCGUUGAACCGAACCCCGAGGUCGGUGCUCCGUUCGAGGAAGUCGGAUCCGAGACUUGGGAAGUCUCCGAGGGUCCCUCUCUACCCUGCAACCAAGGCAAGCCCCGGAUGCAUUACCCCUCCUUGAAUGUUUUAAAUCUUUUAUCACUUAUGAAUUGAAAAUGCUGCAUUAGAUAGUUGAGAACUGGGUGAACCUACUUGCUGCAUUUACCACCUUGAUAUUUGUUAUCUUGUCCUUGGCACCUGUUUUACUUUAAAAACUGCGUAGGGAUGCUUAGCCCUGCUACUAGAUAGGUUUUCAAGCAAAGUUUGAAGGGUUGUUGUGGAAUACACUUAUGAUCAAUGAUGUUUCAAUUUGAGACCGGUCGGUGGACUUGCUUUAAGAAUGGAGUCUUAAAGUAGUGUCUCCAACUGUGUCGAUUAAGGACCGUUCCGUUGAUGGCCUGCUGGGUUGAGAAUUUAUAGUACUAACCACUUGCCCUCGGUAAGCCCGGUCUUGUGAUCCCUCGACGCGAACAGCUACUCGCGCACUGGGAGUGGAAAGAUGGCGAGAGUAGUGUGUACCCACCUUACGGAUCUGAGAUGACCGGAAAACAUCUAGAUCGGCUGUAGGAUGGUGGAGUACUGUGCUCUCGGGUGCCGCGAACCUGGUCAAAUCUGGGGAGAGCCUGACUUGGGUUGGUAUAUGCAAGAUUUGGUUCUACAUAUGUCGGGUGGUUAGGAACUCCAGCUGGAUUGCUAAGCGAUUCGAAUCGUCGUUGCUCCCCGAUUGGGAGACUCAAUUCCUUCGACCCUCAUCGUAGUUAAAUAAGCAACUGAAUGAUAAAAUGAGAAAGGGGAAAAUGUCUCAUGAGGUUCGGAUCCCAAUUCCCGGACUCAUAGCGACAUGAAGCUAUGGCCAUCGAUAAAUAAUACUUGACGUUAGGAUUAGGAACUCACGGAUUCGUCUGUGGGGUACAACUAGUUAAACUAUCCUCGAACUCCUCGGCCUCUGCGAGGGAGGAAUUCGUGGGUAAAACUUGAAAAUAAGGAUGCACUACUAGUAAGCUUUUUACGCAAAACACUUUAGCUCCUUGCUCAGCCACCCCUUGUCUACCCUAAGCCUGCAUCCCUAAGUUCUCCUCUUUUCCCAUCGGGUAAGUCUUGUUGAGUACUCCCGUACUAAGGGUUUCAAUACUCCUGUUGCAGGUGAAGCGCAGGAGCCGACUUGCUUCGGACCCUGUUGUGUGACCGUCGUCGAGGUUGACGACGAAGAAGAGUGAGCGUGACCCAUGGGCAGGGUCUGUAAAUUUGUACUGUCUGUACUAAAGUUUCAGUUGCUCCGCUGGACCAGGCUUGAGAUAACACUCUACUAUUUGGAAGAACUCCUUUUGUAAAUUAAGUUAUGUAAUACUUCCGCUGUUUUACUCUGAAAUAUUAUUUUAGUCUUGUGUCGUUGGAGUUACUGCUUUAUCUUCGCAAUGAAUGAUCCUGGUGUUAAGGUGGCCACUUGCUAUCCUGUAAGGGCGAGAAGAAGCAGUUCUCGUUGCUUGACCAUUGCUAGUGGUCAGAACGAGCCAGCUUGAUACGCCACAGGUAGCAGUGGAAUGAGCGUCCAGCGAUGCUCAUCGGACUUCUAAGGUGGGAGGACUCCCGGCAUCACCGUCAGAGGUCCUUAGGACAAUGGCAGGUGCCGGUGGGCCCAAACACUUAGGGGGUUCUGCCACAAUUUCAACCACACCAGGAGGAAUGUAAUUUCCCCAGAAAGCGGUGGUGAAGCGGUUCCAGGUGAUUGGUGUCCCCUCUGGGUAGGUGGUACGGUGAUGGGACCACCAAAUCCCAGCGGGUCCUUGCAACUGAUGUGCCGCAUACUCAGCCUUGAGUUCUUCCGUCAUUCGGAGAAGACGAAACUUCUGCUCCAUAGUGUUGAUCCACUCAUCUGCUUCGAGCGGUUCCAAGGCCUCCUUAAAGAUUGGUGGCUUGGUAUCCAUGAAGUCCUUGAACGAACUGUACUGGUUGACCUCCCGACCACCCUGAUUAUCUCCACGAUGGGUGUUGUCAGCUAUGUUGCGCAAAGCUUCUUCCAUGUUGCGCUGCAUCUGUUCCAUGUUGCGUCGGCUUCCCAGAAACUGCGCGAAAAACACAUCCGCAGUGUACGGGGGAGGCGGUGGUGGUGGCGGUGUUGGUGCUCUGUCCUCAUUCCGUUGAGCCCCACCUCCGGAUGUACCUGCUCCAAGGCCCGGAUUGCUGUUACCCCCGCCACGUGUUUGUACCAUCUGCAUACGCCAAUGAUAAGCAAUCGUUAGGAGUUGCCAUCAACCGGUAGAAAAUGUGUAAAAUCGUGCCAUACUGAAUUUACUGAGGGAAUAAAUUCACACAAUAAACAAAGGCACAACAACUCAUCAUCCACGCACAACAUCACUAACAGAUUACUUAACAUUCACGCAACAAGGUUCGUGUUCAUCCAACUUGCCAGCAUACAUACACUGGACUUUCAGCAUCAACUCAUAAAGUCUUACACAGCCCAGAUCCAAAAGUACAUGACAUGCCACGCAACAUACAUCACAAAAGAGGAAAGACUAGCUCUAGAGCCCUAGCAUCUACUCGCUGUGGUCACUGUCCAUGCCAGAGCCAUCCUCAUCUUCAUCACCACUAGCAGCUGCUCCCAUCUCGGGAUCCGCGUCCAUCUCGUCCUCAGAGUCUAGCUCCGCUGCUCUAGGCAGGUGGUGAGGGUGGAGCUGGUUAUGCAGCUGGUGGAUCUCCUCAUGCAAGUUCUCAUUGUACUCCUCGGCAUUAGCUAGCUGCUGCUCUAGCUCUAGCUGUCGGGCCCUCAAAGUGUCCUCCUCGUGCCAGGCUUCAUUCCUCUGUCCAAGCACAUGGACUAGCAUGCGCUCGCAGUUCCUGUGAGCAGUAGUCACCCUGUCCUUCUGCUCCCGUACUGCAAGCAGGUCCUGACUCAGCUCACUGUUCUUCUGGACUGUCUGGUCUCUCUCUCUGGUCACACGAGCCAACUCUGCCUGUAGCCUCUCAACCUCAGAGUCAAACUCACGCUGCAACUAACGCUUCUCAUCCUGGACGGUGAGAAGAGACCCGGACAAGCGACCCAAACAACGCUCCAGGCCUCCAUAGGUCUUCAUCAACGCGUACAUGGCACUCAUAGCUACACUGUCACUGUGCUGGUCCUCAUCCGCACUCCUCUCUAGAGCAUUCACCUCGGACUGAUCCCACACCGAAGUGUAAGGGUCACCCCCGGGAAACACCCCAGCGAAGGCGUGGGCCAGCUCCUGUGGAAACCUCUCCAUGAGGUCCCUCAAAACUGCGAAAGCUGCCCUACUGGCACCGUGGAAAGGCGUGACACCUCGGGUCUCGUACACCCAGCCGCCCCAAGCAGGGUCUCCUCCACUGGUAGGGACAACUGCCUCGAUCCCCACCAGGGUCUCAUCCCCAAGCAGCUCCUUAUCCCAAUAGUAGCGAGGCUCCCUUCCUUCGGGAUACCCCAUCGAACUGAGCACCCUCCAAAGCAAAGUGGGCAUCCCAAACUUCUCUAGGAACUUGCUCUUAUGUCGCGAGCUCCUAGCUGCCAACGGACGGCGAGGGGCCCGCCCACCAGUGGACUUGCGAGCGGUGAGCCUAGUGCGUGCCAUCUGCUGCAAAUGGAAUACCGUGGGUAAGAGCGAGGAUUACCUUUAAUUAUUUUAUUUAGAAUUGGGACAGAUUAAAUUAAGGGGGAAAGUAAGCAAUGAUAUGAAAUGAACAUGAUGCAUGCACGAACUUACGAUCUCACAAACUUAGAAAACAAAGGUUAACACUAGGCGGUAUAUGCGGUGGCACACAACGUUCUCCCAUAACGUAACUAGCGUUCUAAGCGAGAACUUGGUUAGGGUACCUGUAGAAAACUCAUUUCAGCCCACCCAGAGUAUGAUCGUGCAGAACAAAAUUUAAAACUAUACACUUCACAUACACAGACACCCGUCCAUGCAUGCGAUGUGUCACUACCCACAUCAUCGCCCUAAUGACGGCAUCGCCUCUCAGGACGGAAUUCCCAGCAUGCGGUACUGUUCCCAAGACACACCAACAUGUGUGCAUGACACAGUACCUGACAACACUUCCCUAGACCGGCAGUGUAUCCGAUCAUGCUCUCACAACUCCCACUUACCAUGGCGUAGAGGAAGAAUUGAUCCAUACAUUACCACUCAAAUGAAUGGCACUCAUACUAUUGCACGCCGUAUGAGCGACGAAAUAAAAAUAUGAUGCAUUAACCCCCAAGUCAGUACUUAGCUAGCCACCUUAGAGUCCUUAACUGGGCAUAAAGGAUAUGACCAUGGCACACUAGAUAAUUUUCCCAAAACUUAGUUUAACACCUUGAUCAUUAUUAAUUAAUUAAUAAAAUCUUUUACUAAACCGGUUUAGACUUUUGUUUAAAACAUACUUAUGAACAGUAACUCGCUAAACCUUGCUCCGAUGCCAGCUGUAACAGAACCGACCAAAUUAUAAGAGAUUAAGCCUAAUAGUGACCAUUUGCAUAGUCGAACUAUCACGCUUAAGCCCAUAUAAUCCCGGUAGUCCGUGAAAUCUCGAAGGAUUUCAAACCACACAUCACAUAUACAGCCAAGAUCGUAAUAAGUUUAGCGGUCGCCAUCCACAAGCACAUCCAGAUUACAACAUUCAUAAAAUACAUCGGAGUGCUUAAAGUUAUUACAAACCAAGUUCUUCAAGUAGCGGAAGCUUCAUAGUUUGAAAUUACAACACACACGAUAAGUCUGAUACAGUGCCAUAGUUCGGUCAUUCCCACAAAAGCAAAAGAAGAGACGGAGUGACCAUCGCCCUUGGUCUAGUCAUCACCCAUAGCUGGGUACAGACAAAGGAUGCAAUAACCAUAGUACAUUUGACCAUCUGCAAAACAACAUGGGAAUAGAACCCUGAGUACGAGAAGGUACUCAGCUAGACUUACCCGUCAUAAACUUAAAAUAAAGACUCAUCAAGGAUCAUGAAGGCUAUUUGGUGGGGUAGCUGACAACCAUUUUGCAAAGACCGCAAGGUUUUAUUACCCAAACCUACAUAAAUCUUUUCUUCUUUUAGUCUGCUCAAGUUGAAAGUAUCAUUAUCUAUUAUCUAGGUUUGCUCCUGUGCUAUUACAAGCAAGUAUGAGACUAUGAUAGUACCUCAUCACAGCAGUCAUAAACCCGUUUCAUUAUAACCCAAGUGUUCCAUAGUCCUUACUACGAGGACGAAGCUCAUGUCAAGUGCUCACUAUCCAGGAGCGAUGGCGAUUCGAAUCGAUUUCUAACCAGCUGGCGAGGUAUUCCCCACACAAACCACACUCACUGAUCAAGUGAGCUACAGAUCACCGUAUUACACUAUCUAGGACCAAUUCGCGGGUUCGGCAGGCAUCGCCAGUACCCGAGGACCGUUCCGGCGACCGAGGUAUCCAAGGUAUACCAAGGUUGCGCGCCGCGCCCUCGUCGUUCUCCUCAACCAUCACCAAUACAGCGCAUGGCGGCUCGAUUCCCGGCCUGGAUAGUGUUCAGGCUUCGCGGUCGGAACGACUUAUCCUUCCAGCUAAGUGUGGGGCAUGCGUUCAACAUGACAAGAGGGCCGUCAACGAUCGGUCCUUAAUCGACACAGGCAGGGGCACCAUGGUCAACCCACCAUAAGACCCCGCCCGGUCUCCAAAUUCGUUCCACACUUGGUUAUUCUUUUCCCCGAGCAACCAAUGCUUAAUCAAGCAGGUAUCCACCUAUAUCUCGCAGGUGACAGGGAAUCACCCGACUUCUACCGAACUAAGCAAGCUAAGCAUAGACUCCGUGCCUAUCUACAUAGGACAAGGUAGUUGAAUGAGUAGGAAUAACAAGGAGUACUCAUGCAGCAACGGUAUCAGGCAACUCCUAUCACUUAAUAUGCAAUACAGUAGAACAAGUAUAACACUUUAUAUAAGUUAGCGAGAAAAGGGAGACUUAGAAUGCUCCGGGGCUUGCCUUUCUCAAACGUGCUGGGUCGGUGAUCCGGACACUCCUGCAAUUCCUCUCCGGGUUCCUAUGCUUCCGGAGGUUCCUCCUCCUGAAGCUCCUCGGGUUCCUCGGUUCCCACCUCAUUCUCCUGCGAGCCUGUAUGAUGCAUACAUGCUCAUGAGUGGAGUGCGAGAUGCCCGAGUGGAUGCUUACAUGAGGGAGUACCAAAGGAGUCAUGUUAUGAUGCAUAGGUAAUGCACUUGGUCAUGCUUAUUACAAGGUAGUCAACAUCAUCCAAGAAUAAACAAUUGAAUCAAACAUCUAUUACAUUCUCUUCUAUAAUUAUUUUUCAAAUGAAAUCAGCAACCUACAUGAUGCUUCAAAGAUACACCAAACCCAACUUAGUCCAUUCAACCCACAUACACAACCAUUCAUAAUUUUCUUUAUUCAUUUCUAAGCCCAUUAAAAAUCACAUGCAAUUCUGUUCAUCAAUAAAUUCCAGAAAAAUUACAGGAGACUACUAGCUAAUCAUAAAGUCUACUGUAAAUUUUUCAUAAUUUUUCGUUACUUAUUUUGAGCCACAAAAAUCACAAGAUUAAUGGAUAAGGCAAGUAUAAUCACCCUACUGUGAUAUAAGUGUCAAACAACAGAUUUCAUAUUUUUACAAUUUAUCUAAUAUCAUAAGAAAUACCCACAAAAUUUUCCAGAUUUAUUGCAUGACCAUUUAAUUAUUAAAAAUCAUAAAGCACUGCUAUGCAAGCAUUUAAAUUACCAUAAAUUCAUUUAUACACCAAAUAAUAUGUAACAAUAUUUUCUCAGUGAUUAAACACACAUGCAGAGCCAGCAAAACAAGUUUCACAUUUUUCUGAGCCAUAUUUCAUUUACUAUGCAUUUUCCAAGUUUAACAAAAUCAUGGAUAAAAUAUAUUCACACAGAAAAGUUGCUCCAACAUGACAUGCAAUUACAUCAAACUGUAGAUCUGGAAAUAUAGAGCACACCAAAAUUUAUUUCAUUCAAUUUGGAGCUGCAGAACUCAAGAUAUAAAUUUUACAAUCUUUAAAUCAAUUUCUGGAAAACACUUUUUCAAGAAAACCGACGAAAAACGCUACGCACACCCAGAUCUACACCCACCGGGGUACCCCUGCGACUGACAGUGGGUCCCUGACCCCACCAGUCAGCGAGACCGAGAGGGAGCUCACCUCCGACGAGCGGAUCUCGCCGGCGGUGAGGUCUCCGGCCACGGGGUGAGCACCAACGUGCUCCCCGCAGCAAGACGCACCCAACGGUACCCUUGGAUCGACCAGAGGGCGGCCGGAACACCUCCGGCGAGCAUGCAUGGCGGCAAGGCGGCGCUGCUCGCCGUGGCCAGGCUGCUCCGGCGCGGUAGAGCGUGCGCAAAUGCCUCUCCGAGCUUCCUCACCUUCCUACCGACCUAGCGCAACAGAGAACGAGCGAAAAGACGCAGGGAAACGCUAGAUCCGCCGCGGCGGAGUACUCCGGCGAGCUCGGGGUAACUCCGGCGAGCGAUUCACGGCGCUCGACGGACUCUCACCUCGGUAGAACGUUCGCACGAGCUUACCCUAGCGACGGCGAGUGCCCUGGUGCUCUCGGCGUCGAGCUUGAGGCUCUGGUGUGGCCGGCGACGAGCGGCGGAGCUCUCUCCGGCAAUGGCGCGCGGAGGAGCGGCUGCUGCUGCGCGGUGCGAGCGGAGGAGGAAGGAGAAGGAGGGCGCGGGGGACAGAACGGGCGAAAUGGUCUGGGAGCCUGCGCCGGCGUCCCGACCAGGGGGGGUUGGAGGCCGGCCGCGGCGCGUCCAACGCCGGCGUACGGCCGCCACGUGGCCGGCGCCGGGUGGAGCGAGGCGCGUCCGCGCGCGGGAGGGAGAGGGAGAGGGGAGGCAGGCCGGGUCGCUUGCUGGGCCGAAAGGGAAGCGGGGUUGGCCCAGCAGCGCCUGCCCCUUUCUCUUUUUUUUUGAAUUUCUUUUCUCCAAAUUCUUUCUAAAUUCAUUUGGACCAAUUUAAAAUCAUUUUCACCUCUUGCUCCCAAAAACAAAGUUGUUCCAAAUUAAAAACUCUACAACUUUGCUUUGACAAGCAAGACCAAAUUCCAAACAAAAUUUGAAUUACAAGUUAAAACUCAGCUCUAGGUUUUAAAUAAAUUCAUUUUGGAAAAGUUUGUAUAAACUCCAUUUCUCAAAUUCCAUAGCUCCACAAAUUGCACAAAAAUGUUCUUAAUUCUUCUUCCACAUAAAGCAACCUAAUUUGAAUAUUUCACAAUUUUAGAAACAAGCAUCACAUUUUUAACAUAAUUAAAGCACAUGAAAUGAAGCACAUAAAAUCAUAAUUUGAAAAGAGUGUCAUGCUCAUGAUGCUUAUGCUUGAUGGAAAUGCUUAUGCAUGACUUUGGUGAGACUAAGUGCAUGCUUAACACCUUGGGUGUUACAUAGAUGAACUAGAACUAGAUCUAGAUGAACUAGAUGUAGAGCUAGAAGAACUAGAGGGAUCCUCUCUACUUGGAUGAAGAAUUGAAACCCUAACUUUGAUUCUGUAGAAGAGGUAUGAUCUCCAAGGGCCAGGGGGUCUUGUUUUAUAGUCCCUUCAAGUGAAUCUGGGUCAUUGGAUCAAACCGACAUUGAUUGAAUGGUUAUCCUUGAUCCUUUAGGUCGGUGGAGCAAUAUCCCAAAAGAGAGUUCUGAUUGGACUCUAUGUGAGGGCGGGCGCCCUGUCCCUGAGUCCUCUCGGCCUCCGCUUUGGUCCCGUGGCUUCUGGAGUCUUCUAGAUGAUAGAAAAUUGUGCGGCACGUUAAUAUCUCUAUGUAAACCCGACGUGUGGGCCUUUCUUCCGUAUUUCCUAAUAACCCCCUGCAGAAAUAGACAAACACCAAAACUCGUGGAAUUCUGUUAGAUAAAACCCUAAGUCUAGGUGUUCGUUGCAUUUGGAUCCUUUUCCAUGAUUAAUCGAUGGUUAAAUAUGAGCAUUAAGGACCGUCAACAAGCUCCCCCAAGCUUAACCUUUGCUUGUCCUUGAACAAAGAUGGGCUCAGAGUUUCUGCAGUGGUUUCAUGCCUUAAAGAUACACAUGCGUUCAAAUAAGAUCUUAUCUCUGGGUUAGGGUAAACUGUUAAGAUUUAAACUUACUCAUUUUACCUUCCACCAUGGGGCUUGCAACCGUCACUUGUGUCUUGAGCAAUUAAAUGAUAGAACGGUCUAGUCAAGCGCCAUGUCUCUUGUUCUUUGAUUAAAUAUAGCUCUGGAGUUUUUUUUUGCAGAUUUUUAAAUAAAACUCAGAGAUUCCUUGUAUGACUCUCUCUAGUCUCUGUUUUGUGGUAUUUCUGGAUCCUUACCAAGGCAGUAAUGGUAUAUGCCUUCUCUCAAAGUAUGUGGUAUUUUUGGUAUGAGGCAUAGUGACAUUGCCUUCUCUCUCACCCUACUCUAAUAAGGCUUUUGAUAUCUAGAGCUCAUAGGUGGGAGACAGCUAAUACAUACUUACAAGACAUUUAUUGCAUAGUCAAACCAUGGAUCUAGAAGAACAAGUCAAUAAGUCAAAUCAAGAUGUGCAUGUGUGGCGAAUGAAUGGUGUAUGGUGAUGAUGGUGAUAACAAUGGUGAAAGUCUAAUUCUACUUGUGCUCUUUUGAGGGAAUACAUACAUUUCUUGCUCUUUGAAGCUUUUUGAGAGGAAUGAGAUUAUAUUUUAUUUUUUUCUUUUCUCUCAGGUGGGUAUCUUCUACCCCUAAUUCUACUAUCGGACACUUGUCCAUUUUUACCUCUCGUCUCACUUUUUCUUUUCUUUCGAGGUUCCGGGCACUUGCCCCUUUUUAUUUCCUCGUAUCUCUUUUUUUUCUCUCUUUUUUUUAGAGCACUCAUCUCUUGAAAUAAUGUAGCAAGUGGUAGUAGCCAAGAUAACAUGAGCAUUUAUUUCACAGUGGAAAACAGACAUGUUUUUGGCUAUUCUCUCCCAGAUUAGGAGUAGAAUAUUUUUGGGUGGUUCUGGAGAUGGAAAUGGGUGGAUAUAUGUGGAUGCGUACUUCCGGGGUAGAAGCAGCAUGUAUGAGUGAACGUGCAAGUGAAUCUUGGUUUAACCACAUGACAAGCUCCUAAGGUCUACACAGCUUGACCACACUCAAUGCUCAUAAGCAGUAAAAAGUAAAUAUGUGGCUCAAAGUCUAGCAAGCAUGUAUAUAUGGCUGUGGUAGGAAUUUAAACUCUCAUCAUAUAGAAACUCAUCAUGUGUUAUUUUAAAGAUUUUCAAAGAUAAAAUUCUCCAGUUUUCUAGCAUCUCUAGGAACAGAUAAACAGCAGCUCAACCUUCCGAUAUCAUAUCCGUUAACGACUUAGACUUUAGAUCAAGUACUCUUCCCACAAGUUCAGGUUUAGAGCAAAUCUUAAUUAAUAACAGUCAUGCCUAAACUUGAGAGAGAUUUCAAUUUUUAGAACUAGUCAUGGCAGAGCAACUAUUCAUCAUUUCCAUGUGAGAGCUUAUCAUGAGGGUUCAUAGCAAACUUUAUUUAUUUAUUUAUUUAGCAAACUAAGUAAAGAUAUAUAUAUAAGCACAAAAUCUUUAUUUGGGUUUUCAUGAUUAUGCAUCUUUUUAUUAUUUGAGUAAAGUAUAAACGCAAGUAGAAACACUUAGCUGGAUGAAUGGGGGUGCUCUCCCCAAGCUGGAUCUUAACGUAAUUUCUUCUGAUGUAGCUAGCAGGUGGCGGAGACGCAUUUGAAUGUCGGCAGCACCUUGAUAGCGAUUAGGAUGUCCUCGGUCUACUAGUCUUCUUUGAUCCUUGAAUUCUGUGGAGCUCAAAUAGACAACAAAGCUUUGUGGAACUAGUUAAGUGUUGGCAUAAAUAUCUAGCCUUUAUCAUGUUGAGCAUCCUCAAUAAAUGUUACUCUCUUUUGUAGGAUCAUAAAUUUAUUUUUAUAUUUUCUUUUUUUAUAGGACAAGAACAUAUUUAUUUUAUGUUUAUGCCACCACAGUGAAUGUACUUAUGGGUUUUAUGCCAUGAGCAUACUCACAUGGGGCUUAAUAUUUUUAACAUUUUUAUUUUCUUUUCAAGAUAGCAUGAACCUGAUUAACUAAGCCAACUAUUUUAAAUAAUUGAAAGGAAAAAGAUAACUACCAAGUUCACCUCUUGGCAAGGCGUUUGGUGUCUUUAAGUCAUUCGAACGGGACUCCAUUUUCUAAGUCAUCCUGGGAUUUGCUAGAUGGUGUAGUCGGUGGUUCCAGCGGUGCCUGCUCUUCAUGUAUAACUAUCUUCUCUCUACACACCUCACUCGGUGCUACGGUCUCCUCAGGACAGUUCUGUUCAAGUUGUAUGUCUUUAGAUAUUACCACUUCUCCUUCGUAGUCUCCCAUCCGUCCUUGAUGAUUUGCCUCCUCUGGUUACGGUUACGUCGUCUUCUUCUUGUCCUGACCUGCUUAGAGUCUUCAACUAUAUAGUUAGGGUCAGUAAAACAGUGGCGUACCUUCUCAGAUGGGAAGUGCAUGUGGACUACUCUGGUUCCAAUGUAGAUGAUUGCUUUAACGGUGCUGAGGAACGGUCUCCUAAGGAUGAUGGGUGGAUCGUACUUGUCUUCUCCCAUGACAAUAACAUUUCAAAAUGUCUGAUCUGCCAUCUUGAGCUGAAUGUAUGUUGGUUGUAGGGGCAUGGUUCCAUGCAGGAGAUGGGUCAUCCUUUUUGGUCAAGAACGGUGACUUAAGUCGACGGUCUUGACCUCCUUGAACUGCAGUGACCAUCUUAGCUGACUCGGUCCACAUUUGCUUGUUCCUAUUCCUCCUGAUGGUCCUUUCCUUGUUUCAUGUUAGGAUUGCUCUAAGAUUUGUGUAGUCUUGUUCUUGAAGGAAAACAUCUCCUUCCUCCCUUUGAUGUAGAAACUGAUCUUGGCAGCACUAGCAUAGAUGACAGCUCCUCAGGUGUUCAGGAGUGGCCUCCCUAACAUAGAUGACAGCUCCUCAGGUGUUCAGGAAUGGCCUCCCUAGGAUGGGUGCCCUCUCAUCAGUACCAGUCUCUAUCACCACGAAGUCUGCUGGAGCGUACAAGGAACCAACUCAGACGCGGAGGUUCUUCAAUAUUUCCUUUGGGAAACCUGGGCAUGAUGUUGAUACUGUAGCCAAAGUCGCAGAGUGCUUCUGGGAAGUCCACCAUGCUGAUGGAGAUCGGGAUGACGGAGCGUCCUGGAUUGUCUUUCUUGACCGACAGAAGAUCAGUAAUUACUUCCACGAGUUACUCCAGUAGUUACAUCCUCAAGCAUCUCAGGGUAGUGAUUGCCUGAGUGUCCAGUCUCUCCAGUGUGUUUGUGCUUGUAGAUCUAGGUUCUUCACUUGAUGGAGUCUGGGAGUUGUAAAAGUCCUUCAUAUUUUGCUCGAAGUGUACCUGCUCAUAGAGACAAGGCAGAGAUCAAGUGCAUGGGCUCUGUUGGUGGAAAACACCAACAGAACCAAAAGUGUAUUUGUUCUUCUCUAACCUUAAGCGUAGUGAGUAAGACAAAGUUGAUGUAUAAUAAGAUCAUGAGUGUAGCAUUUAAAACUUUUGUCAGAUCAGGUUGUUCAACCUAAUGGAAAGAUAAUCUAUAAAUACUUAUGUUUUUAUAUCUUCCAAAGAUUGAAUGUGCAACAUUUUAGUUUAUAUGAUUAGGAGUGUGGAAUCACAAAUGUAGUACUAUAAACAAAGAUUAAAGGACUAAACAUGCUUAAUUAAUUGGGUUGGUUAAUUUAGAGUUAUAAAUCAUACAUGCUUGUCUCUUUAUUCAUGUGAACGCUAGAACCAAGGAGAAACUUAUAAAAGUGAUAGUCAAGUACCUUAAGAUGUUACCUUACUUGAAGAGUGAUGGUACAAUAUCACCUUGUGGAAGCUUUCCUUUCUUAGCGGUUGUGCAUCGUGUUUGUGGCACCCUCCAUGGAUCAUCUCUUGUGAGCUAUGCCUUUCUUGUGCAAAUUGUUAACCUUCAUGCAUCUCUCUCUUUGUCUCCAAUGUGAUUUUAUCUCAGGACUUCCCAGGUCAAUAUUGAACGUUUUCCUACAGGGGUUAGUCCAACAAAAUAUCCAAUAUCUACUAUAGCAUACUAUUGGCUUAAAGAACAACCUAGACACCAUGUCUAAUUUGAUUUAGGAGGGCAUUUUAACCUAAGCAUCAUGCUUAAUUUAAACUCCCUUGGAAGUAAGAUCAUCAGCCCUAAACUAAGCACCAUGCUUAAUUAAGAGAUAAAUGAAACUACUCCAAACCUAGACAUAUACUAAAACAAAUAAAGGUAGCAUGAGCAUUUCUAGAGUUCUACUCAAAUGGAGAUGAAGUAGUGUGAUUAGUAUUUAACAAAUUGAGCAUGUCUCAAAGGUAGGGACAACCAACAUAGCAACAUGGCAAAGGAUGUUUUUAUAUAAAGUACUCCCCCAAGCUUGAAUUUUGCAAAAUUCAAGUUUGGGUGAAUUUAAUUCAAUGUUGUAUGAUGAUUAGUUGGACAUACCUUGUGCUUGUCAUUCAUCCGAUCUUCUUGCUCCAAUCCUGGAAAGGUCAGUGACAAGAAUACCCGAAGGAAUAUUUUUACAAUUAUCCUUAUAUGCUCAAUACACAAGUUAAUGUUGCAAAUAAUUAAAAGCUCAUGUUACAAUCUGAUCAGUGCUUGUUUUAGGACACUAAGCUUGUCCUUGGGAAACCAUCAAUUUAUGUCAGUGAAGUGGUUUCCCCUCCAACGCUGACCUAUAUCAAGAUCAACUCAACGAGAUCUACAAUAUUUAUUAUAGACAUAUGCAUCGACAACCGCCCUUUUAAAGUUUUUAUAAAUAGAAAGGAUGAGGGGGUUCGAGAUCUCGAAUGUGGUGAUGUUGGAAAAACCAAUGGAUUGAGAAGAUGUUGCAUAUGAGCAUGGAGUAAAUGAAGUGGCUAUGAAAUAAAUUCCAUGCUCAUUAAUGCUUAGAGUGAAAUCCAUGUGGUAUGGUGAAAAUGAUAAGGUGAGUGUGGUAAAAAAAGAAAAGAAAAAUGAUACACGGAUGACUUGGUUCGAAACUAGCACAGCUACCGUUCCCCGGCAACAGCGCCAGAAAGCUUGUUGGGUAUUUUAAACGCAAACAGAAAAAUCAGCAAGCGCACGGAUACCGAUGUAGCCUUCACCCGGGAGUAUUCCAGAGUAUCGAUUUUCCACAGGAAACGUGAGUGUACUAAUUAAGAAUCAAGAUCGCCCAAGGAUAACUAUAUAAUUGUUUUUGGUGGGAAGAGAGGAAGUUUCCUGAGAGUUCUCUAGUUGAUCUAAGAAUCAAGAAUUACUUCAAGAUUAUCUAUAUCGGGACAUCAGAGCACUAACCACAGAAAGAGAUGAGAAGGGGGCUAGGAAGGUCUAACUACGGUCCUACAAACACCGAUCCGAACGAGGUGGAAUACGUCGACCGUUAGGGCUGUCACUACCCUAAGGCUACCACAACAAUCCGCAGGAUUGGGUGCAAUUCCAGGUAAUCGCAAGACUAAACACCACGUCUAAUCUAUUAAUUACUACUCUAGCGUUAUAAAGACUAGAGCACUUGAUACAAGCGGGAAUCCAACAAAUAACUUAAAUGUAAAUAAAAGUAAUUAAAGAACUCAGGAAUUAUGAUUUGAAGAACUUGGAGAACGAUGAAGAACGAACCAGUUGCUGCAAAAGUACAAUGUUGAGGAAGAUCCGACAUAUCCGGCUCCUCCUCCGCUCUCCUCUUUUCUCUCCCUAUUUUCUAGAUUACAACUAGAACUAACUAGAACUAGAACUAGAGGAACUAGAACUAGAACUAGAUGAACUAGAACUAGAUCUAGAUGAACUAGAGGUAGAGCUAGAAGAACUAGAGGGAUCCUCUCUACUUGGACGAAGAAUUGAAACCCUAACUUUGAUUCUGUAGAAGAGGUAUGAUCUCCAGGGGCCAGGGGGUCUGGUUUUAUAGUCCCUUCAAGUGAAUCUGGGCCGUUGGAUCAAACCAACAUUGAUUGAACGGUUAUCCUUGAUCCUUUAGGUCGGUAGAGCAAUAUCCCGAAAGAGAGUCCUGAUUGGACUCUAUGUGAGGGCGGGCACCCAGGAGAGGAGGGGGGGCGCCCUGUCCCUGAGUCCUCUCGGCCUCCGCUUCGGUCCCGUGGCUUCUGGAGUGUUGUAGAUGAUAGAAAAUUGUGCGGCACGUUAAUAUCUCUAUGUAAACCCGACAUGUGGGCCUUUCUUCCGUAUUUCCUGAUAACCCCCUGUAGAAAUAGACAAACACCAAAACUCGUGGAAUUCUAUCAGAUAAAACCCUAAGUCUAGGUGUUGGUUGCAUUUGGAUCCUUUUCCAUGAUUAAUUGAUGGUUAAAUAUGAGCAUUAAGGACCGUCAACAAUUCUCAACUGAUCAAAUGGGCAAGAGACCUCCAAUGGACGAGGUGGAGGAGUAUAAAUACUACCCAUCAAGUCCAAGGGCCGGCCAACCGUUAUACACUAAAAAUGGGAGCACCGGACGCUUGUUAUAUUGCACCGGACGCACUGCACUGAGCGUCUGGUGACCUCAUAACGGCUAACUGUACCUCUUCUGAUACAGCACCGGACGCUACCUCUUAGAGUCUGGUGACACCGUCCGGUGUGAGGGUGAAACUUACACCCUCCCUAAGGUUAGGACCGGACGCUACCCGAUGAGUUCGGUGCCCUGGUCUUCUUUAGACCUCCCUGGGUGUAGGACCGGACGCUACCCGGUGAGUCCGGUGCUAGCAUUUGGUGCCUAACCCUUGGCACCCAGUCACUGACUCAAGUCUACCGCACCGGACGCACUCACAUAGCAUUUGGUGCUACGUCUGGUGCCUACUUAGGCACCCAAACUUCGUCGAAACGCGAUCUUUCCAAAACGAAGUUUGUUCCUCUCGAUCUACUAUCUCUGAGCUGCCUAGUGCUAGGUUUACCAAGUGUGCACCGCACCUAAACCUAAAGCCUUGCCUAGGUCAAGCUACUAACUCAUUGCCCCUCUUAAUAGAUGGUCAAAGGAAAAUAAAGUCCUAAACUACUGUAAGUGCCCUUCUUCACCAUAUGGCACUUAGACCUAGUCUAGUCUUGACGAUGUCCAACCAUACUUUGAAAACCGAAACGAUUUCCACUAUUAGUUAGGCAUGAAUGUCCAUAUCCAUCGAGUACCUAUUACCAUGACCUAACACUAAUGACUUUGCCUCUGCAAAACACACGUUAGUCAUAGUAAUCAACAUUGUCAUUAAUCACCAAAACUCAUUAGAGGCCUAGAUGCUUUUCAAUUUUGUGUACGUAUGGAGGCACCCUGACAUGCCGAGUCGUGUGGUAGUCGCAGGUGACAGCUGUGUUGGUUCCUCUGUAGUCCACCCCCCGUACGUAGGACUAGCAGAGCGCAGUCAUGAAGGAGGUGACGAUUGUGUCUUAAAACCCUCAUUAGUUGAUGCUCCUUAUGAUGUUUUCUGAGUUUAUCACACUAUAGAUGAAAAUGUGUAGCAUGGCGUAGGCUGUAGACUUUAUAGUAGUAAUUACAUAGCUUUCUUUUAUUUGAAUAUCAUGAUUGUCUUGCUAUAUUAGUGAGUCUUUAUUCUGUAUCUCUGGAAUACCAUUACUUCAUUACUCAAUUAUCAUUUAUCAUAUUUUAUCGAUUAUUUAUCGCUAAAGCAUUAGUACUAUUGGUUAUGAUACAUUUGCAUAAUUAUUUUCUUAGUUCAUACAAGAUCACCUAAGUCUCAUAAAUAGAAUUCUACUUCAUCCUUUAGGCAUAAAAUAAAUCAACGAUACUCGGAAUACUUCCUGGGUGAAAUGCUGUCACGAGAGAAUUAUCUGUGCGCUUGCGGAUAUAUUCUAUUUAGAGUUAUUGUGUGUAGAAAUUUUUUAUCCUUGGAUUUGGCAUCAUGUUAGGGAUGACAACUUCAUAUGAAGUGAUGCUAAAAGCACCAACAUACACCUAGCCACCCCAGGCGGGGUCACUGCCACUGGUAGGAACCACUGCCUCGAUCCCCACUAGGGUCCCAUAACCAAGCUGCUCUAGGCUCCAAUAGUAGCAAGGUUCCCUUCCUUCAGUAUACCCCAUUAACUGAGCACCCUCUAAAGUAGGGUAGGCAUACCAAAUUUUCCCAAGAACUUGCUCUUAUGACGCGAGCCCCUAGGUGCCAACUGAUGGCGAGGAACCCGCCCUCCAGUGGACUUGCGAGCGGUGAGCCUAGUGUAUGCCAUCUGCUGAAAAUGGAAUACCUUGGGUAAGACUGAGGAUUAUCUUUUUUCAUUUUUAUUAAAAAUGGGAUAGAUUUAUAUUGGGGAAGGAACUAAAUAAUGAUAUGAAAUGAACAUGAUGCAUGCACAAAACAUACGAUAUCACAAAUCUAGAAACAAGAGUUAAUACUAAUUGGUAUAUACGGUGGCAUACAACGUUCUCACAUAACGUAACUAGCGCUCUAUGCGACAACGUGGUUAGUGUACCUGCAGAAAACUCAUUUCAGCCCAACCAUAGUAUGAAACAUGCAGAACAAAAAUUUAAAGCAAUGCAUCCCACACAUACCCCACCUUUGUAUGUGACAUGCUGCUACCCACAUCAUCGCCCUAGUGACGGCAUCGCCCCUCAGGACGGAAUCACCCACCAUGCAGUACUCUUUCCAAGCACCCAAGUUAGGUGUGCAUGGCACAGCACACUAAAGCACUUCCCUAGACCGGCAGUGUAUCCGAUAAUGCUCUCACAGCUCUCACUUACCGAGGCGUGGACGAAAAAUGAUCCAUACAUUACCACUCAAGCGAAUGGAACUCAUACUAUUGCACGUCGUAUGAGCGAUGAAAUAGAAAUAUGAUGCACAACCCCAAAAUCAGUACUUAACUAGCCACCUUAGAGUCGUUAACUAGGCAUAAAGGAUAUGACCACUGGCACCCUUUAUAAUUUUCCAAAUACUUGUUUAACACCUUGAUCAUCAUUAAUAGGGAAUUAGUUUUUAUUAAACCGUUUAAAUUUGCUUUAAAACGUACUUAUGAACAGUAAUCCGCUAAACCUUGCUCCGAUUCCAGCUGUAACAGAACAGCCAAAUUAUAAGAGAUUAAGCGUGACAGUGACCUCUUGUGUAGUCAAACCAUCAGGCUUAAGCCCAUAUAAUCCUGGUAGUUCAUGAAAUCUCGAGGGAUUUCAAAACACAUUUCACACAUACAGCCAGAAUUGUAAUAAGUUUAGCGGUCACCAUCCACAAGUACAUCCAGCUCACAUCAUUUAGGAAUUACAUCAGAGUUCAAACAUAGUUAUUACAAACCAAGUUCAACUAUAACGGAAGCAUUUUAGUUUGAAAGUACACACACACUUAGUUUGUUACAGUGCCAUAGUCUGAUCAUUCCCACAAAAGCAAAAGAGGAGGUAGAGUGACCAUUGCCCUUGGUCUAGUCAUCACGCAUUACUGGGUACAAGUAGUUGAUGCAAUACCCAUAGUACAUCUGCCCAUCUACAAAACAACAUGGGAAUUGAACCUUGAGUACGAGAAUGUACACAGCUAGACUUACCGGUCAUGAACCAAAAAUAAAAGACUCUUCAAGGAUCAUGAAGGCUAUAUAGUGGGAUAGCUAGACCCUUUUCGCAUAAAAAGCUUUAUCCAUCUAGGAGUAUAUCCUAAAACCCUUUUGCUUUUAUUUAGCUCAAGUUAGGUAUUAUUACCUACCAUCUAGGUUAGCACCUGUACUAUUACAAAUAGUUGUUUCAAUAUGAUAGUACCAUAUCAUAGCAUUCACAAUCAUCAUAUACCAUAACCAAAGUGUUUCAUAGUCCUUACUAUGAGUAUAGGGCUCAUGUCCAGGAGCAAUGGCGAUUCGAAAUGAUUUUUGACCAGCUGGCGAGUUAUUCCCCACACAAACCACACUCACUGAUCAAGUGAGCUACAGAUCACCGUAUUACACUAUCCAGGACCAAUUCGUCGGUUCGGCAAGCACCGCUAGUACCCAAGGACCGUUCCGGCGAACGAGGUAUCCAAGGCAUACCAAGGUUGUGCGUCGCGCCCUCGUUGUUCUCCUCAACCAUCACCAAUACAGCGCAAGGUGGCUCGACUCCUAGCUCAGAUAGUGUUCAGGCUUCGUGGUUGGAAUGACUUAUCCUUCCAGCUAAGUGUGGGGCAUGCGUUCAACAUGACAAGAGGGCCGUUAAUGAUUAGUCCUUAAUUGAUACAAGCAGGGGCACUAUGAUCAACACCCUAUUGAUGGUCCUUAAUGCCUAUUUUAUACCAUCAACUAUUUCUCAAUAUAACAUGAUAUCAACCAUAAAGCAUAGUUAUAGGGUUUGAUUCUAACGAGUUCCAUGAGUUUUGGUGUUCUCACUUGUUUUGUUGGAAUAUGCAAUUUUCCAUCAAUAAAAGUAUGUCAAAUGAUGAUUUGGACUACACCAUUGUGAUGGGCUCAUCGAGAUGAUAGAAAUUGACAUAUCAUUUGCUAUAUUUGGAGUCCGGAGUGAAAAGAUAUUAAUUUUACAAGUAAAGGAGUAUUACCACUAAUGGGCCCCACGCCCAAAAAAGGCCCAUGACGUGAGAAGAGGCUCAUAUGGCAUGAUAGAGGCCCAAGAAAGGUGCCCUAAGCUGCUCCCUUGAGUGAGCUCACAUGAGGGAUGAUUGGAAAGCCCAAGUUGAUGUAUAAUAGCCCAACAGAGCAAACGGUGGAAGAAAUAGUCCCACAUCGCCUGUCCAAAAGAGGUGGGAGGCUUUUCUAGACUAUAAAUAAAGAGGCAGACCCCCUCCCUAAGGGCACCACAUUAUGGAGGUAUAGAGGCGUCCCUCGAUUGUAUAACCUCUCACCUCUAGAGAAUUAGGGCUAGACAUUCCAAUGUAGUAGAUUAGUUCUAGUUGAGAGUUAGGGAGAGCAGCACUAUGCCCGGGUUCUGAAGGAGUCUGCUGGAGGAGUCUUUAGAGGAGUCAUCAGAGUUCUGGUAUAUCUUUGUAUCUUUUCUUGUAAGACUUAUGCUUUAAUAUAUUAUCUUCUCUAUUUACUUUUAUGCAUUACAUUUGAUUGGGUAGUAUAGUUGUUACACUUUAGCAUAGGAUCUCCGCCGCAUCGGGUGCUCUAGUUAUUAAUUGUGACUAGAGUAGUAAUUUGUAGUAGAGACAUGGUGUCUAGACUAUAGGUUACCUAAGAUUGCACCCAGUUCUAUAGAUAGUUGUGGUAGCCCUACGUGGUGACAGCCCUGAUGGCCGACGUAUUCCACCAUGUUUGGAUUGGUGUUUGUAGGACCGUAGUUGGAGCUUCCUAGUCCCCUUCUCAUCUUUCCGUAACUAGUGUUCCAAUGUCCCAAAGUGUUAUUGUGUGAUUGCUUUACCUACCAUGAAUUAGUUAUUAUAGAACCCUAGUAAUAGAGAAGUAUUUAGGAACCUUAAACUCUCCCAUUGUCCUCUCACUUUAGCUAUCUACUCUUUUAUCAUAUAAUUCUCUGGUGUGUGUCAUAUAUGCAUAAUUCCUAUCAUCGAUUAUUUACCCCUACUUUAGUCUAGUUGGUGUAUUAGUUAGUAGAUACAUGAUGGUGAACUAUCAAUAUCUUUAUCCAUUGUUUCCCUGUGGUAAAAUAUAAAUAAUGGUACCUGGAAUACUCCCGGUAAAAUGCUACAAUGGUUUCCUGUGCGCUGGUGGAAUCCUUCAUAUUUUAAUUGUGCGUAAGAAACACCAACAAGCAUUUUUGGCGUCGUUGCCGGGGAAGCAAUUGGCGUAAAGAUUCUAAUAAUGAUCUUGAUAUCUGCUAAUUUAGUGUACCACUAGCUUUAUUAGGUUUACCCCUUUGUUCUGUUGAGUGUGGAAUAGACAGGACAUCAGAUGCCACUUCGACCUUGCAACAAGAUUCCACAAGAUUAAAGAACCCAUGGUGUCUAAACAUUUAUGAUCCAUCAACAAUAAAGCCCUGCCAUCUCACAGGUAUGUAUAAACACAUAUAUUGUAACACACCAGUGUUAUGGUUGCAUCCUUUCACAUGCACAACAAGAGCAUCGUCAUCUUCAUAAGCAUACCAUGAUCAUCAAUCACCUUUGGUCAUGUCAUUUUAUGCAUGAGUAUGGUUUAACUUGUUUAAUUAUGCUUUCUAUGCUUAUGUUUAUUUAUACCAUGCUCUUGUUUGUGUCGUAGGCCUUGGUAAAUAGUUCAUCUAUGCUUAACUCAACCUUUGGAUCGGAGCAAUCUUCAUGUUGAGUGUUUAGCCCAAAAGUGAACCUAGGUCAUAGUUAUCCUUGUUUAACCAUGUUUGACCCUCUAGAGUGCUUUUCAAAGAUCCUUUAUGAAGUCCUUGCUAGAUUUCUUGCAUGUUGAUGCACCCUUCAGCAAAGUUGUGGCAAAUUUCCGAAGCAACAAAAGUUCUUUUGGGGUCAAUUCAUGAAAAUGUCCAGAGCAUGCUCAAAAGUGGCCUACAAGGCAGAAAUUGGGGCUGUUUCCAGCACUUAGAAAUUUUCUAAGUCUGGAAUCUAACCAGGUUGCUUGAGGGUGGCUUGGAUGGCUUCCAGUUUGAAAUCUAGGCCGAACAAAGUUAUGAUCCUUUAAGCAAAGCUCAAGUCCUCAUGUAGCUCUACAUCAUGGAGCAGUUAGCCAGCAAAACUAUCGAUUAGAUUAGUAGUUAAUCGAAGUCAAAAAUCGAGUUUCAGUCGGUUUCAGAACUGAAUGGAGGCAGCGUCAGUGGGGAGGAGCUCGCCGGUGACGCCGUGUGUUUGGACCCGUGGCAUCCGUACGUCGCCGUUGGUCCCACUUGUCAGCACCCGACGCGUCCUCCAGGUCGCCAUGACGUCCCCUGUCACGUGGACAGCACCAUUUCUCCCCCUGGUUCUCUCUCUCUCGCUCAUCGUCUUCUCCGCGUCUCCGCCAUCGCUUCGGCGAGCUCGCGAGCCCGUGUCUCGGCGUCUCCAGCCGAGCCACUGCACCCAGCACUUCGCUAGCUUCCCCGCAUCACUGUCGUCACGUUGGCUGCAGCUGCCGAGUCUCGGUAAGCCCACAUUGUCUUCUCCGUUGCGAGCUUACCUCGCCGGAGUUCCGCAUGGUCACCGGUGUCGUGGUCAGGGCUCUCUAGUCUAGCAUUUCUUCUCGUUCUUGUUUCAAAAGCUCCGCCUUGUCAUGCUGAUGCUCGUCAGGGUUCUCUUUUGCUCGGUCUCCGACCAGAGACGCCGGCGGUCGGCCGCGCACCACCGCCGUGCCGCCAUUCACGAGGGCGAGGUCCCUAGGGCGUGGUAGAGUUAAGGUUUCUGGUACCAAUCGUCGUGGAAGAGAGUGAGGAGCACGAUGGUGCCCUUGGCCGUCGCCGAGACCUCGCCGUCGACGAGAUUUCUGGUGGUCAAGCCUCGCCUCUGUUCUCGGGGUCACUGACGUGUGGGGUCCGUUGACCUGUGGGGUCUCCCUGUCAGUCCCUCUCUCCUCUUGUUUGAAUUUAGGGUUUGUGCUGUAUUUGGAAAAAUCAUAACUGGAGUUUGGAAAGUCCUCUUGAGGUGAUUCAAUUUUUUUUGUGCACCUCUGGUAGGCUAGUUUUAAAUAAAAAUAUAAUAUGUCCCAUGUCUAUGUGAAAAAUAAUUGUUAUGAAUUAAUCUUGUUAAUUCUAUGUAAAUGUAUAUGUCUUGAUCUACUACUCCAAAUGCUGUGAAAUUUUUAUGCUGUGCUUUGGAUAGUAUUAGAAUGCUCUGAUAAAUAUUUCAUGAUUUUUGGAGUGUUGUAUCUCUGAUAUGUAAUUUAUGUUAAUACUAUUGCCUAAAUCCAUGUUUAAAUCAUAUUAAAUAUUAUAUGCUUAUGAUGGUGUUCUCCUUUGGUGUCAAGCUUGACCAUAGUAGUAGUAACAUGUAAAUAGUCUGAAAUCUGUUGUUUGACACUAUCAAAGCCCUGUUUCUUAAUUUAUGAAUUAAGCACCUUGUUACAUGUUAAUUAAAUAUCUUAAGUUUGGCAUGUGCAAUUGCUCUUGUAGAUUUUUCUGAGCACUCUUGCUGGUAUCUUUUCAUUAUGUCCUUCUAUAUAAUUAAAUGAGUAAAUGCCUUUUUAUUAAGUGUUUAGUUAUUCACAUGUGGUUUUCUGGUAAUCUUGGGAUAUGUUUGUGCUUAUGAACCACUUGGUUGGUACUAAAUAUGUUUUUGCCUUGACAUCAACUAAUUAAGUAAAGGGUAUAAAGCUGUUCUGGAUAGCAAGGGAGUAAUCUGUUUGUUGUCUAAUGAUAACUUUAGUUUCUGAAAGACUUGUCUAUAUAAAAGAUGUUGUAAACUUUGUAUGCUAGCUGCAGUUUAAAUUUGGGAUCAUUUGGUCCAGGAGUUUAAAAGUUAUGGCUCUUCCAAGUUGAGUUCCAGAACUCGGUGCUCUCUGUCUUUCUAGAACAGAAUCUGGAACUUUGUUUAGUUGACCUGUUUAACUUAUAAAUCAUGCUGUGAUGUCUAAAGAUGAAAUGUAAACAAUUUCAUAAGCUUUCCAGAAUGUUCUCAUUCAUGUUUGUUGGAUCUAUAUAUCUGUGGUUAUGAAUUGUUCUUUGAGCUGCUCUGUAAAUAGUUGUUGCUGUUUAAUUGUGUAAGUUGGUGUGUUCUUGUUAGUUGUGGUGGUACUCUUUUGUGAGCUUAUAAUAGAAGCUUACUCCGUAAAUUAGUGUCCAGUGAAGUUAUAAUAAUGUUACCAAGCAUUCAUCAUCAUCUUGGGUGCACACAUUCCUUACUUAUCAUGCGUGCAAUAGGUGCACCGGAAGUCGCAGCAUCGUUCGAGCUCGAGAGGGUGAAUCCCGAAGGCCCGGAGGUCACCCAGGAGACGGAGGUCCAGCCAGCAGGACAAGAGGAGCCCGAAGAGGCUGUCGAGUGCCCUAGUCACGAGCCCGCUUUGUUCACGAAAGGUAAGCCCCGGAGCAUCUUAAAUCUCCCAAUUAAUUUCAAAGCAUACUUGAAUAUUGUCGACGAAAGCUAGUCGGCAGUCUACCUUGGGGUAUACCCACGGUAGUAGUUUAUCGGCAGACAGCUGCGCAAGCUAAGAACUUGAUGGUGACGCAAGACACAGACAAGGAUUUUAUACAGGUUCGGCCACCGUGUGGGCGUAAUACCUACGUCCUGCGUUUGAUUGUAUUGUUGUGGAUCGAAUUGUGUUGAGUUGAGUUGUCUAAAGGGGGUCCCUUGCCUCUCUUUAUAUAGUCCAGAGGGCAGGGUUGCAGAUUUGGAAACUAAUCCUAGUCGGUUACGAUUGCCAUAGAUAACACGAUAUCAAUUCCUAUUCUAACCGACUAGAAUUUUGCUUGAUCUCCACGUCUUGUUUCCUUGCGCGAAACUUCGAGCAGUUGGAUGAAGCCUCGAACUGUCUCGUGAUGGGCCAAGUCUCCUGGCCCAAGUCUAGCCAUAACGGUAUAGGGGUUGGUACCCCCACAGCUAGUCCCCGAGCUCCAUGUAUUAUGAUGUAACACACCGUCUUGAGCUUCUUCGACCAGCAAGAAAAUCACCCAAACAGUUGCAACAGUAUUUUAACCAACUCAAAAGACAGUUGAUCAACAUCAGCAUCGAUGAAGUAGGUUGUUCGAAGAAUGCAUGGUGCUUUUAAUAAAAAAAGAUUUCUUUCCUGGUGAAGUGUGCCCACUUUACUUUUCCAAAAAGUAUAGUGUUUCAAAAAGCAAGCAUAUUCACCGUAAGGAGAAGUGUGCCCACUUAGUCUCCGAGCCUGGUAGUAGAUGACGUAGGCAUGUGGUGCUAGGAUCUUAAAGAGAGAAAACCACAUAGAAAAUCUGAUACUAAGAUCCAUUACCAUAUGCAUCGUACCGAUGUAGUCUCCGAGCUUGCUAGAAGGUGAAGAAUGAGCAUUAUAACAAGGUCUUGAAAAAUAAAACUAUCCAUUCGAACGCUAUGCGAUCAAAUUUACCAGUCCCCGAGCAUAUCACGCUCAUCUGUGAUUGAGUAGGCUGGUCGACCAGCCCCCGAGCAUAUCAUGCUCAGUGGUCGGUACAGUCCCCAGUCGACAAAUGAGCGGGCUGGUCGGUACAGUCGCUAGUCGACAAAUUAGCGGGUUGGUCGACCAGUCCCCGAGUGUAUCAUGCUCGGUGGUCGGUACAGUCCCCAGACUUUCAAAUGAAUGGACUGGUCGACCAGUCCCCGAGCGUAUCAUGCUCGGUGGUGGGUACAGUCCCAAGACUUUCAAAUGAUCGGGCUAGUCGACCAGUCCCCGAGCGUAUCAUGCUCGGUGGUCGGUACAGUCCCCAGACUUUCAAAUGAUCAGGCUGGUCGACCAGUCCCCGAGCGUAUCAUGCUCGAUGGUCGGUACAGUCCCCAAACUUUCAAAUGAACGGGCUGGUCGACCAGUUCCCGAGCGUAUUAUGCUCGGUGGUCAGUACAGUCCCCAAACUUUCAAACAAACCAAACAAAUUAAUUACUUGGCUUUUGAAAACAUCCUGUCGCCUCACUAAUUUGCGAUGUGACGAGGCACCCUGCUAUCUUGUCAGUCUAUCGCAUAAAAAGGGGUGCCUGCUAACUGCACAGCCGCUCAUCACAUGGAUCAAGAAAGGCAAACCAACAAUCAUUUUAACAAGGCCACUUUCGCCGCAAAAACCGCUCAUUUCCCCAAAAUACGGUAAGUGGAAGAGGUGGUAUUGCCGUUAUAUAUAGCCCGACGUUGUGUCUUUAAACCUUUACCUAGCAGUUGCAUACUAGCAUCCUUCACCACAGAUCCCACGAGACCCAGUUCAAAACUCUCCGCGUAGAAAGAAGGGCUAAGAGCAACUCGAAGAAGAGGGCCGAGAUGAUGGCCAAGGAGUGGAAGAAAUCCCAGAGCACCAUGAGAUCCCUCAAUGACCUCGUCGAAAUGGGGCUUCUGCACGACCAGGAGCUUUGCGGCUGGAGAGCGCCGGAAGGAGAGAGUUACCCGGAUACCCGAGCUAGUGAGAUUGUUGUUUUUGAAGAUUUUUUCAAGAGGGGGUUUGGGGUGCCUGUUCAUCCGUUUCUUCAAGGGUUGCUUCUUUAUUAUGAGAUCGGGAUCUACAAUCUGCACUUGAACUCCAUUCUGCUUGUUGCGACCUUCAUUCACCUGUAUGAGGCGUUUGUUGGUAUUGAGCCGCAUUUUGACCUCUUUCGCUACUUAUUCUGUUUGAGGAAGAAGGGAGCAGUCGGAGGCUCAAAGAUUGCAGGUGGAGUAUACCUCAAUCUCCGUGAUGGCAUGAAGAACUGGUAUCUCAGCUACCCUUGGAACACCUCCCUCACCGAGUGGUACAAGAGGUGGUUCUACAUCAGGGAGGAGCCGGGUAGCGCCAUGUUUUGCGACAUCGGCUACAUCCCCGAGAAGAGGGUUAGCUGGACGGACCGGCCAGAGUACACUAGUCAGGUGUCGGAGUUGAUGACCCUGAUCAACUGGUUGUUGACGGUUCUUAAGUAUCAAUUUUAAUUAUCAGAUAAACAAGAGAAAGGACCAAUAUGCAACCAACACCUAGAAUUAGGGUUUGAUCUGACAGAAAUCCACGAGUUUUGUUGUUUAUCUGUUUCUGCAGGGGGUUAUUAGGAAAUAAGGAAGAAAGGCCCACAUGUCAGGAUUACAUAGAGAUAUCAACACACCGUGCGAUUUUCUACCAUCUAGAAGACUCCAAAAGCCAUGGGAAGAAAGCAGAGGCCGAAAGGGGCCAGGCCCAGGGCGCCCGCCCUGGUGACCUGGGCGCCCACCCCCUGCUGGAAGUCGUUCGGGACUCUCUUCGCACACGAUGUUCCACCGACCUAUUGGAUCAAGAAUAACAUAGUACCACCUCGCCUACCGACCCAAAAACGCAUAGAGGAGGAGGACUAUAUAAGAAGACCCCCUGGCCCCUGGAGAAGACAAGAAAUUAUCAUAGAGAUUGAGGGGUGCCCUCGAAGGAAAACCUCUUCUCUAAAUAAUAUUUCUUUUUAGGCUUAGCAACCAAUGUAAAGUAGAAAUAGAUCUUCUAGUUUCUACUAGACUGAGAGAGAUAGAGUGGAGGUGUAGAUUGGAGGAAGCCCGGCCUGUCGGUGUCUACUCCAAGCUUGUACCUGCGGGAUCAAGUUCUCCUAACCCGAAGCUUGCUCCUAGGAUUCUUCAGUAUUUUGACUUCUAAAUUCUAGUAAGUUCUUGUUUUAUUGUUCUUCUGGUUUAAGAGUUUGCUUUAAUCUCUUCGCGUAGAGUUUAGAGUAAUCAUUGCUGGCAUAAACGUGGUGUUUAGGCUGGGGUACUCAUAGAUAUUCCCUGACUAGCUGGACUGUGGUAGUAGUGAGGAACGUGACAAUUCCGAGUUACCUUUGCAGACCAUAUCUCGUUAGCAGGAAGGAUAGGGUUUAUAGGUGUGGGUUGAACAUCCUUUGUGGUGUCUAGAUUCCGUUAGCCUCCCCAAUAGGACAGUAGAUCAUCCUUACCAAGGUUAGAAGGAGACUACAGUUGCAGUCUUCUCUAUUUAUCACUCACAUCGAGAGACAUUCUUUAUUGCCUAAAGGGUUAGUAGUAAUAGACCGGUUAGUCAGAUGCACUCUUUCUCCUAGUGGUAAAAAAAUAAAUACGAUACUCUAGAUAAUUUCCCGGGUGAAGUGCUCACCGAUAUCCGUGCGCUUGCGGAUCAAUUCCUUAUUGCGUUCCCAAAUAUCAACAAGCAUUUCUUGCGUCGUUGCCGGGGAGAAAGACGGUUUGCUGAGAUAACCUUGAGUCUUACUACUAGCUUGUAUCUAUACUUUUAUCUUUUCUUAUCUUUUAUAUUCUUUAUUUAUUUUAUUUAUUCUUACCUUAUGGAAAAUCAAAAUUCUAAAUCGAUCCAUGAAUCUGCAAUCCCAUCAGUAACUGACCUUUUACCUUGGGAAUCAUCACAGCCUAUCCAAACAUCCCAGUAUAAGUUAAGUUCUAGGUUGAUUGCCAUGAUUCAAAACCUAUCUUUUUCGGGAAAGGAAGACGAAAACCCUUACCUUCAUAUUAGAGAUUUUGAGCAAACAUGUGAUUGUCUUCGCAUUGAAGGCAUAUCUGAUAAAACUUUACGUUGGAAGCUUUUUCCUUUUUCUUUAAGGGGAGAAGCUAGACAAUAGUAUAGUCAGAAGGUAAGUCAACAACAAGGUGAAUGUGGAGUUUUACGAGCCAACUUUUGUCUAGAUUUCUAUUCCCUCGACCGUAUAGCCGACCUUAGACUCGAUGUCCUAUCUUUUAAACAAAAAGAUAAUGAAACUUUGGAAAAAUCCUGGAAACGUUUUUCUGAUCUUUUAGAAUCUGGUCCAAACCUUAAUCUUGAAGACCCUGUUCUUUUAUUUCACUUUUUUCGAGGCCUUCAGAAAAAUCACAAACAAAUGCUACACACAAUAUCUAGAGGUUCUUUCUUUCACAUCCCUACUGAUGAACCUAGAGUGAUCCUAGAUAGAAUCCUAGAAGCUGAGAUGGAUAAUACCCUUCAUGAUGAAACCUACGAAGCCGAAGUAGACACUCUGCCAAAUUCUUCAUCUACUUUAGCUAUCCCAAGUUCUGAGCCACAAGAGGAAGAAAUUCCACCACCGGACUUCAUGCUGGUUAUAGAAUCCGAUCUUUUUGCUGAUUUUGGAAACAUUUCAAACUACCAUUCUAUUGACAAACCUCAAGACGGCCAGUUUAGCAUUUAUUUGCCAAGGGAAUAUCAAUUAAGAGAGCUUAUCUCAGUCAUAAGUAGCGAAUGGUUGGAGGAAUCAGAGCUUUCCUCUGAUGUGAUCCGUUUGGACACACCCUCUAUAACUAUACGUUGUGCUUAUAAUUCUGAUCGAUUUAAUGCUCUCUAUAAUCCUGUUGUGGGGAUCAACAUCAUGUCUGAAUCUUUUGCACUUAAACUAUUUAAAAAUCUUGUCUUAACCCCCCACAACAAAGGUCAUAAAGGAAUCUUUCGGACGAUUAGUCCCCAGUCUUGGAAUUAUUAAUGUCCUACCUCUUACGGUAGAAGGCUCCAUGGUUCAUUUGAACUUCUAUAUCUUUGAUACAUGGGACUUUGACCUGUUGAUAGGACAACCUUUUAGAAGACUCCUUUACGAAGGUCAUACUAGAAAGCUACACAUUUCUUUUGGAAAAACCUUUAAAUUCCCAAUAACAAUUUCACACUCCUUAAACAAUAAGGCCGAAUCAUAUCUUUUGCCUGAUCCUAUGGAGGAGGUAAAGGCUGCAUCUCUAGAGCUUUUUGAAGAAUUAGACUUAGAAGACGAAACUCCAUUCUUCAUAGAAGAAGAAGCCGAACCUUCUGAACCUGAACCCUUAGAUGAGUUUGCAGAAACACCUAGACCCCCCCAUAGAGCUUAAAACUUUACCACCCGGUCUUACCUAUGCUUUCCUAAACAAUAAUCCAGAGUUUCCUGUGAUCAUUAGCGAUAAACUCACUGAGGACCAAACUCUGCGAUUAAUGACUAUUCUUGAGAAACAUCACUCAGUGUUCGGCUACUCACUCCAAGAUCUUAUAGGAAUCAGUCCUAUGAUUUGUACCCAUCGUAUUCCAACAGAUCCUUCUGUUUCACCUUCUCGAGAACCCCAACGUAGACUUAAUAACACUACGAGAGAGGUAGUUAGAAAGGAAGUUAUAAAGUUGCUGCAUGCAGGGAUUAUAUAUCCUGUGCCGCACAGUGAGUGGGUAAGCCCAGUUCAAGUUGUGCCUAAAAAGGGAGGCAUGACUGUUAUUAUGAAUGAAAAGAAUGAGCUAAUUCCACAACGCACCGUCACAGGAUGGCGGAUGUGCAUAGACUAUAGAAAACUAAACAAAGCCACGAGAAAGGAUCACUUUCCUUUACCUUUCAUAGAUGAGAUGCUAGAGUGGUUAGCGAACCAUUCGUUCUUCUAUUUCUUAGAUGGAUAUUCAGGGUAUCACCAAAUCCCGAUCCAUCCUGAUGAUCAAAGCAAAACCACUUUUACAUGCCCAUAUGGAACUUAUGCUUACCGUAGAAUGUCUUUCGGGUUAUGUAAUGCACCAGCUUCUUUUCAAAGAUGCAAGAUGUCUAUAUUUUCUGAUAUGAUUGAAGAGAUUAUGGAAGUUUUCAUGGAUGAUUUCUCUGUUUAUGGAAAAACUUUUGAUAGUUGUCUUGAAAACUUAGACAAGGUUUUGCAAAGAUGUGAAGAAAAGCACUUAGUCCUUAAUUGGGAAAAAUGUCAUUUUAUGGUUAGAGAAGGAAUAGUGCUGGGACACUUAGUGUCUGAAAAAGGUAUUGAGGUAGAUAAAGCUAAAAUUGAAGUAAUUGAACAACUACUUCCACCUGUGAAUAUAAAAGGAAUUCGAAGCUUUCUUGGCCAUGCUGGUUUUUAUCGUAGAUUCAUAAAAGAUUUUUCAUUCAUUGCUAGACCACUUACUCUUUUGCUAGCCAAGGAUGCUCCUUUCGAAUUUGAUGAUGCAUGUCUAACAUCUUUUAAUUUAUUAAAGAAAGCACUCAUCUCUGCACCAAUCAUUCAACCCCCUGAUUGGUCGUUGCCUUUUCAAAUUAUGUGUGAUGCUAGUGAUUAUGCUGUAGGGGCAGUUUUGGGACAAACUAAAAAUAAGAAGCAUCAUGCAAUUGCUUAUGCCAGUAAAACUUUGACUGGAGCUCAACUUAAUUAUGCAACCACUGAAAAAUAGCUUCUGGCUGUUGUCUUUGCCAUUGAUAAAUUUAGAUCUUAUUUAGUUGGAGCUAAAAUAAUUGUUUACACUGAUCAUGCUGCACUAAAAUAUUUGCUCACUAAAAAAGAUGCUAAACCUCGCCUGAUUAGAUGGAUCUUAUUACUCCAAGAAUUUGACUUAGAAAUAAAAGAUAAAAAGGGAGUAGAAAAUUCUGUUGCUGAUCACUUGUAAAGAAUGUAUUUUAAGAGUCCACAAGAAACCUCCAUCAAUGAUUCACUCCGGGACGACAUGCUCUACGGGAUUAACAGGUCUGACCCCUGGUAUGCAGAUAUUGUUAAUUUUAUGGUUGCAGGGUAUGUACCACUAGGAGCAAACAAGAAGAAGCUUAUUCAAGAAAGUUGUUCACAUAUAUGGGAUGAGCCAUACCUCUUCCGAGUAUGCUCUGAUGGCUUACUUAGGAGAUGUGUCACCACUGAGGAAGGAUGGAAGAUCAUCGACAUAUGCCAUUCCUCACCAUAUGGAGGUCACUAUGGAGCAUUCCGUACACAUUCAAAGAUAUGGCAGUGUGGAUUCUACUGGCCUACAAUGUAUGAAGACACGAAGCAAUAUAUCAGAAGAUGUGGGCCAUGUCAAAGGCACGGAAACAUAAAUACAAGGGAUGCAAUGCCACUCACCAACAACCUUCAGAUUGAGCUCUUUAACGUAUGGGGAAUAGACUACAUGGGACCAUUUCCUCCAUCAAAGAAGUGCGAGUACAUCUUGGUGGCAGUUGACUAUGUCUCCAAGUGGGUAGAGGCAUUAUCUUGCAAGCAUGCCGACAACAUCAGUUCAAAGAGGAUGUUUGGAGAAAUUAUAUUUCCAAGAUUUGGAGUCCCCAGAGUAGUGAUAAGUGAUGGAGGAGCACACUUCAUCGACAAACGCUUCAAGCAAUAUCUAUCAAAACAUGGAAUCCGUCACAACGUCGCUACCCCCUAUCAUCCACAGACAAGUGGCCAAGCAGAGACUUCCAACAAACAAAUCAAGAAUAUUCUUCAGAAGACAGUAAAUGAAAUGGGAACGGCGUGGAAAGACAAGUUACCCGAUGCACUCUGGGCAUACCGAACAGCAUACAAGACCCCAAUUGGGAUGUCUCCAUACCAAUUGGUGUAUGGGAAGACUUGCCAUCUACCCGUUGAACUAGAGUUCAAAGCACACUGGGCCAUAAAGAGAUGGAAUAUGGACCUAGAUGUUGCUGGAGAUUAUAGAAGAAUGCAAUUAUUAGAAUUGGAAGAAUGGCGAGAGAAAGCAUAUCACAAUUCGAAGAUCUACAAAGAAAGAGUCAAAAGGUGGCAUGACAAGAGAAUCAAGAAGAAGGAGUUCACACCCGGAGAUAAGGUAUUACUUUUUAAUUCCAGGGUGAAGCUUUUCGGGCAUGGAAAACUCCGGAGCAAAUGGGAAGGACCAUUCAAGGUAAUUAAUUCAUCAUCCCACAGAGCUAUCAGACUUCAAAAUGAUGAAGGUACGUUAUUCAAGGUAAAUGGUCAGCGUCUUAAAUUAUUUUUAGAGCCCAAUAAAGAAUUAGAAGAAAUAGACGUAGUCCAUUUUUACCUUCCCAUGGAGAAUUAGAGCCCAACCUUUUUAGUCUCACGUUUUUGGGUCAUAUAUAUAUUUUUCUAAAUAGUUUGGCAUCUAAUAACACGCCCGAGGAAGUGGACCCACAGAGGGGCCAGAGAGAGGGCCGGCGCCCAGAUCAGGUGGGCGGGCGCCCAGCUCCUGUUCCCCCUCGGUCCCGACUUUCUCUGUUAUGGAAAAUGCACUUAAGGAAAUCAGAAUAAUCCAUCAGAUGGAAAGAUUCGCAAGCACAUCGACAGGAGCAACCCGAACAACCCAUAGAGGUACUUUUUGACCCCUAUAUAAACAGACCCCUGACCUCAGUAUUCAAACACCAAGCCAUCAAGCCUUCUCUUCUUCUUCAAUUAGAGCUUGAUUAGUUCCUUGCUGCUCCAAUGGCCGAGAAGUACCACGAUGAUUGGGAAGUCGUCCCCUUCAACCUCAACAUGAAGCCGGUGGAACACCCCGAUGCCCGUGCUCUCGUCCCGGCCAACACAGAGCGACAACUAGAAGCCAUGCCAUUACGCCAACGCAGCUCCGCCCAAUCCUACCAUGCUCAACCAGUUCUCACCGCACCACCACAACCCCUACUCCUCAAGGGAUCAUCAUCUAAGACGAAGACCACCAUCAAGGUGCCAACCGGCACAAGGAUCCUUCCACCUAGACCCAAUGAGAGAGUCGUUGGAGUCAAGACCAACCGGAGCGGCGAGAUCAGCAGCGUACGCUACACUACGGAGGAGGAAAGGCCUUACUUCGAAGGGAUUAGAGAAGCCAAAGUCCAUUUCAUCCCUCCAAAGGCAGCCCCGAAGCACGCUCUCAAUGCUUUUGAGACACCUCCCAAGCGUCGCAAGACUAUAAUGGAUAUUGAUGAGGACGUUCGCAGACUAGACAGAGUUAUCAUAGACCUCCAGUCCUCGAUUAAUUCCCUCACUAGGCAGCUCUCUAACCACAACACCAUCAUACUAGGCCUUAGGCAGGAAUUAGAGCGCCGCUAAGUUAUCUAGAUUAGAUCUUGAGGCAAUGCAUCUUAGUCAUCUAUCUUUAAAUUCGGUUUAGGUUUACUAUUAUUAUCAGUUUACUACUAUCGUUAGUUUGCUACUAGUUAUUUGUAAUAAAUGCCUCAAGAUUAAUAAAGAAUAUCAUUAUUAUUAUUAUUAUUAUUAUUAUUAUUAUUAUUAUUAUUAUUAUUAUUAUUAUUAUUAUUAUUAUUAUUAUUAUUAUUAUUAUUAUUAUUAUUAUUAUGUCUCGUGUGUCUCUACUUUAUUUUUGUGCAAGAAAGGAGAAAACAAGUAUGGGGGAGAUCCCUCGACAUGCCAAACACACUCCGACUACACCACUCCACGAUUUAGGUACACACUCUGCACACUUUACUUUACACAUACACAUAUCUUGGAUUAUGCAGAAUACUGUUUCCGACAUGACAAAUUAAAAAGAUUAAAAUAUUUCUAAUCAUGAUUAAUCUCAAUCUGUGAUAUUUCCUGAAACUUGCAAUUAUUAUAAAAUCAUUUUAAAACCCUGUGUUACUUAAGACAGUGUGAAAUGUGAGAUGCUAGAGUUUCUUAUUCUUGAUAUCAUUGUUGCUUGGAGAAUUUAUUUCAAAAUCUUUAAAAUUCUAGCUACCAUCCUCAGUGUUUUAUAUGCCUGAUAAAAAACUAAAAAUACUAAUUAUGAUUAUAAAAGCUAUCUACUCUGUAUUGAGUUUGUUCAAAAUGAGUUAGACCCUUGUUGAGAGAUUUAUCAUGCUCCUAAGAUCAAGACAUUUAUUCAGAAAGAUUCACUCUUCUGAAGUAUUAUUGCAUUAGAGGCAUGGGCUAUGCAAAAAUAAAGAUAUUUUGAGGGAAUAAAAAGAAGUAAGUGCUCGACAACCUCGCAGGAAAAAUGGACAAGUGUCCAGCAGUAGAAUUAGGGGUACCUCGGUAUCCAUUAAAAAAAAUGAUAGCCCAUGGUCUCUCUAAUAAGCAAUAUGCCAGCAAGAGUUGACAAAGAUUUUAAUUUCCAAAGUCUUUGAUCUAAGAGUAUGACAUUCCCCUCCUCGGAUCCCGUUUUGAUCAGGCAAUAAAUGCAAAGUAAGUAUGCUUAAGAAUUUUUGCAAAUUAAAACAACCUCAGUGAGAUAUAUAAAAGAUAAUGAGUGAUCUGAGAGAACCUAUGAGGAUAAAAAGGUAUGCUAGCUUUCUUUCAAAAUUAUACAAAAACUCCAAGUAACAGGAUUGAGAAGAAACGAUCUUUACUCUUAGUCAUAUACUUCCCUGAUGACUACAGUACACAGUGGAUUCUAAUACCCUGCGAAUAUAAAGAAUGUUUUAGAAUGUUUUACCCCAAGUAUUGUUCUUAACCAUCCUUUUCUCGAGGACGAGUAAAAGCCUAAGUAUGGGGUAUUUGUUGACGGAUCUUAAGUAUCAAUUUUAAUUAUCAGAUAAACAAGAGAAAGGACCAAUAUGCAACCAACACCUAGAAUUAGGGUUUGAUCUGAUAGAAUUCCACGAGUUUUGUUGUUUAUCUGUUUUUGCAGGGGGUUAUCAGGAAAUAAGGAAGAAAGGCCCACAUGUCGGGAUUACAUAGAGAUAUCAACACACCGCGUGAUUUUCUACCAUCUAGAAGACUCCAGAAGCCACGGGAAGAAAGCAGAAGCCGAAAGGGGCCAGGCCUAGGGCGCCCGCCCCCUGCUGGAAGUCGUUCGGGACUCUCUUCUCACACGAUGUUCCGCCGACCUAUUGGAUCAAGAAUAAAGUAGUACCACCUCGCCUACCGACCUAAAAACGCAUAGAGGAGGGGGACUAUAUAAGGAGACCCCCCUGGCCCCUGGAGAAGACAAGAAAUUAUCAUAGAGAUUGAGGGGUGCCCUCGAAGGAAAACCUCUUCUCUAAAUAAUAUUUCUUUUUAGGCUUAGCAACCAAUGUAAAGUAGAAAUAGAUCUUCUAGUUUCUACUAGAUUGAGAGAGAUAGAGUGGAGGUGUAGAUUGGAGGAAGCCCGGCCUGUCGGUGUCUACUCCAAGCUUGUACCUGCGGGAUCAAGUUCUCCUAACCCGAAGCUUGCUCCUAGGAUUCUUCAGUAUUUUGACUUCUAAAUUCUAGUAAGUUCUUGUUUUAUUGUUCUUCUGGUUUAUGAGUUUGCUUUAAUCUCUUCGCGUAGAGUUUAGAGUAAUCAUUGCUGGCGUAAACGUGGUGUUUAGGCUGGGGUACUCAUAGAUAUUCCCUGACUAGCUAGACUGUGGUAGUAGUGAGGAACGUGACAAUUCUGAGUUACCUUUGCAGACCAUAUCUCGUUAGCAGGAAGGAUAGGGUUUAUAGGUGCGGGUUGAACAUCCUAUGCUGUGUCUAGAUUACGUUAGCCUCCCCAAUAUAACAGUAGAUCAUCCUUACCAAGGUUAGAAGGAGACUACGGUUGCAGUCUUCUCUAUUUAUCACUCACAUCGAGAGACAUUGUUUGUUGCCUAAAGGGUUAGUAGUAAUAGACCGGUUAGUCAGAUGCACUCUUUCUCCUAGUGGUAAAAAAAUAAAUAUGAUACUCUAGAUAAUUUCCCGGGUGAAGUGCUCACCGAUAUUCGUGCGCUUGCGGAUGAAUUCCUUAUUGCGUUCCCAAAUAUCAACACUGGUCACGACUGGACCUGCCAGGAGUGGUCGGGAAAUUCCUGAGCAGACGAGUCAUGCCCUGCCAGAGGAGAAUACACUCGACGUAUGAGUACCAAGGCAGCCAGGACUCGACCAGGAUGCACCAGGACAACUUGGAGAAGCUAGAGAUCCAGCAGAGGGACAAUGAAUUAUUCAACCUGUCUGACAACAGCUUCGUUUGGAGUGACAACCGGAUGCACGCCUACAAGCUGGGUUGACCAGCCCCCAAGGUAACUGAAGUCUUUCUGCAAUGUUCUGAAAGUAUCAUACUUCUUUGCCAAUAGCUUGUUGUACUUUUGUUGUAGAUCGGAGAUGUAACACCCUAGUGUUAUGGUUGCAUCAAUCACAUGCAUAACAUGAUCAUCAUCAUCUACUUAAGCAUAUCAUGAUCAUCAUCUACCUUGAGUCAUGUCAUUUUAUGCUAAAGUGUGUUUUAACUUGCUUAAAUAUACUUCCUACGCUUGUGUUUACUUAUACCAUGCCCAUGUUUGUGUGCUACGCCUUAGUAAAUAGUUUCUCUAUGCUUAACUCAACCUUUGGAACAAUGUUCACGUUGAUCACUUCUCCAAAUCAAGUACUUAAGUCAAACUUCCAUGUAUAGGCCCUAGAAACCUCUUUUUCUUAAGCUUUUAAAAAGUGUUUCAUAAAUUGUUUGCAUGUCAAAACUUUCUACAGCAAAGUUGUAGCACAUUUUAUAAGGAACAAAAGUUGUUUUAUAGACAUCUCAUGAAAAUGGUCACAUCUAGCUCAAAAAUGGCCCACAAGGCAGAUUUGCGGCUGUUUCCAACACUUAGAAAAUUUUCUAAGUCUGGGAUUGCAACAGUUUGCUCGAGGGUGUUUUGUUUAGCUCCCAGUUUGAAAUCUAGGCCAAAUCAAACCUUGAUCUUGUAAGCAAUGUUGGAGUUCUCAUGUAGCUCUACAGCAUGGAGCAAUUAGCCAGCAAAAUCAUCGAAUGGUUUAGGAGAUCAUCGAAGUCCAAAAUCGAGUUUGAGUCAGCUCUGAAACUGAAUCGAGACGGCGUCAGUAGAGGGGAGCUCGCCGGUGACGCCGCGUGUCUGGACUCGUGGCAUCCGUACUUCGCCGUUGGUCCCGCUCGUCAGUCCUCAGCAUGUCCUACAGCUCGCCACGACGCCCCCGGUCGCAUGGACAGCGCCAUUUCCACUUCGGUCCGCCCUCUCUCGCGCUCGUCGUCUUCUCCGCGUUGCCGCCGCUGCUUCUGCGAGCUCGCGAGCUCGCGUCUCAGCACCUCCGGCCCAGCGACUCCGCCCAGAGCUCCGCCAGCUUCCCCACUUCCCCGUCAUCGAGUUGGCUGCGACUGUCGAGCCUCGGGGAGCCCACAUUGUCUUCUCCGUCGCGAGCUUACCUCGCCGGAGCUCCGCCGUGGUCACCGGUGUCGUGGCCAGGGCUCUGUAGUCCACCAUUUCUCCUUGUUCUUGUCCCAAAAGCUCCACUGAGUCAUGCUGAUGCUCGUCCAAGUCCUCUUUCACCUGGUCUCCGACCAGAGACGCUGGCGGUCGGCUGCACACCACCGUCGUGCCGCCAUUCGCGAGGGGCGAGGUACCUAGGUUGCGCUAGAGUUAGGGUUUCUGGUAACAAUCGGUGCGGAAUGGAGUGAGGAGCACGAUGGUGCUCUUGGCCGUCACUGAGACCUCGCCGUCAAUGAGAUCUCCGACGGUCAAGUCGCGCCUCUGCUCUCGGGUCACUGACGUGUGGGGUCCGUUGACCUACGGGGUCCCCCUGUCAGUCUCUCUUUCUCCUUUGUUUGAUUUAGGGUUUGUGCUGUUUUUGCAAAAAUCAUAUCUCUAGUUCUUGUGAUCCAAAAUUUGUGAGAUAAAUUUUGUGAUGUUCCCUGAGAUGGCUAGUUCUUAAUAAAAAUAUAAAAUGUACCAUGCUUUUUGGGAAAAAUAAUUGUUAUGAUUUAAUCUUGAUAUUUAUGUGUAAAUUCAUAUCUGUUGAUAUACUGCUCCUUUUGCUAUGAAAUGUUUAUGCUAUGCUCUGAGUGGUAUUAAAAUUCUAUGAUAAAUAUUUCAUGAUUUUUGGAGUAAUGUAUCUGUGAUAUGUAAUUUAUGUUGGUUCUAUGGCUUGUUUUCUUAAUUAAAUCAUAAUAAAUGAUUUAUGCUUAUGCUGGUAUUCUAUUUUGGUGUCAAGCUUGUUUAUGGUAAUAGUAACAUGUAAAUAAUCUGAAAUCUGUUGUUUGACACAACCUAAGCCAUGUUUCUUAAUUUAUGAAAUAAGCACCUUGAUACAUGUUAAAUACUUAUCUUAAGUUUGGCAUGUUCAAUUGCUCUGAAAUUUUUAUGGUAAUGUGUAGAUGCCAUGUUUGUGUUUCUGUAAUUUUUGUAGAUUUUUCUGAGUACUUUUGCUGGUAGCUUGUAAUUAUGUCCCUUUAUGGAAUUAAAUUAAUAAGUGCCAUGUUAUUGGGUGUUUAGUGGUUAGCAUGUGAUGCUCUGGCAACCUUAGGGUAUACUUGUGCUUGUAAGCCAUUUGGUUGGCACUAAAUAUGUUUUGGCUAUGUCAUCAAAUAAUUAAUUAGAGGGUUAAAAGCUGUUCUGGACAGCAAGGGAGUAAUCUAACCUUUGCUUAAUGAUAACUUGGUUUUCUGGAAGACUUGUCUAAAUCAAAGUUGUUGUAAACUUUAUGAACUAGCUGUGGUUUAAAUUUGGGAUCAUUUGGUGUAAUAGUCUAAAAGUUAUGGCUCUUCCAAGUUGGGUUCCAGAAAUAGGUGUUCUCUGUUUUUCUGGGAAAGAACCUGGAACUUUGUUUAAUUGACCUGUUUAACUUGGGAAUCCUGCUGUGAUGUAUAAAGAUGAAAUAUAGACAAUUUCAUAAGCUUUCCAGAAUUUCCUCAUUCAUGUUUGUUGGAUGUAUAUAGCAACAGUUAUGAUCUGUUUACUGAGCUGUUCUGUUAUGGGAUGCUUGCUGUUUGUAGUUUAACUUGGUAAUCUUUCUCAGUAGUUAAUCAUCUUGUGUGAACUUGUAAUGAGAGUUACUUCGUAAAUGUGUGUCCAGUGAAGUUCUAAUUAUGUUAUCAAGCAUUCAUCCUCAUCUAGGAUGCACACAUUCUUAUUUAUCGUGCAUGCAAUAGGUGCAUCGGAAGUGGCGACCUCAUUCGAGCCCAACCUGGUGAAUCCCGAAGGCCAGGAGAUCAAUCCGGAGGCGGAGGUCCAGCUAGCCGGACACGAGGAGCCCGAAGAGGAGAUCGAGUGCCCUAAUCACGAGCCAGCCUCAUUCGUGAAAGGCAAGCCCCGGAGCAUCUUAAGUCUCCCACUUUAAUUUCGAAAGUUUACUUGAAUAUGUUAUAUCUAUUGAUGCAUUACGUAUAGGAGUUGUGAUGAAACCCUUGCUGCAUUAUCCUUAUUCCUUGUCCAGAUAUCUUACCAUUGUCUGGUCAUAAAGUUAGGAUCGAGUAGCAGCUUAGCCAUGCUUAAAUCGGUAGAUGUCGGGUGAUAUCCUGUCACCUGCGCGAGAUAGGGUUGUGUCGGAUCACGAUUGUCUAUAUGUGCUAUCGUGGAAAGAACCUGAUUAAAAUGACUUAAGCCGGACGGAGUUUUGCAAGGUUGUAGUAACUCCAUCUGUGGUAGCUAAGGACCAAUCGUUGCACGUCCUCUUGUCAUGUUGAACUCAUGCCUAACACUUAGUUGGCCGGAUAACUCAUUCCGACCGUGAUGCCUAGUAGUAUGACUCAGGCCGGAAGACCGGCAAGUAUAAAGUGCGCACUACCGGAGGAAGUGCGGUGUGCGGGGGACCUUUGGCGUAAGACCAAAGGCAGGUGAGUUAAAAGUCCUGACCUCCCUGGCAGAGUGGUAGCCCUGGGAGUGCGGCGCUGAUCGGAGCCGCGAUUCCUGAGUCAUACCAAAGGUGACCCGUUUGCUCUCCGACCGGGGAUGCUUGAUUGAGUGCUAGGAAUAACCCUCCAGCUAGAUAGGAAUCGAUUCGAAUCACUGUCUCUCCCGGAAAGUCAGAACUGGACAGAGCAGCGGCAAGCGUAGCAUUCACUAAAGAACAAUGGUUCGUGAUAAUGAUGAUAGCAAGGAAGAGCAUAUGAUGAACUUGAUAUGGUUAUUAUUGUUUGUAUUAAUCAGAGUGAAGUGCUUUAGUACAGGUGCUAAUCUAGUGCUAGGUUGAUAAAGAUUAAUAUGAUACCCUUACAAAUGGGAUAGUAAUCACUUGAGCUUUUGGCAAAUGUUGAGUCAAGCCAGCUACAUUUUAUAAUAGCCUUUCAUGAUCCUUAGUGUCUUUUAUAGUUUACUAGACGGGUAAGUCUAGCUGAGUACAUCCUCGUACUCAGGGUUUAUUCCCACCUGUUGCAGAUGAUAUCUUUUAUGAUGGCUUCUGCAAGACCUGUCUCCAUCCCGCUGGGGAUGAGGACUAAACUGUUGGGCACGGUUCUCUAACAACUUCGUGCCUGUUGCUUUUGGAUGGAUGGCAUGAGACUCUGGCAAUAACAAGAACUUUGGAAUGUGUGUUGUAAAAUAUUUUGCUUCCGCUACUGCAAACUUGGGUUGUAUUAACUAAUUAACUCCGAUGUGGUGCCGCAUCGAUGGCAAUGAAUGACUAUGUAACAUUCGCUGUGUUAUGUUGAACUAUUAUGAUCUUGGUUUGUUGCAAGUUGGUUUGAAGUCCUUCGUGAUUUCGGUUGACUACCGGGAUUAUAUGGGCUCAAGUAUGGAAACUUGAUUGCUAGUUGAUCGUUUAUGCACUUGAACUCUUAUAAUUUGGCCGGUUCUGUGACAGCUUGUAUUGGAGCAAGUUCAACAUUAUAAAUGUAGCGUUUGUGUAUUUAAAAACAAAAGAGUUUUUAAAUAAAUUGCAAAAACCAAUACUUAAUUAUGCUAGUGGUUGAAUCCUCCUUGCCCAUAUAAGGACUCUAGGUGGCUAUAUAAGUACUGACUUGGGGGGUUUUGUUUAUGCAUCUCCGGCAGUACUCAGGUAUGGAUGUGUGAUGACCGAACUAUGCUACCCUGUGGUCUAAUGGUAGAGGUAGCCUUCAUAUGUGAAUUAGCCACAUAUGUCGCUAGAUUUAAAUUAUGCAACGUCGCACCUAUGCUCUGGUAAGUGUGAGCUGUGAGAGCAUGAUCGUCCAAACGGCAGUCUAGGGGAGUGUUCGCGGUGGUUUUCUGGAGUGGUUACAUGUUAAACCAUGGAACCACGAAAGAAACUUAAUUGGGGAGCAUUUAUUUUUCUCAGGUAGCUGUGGUGUCAUUGUUUACGCAUGUUGGGCAUGUAUAAGCAAUGUGCACUUAGUUUAUUGCUUUCUUGAGUGAAAUAUUGUUAAUUGUUGGGCUGUGAUGAAGUUUUCUGCUGGUACUCUAACAGCGCACGUGUAAAUCGAUGGUUAUCGUAUCGAGAGGCGAAUGUAUGCCACCUUAUAUCCGUUAGAAUAUUAAUUUUCUAAGUUUGUGAGGACGUACAGUUCGCGCAUGCAUCAUAUCGCAUUCAUACAUACAUCUUGCCUACUCCUUCCCUUACAAUAUCGUUCCUUUUAAAUUAAAUAAAUGUUGCUUAAACUAAUCCUCUCUUACCCAUGGUUAUUCCUAUUCCUUUCCACAGAUGGAUGUGCCCGUUUCACCUCUCCCCAGUGACACCUUUUUGAGCGAGUUUGGCACUCCUACACUGCUCUGGAGGGUGCUACAGUCUGUAGGGUGUACUGAGCCACCUCAGUAUUCCUGGUGGGAGGUGGACAUGACAUGACAGGAGGUUUGCAGUGGUUCGCUGUGCAGGGGGUUGUCCCGCCACAUGGGGGCAGGCCUACAUGGACUGGGUGGACCUGCAACUCAGAUGGGCAGACCCCAUGGGAAGCAGCUCAGGUUGCAGCCCAUGCUAUGCUGCUCAACAUAUGUCAGAGGUUUGGCAAUGAGCUGACAGGAGGGCCAGCGGCCUCCAUUCCACAGGCUGACCCAGCAGCAGCAGAGUGGAAGCAGGCUGAUGGAUGUGCAUUGGUCCGAGGACGAGGAGAGCGAGCUAAGAGUUCUAGUCCUGCUAUGAGUGCUAUGAUGGUUGUACUCAAGCUAUUCAGUCCACGAGAGGACACCUAUGCCCAGGUGAUGGUGGCUGUUCGCCACGCCCAGGAGAUGUAACGGAAGGCUGAAAAGCGUGCUCGCAAGUUUUGCAAGCAAGCUAGACUCCUGGAGCAAGCCCAGAAGGACCGCAAUGACUGGGAAGACAUUACGGAGUACCGGAGGCAGCAAUGGGUGAAGGCCAUUAGAGAGAGAGAUCAUAAGCAGGAUCAGAUUAGUCAGUUGACUAGGGAGAGGGAGACAGUGCAGGAGCGCUUGGUGCAGAUCACUCGUGAGAGGGAUACUGCGCUCCGCGUGUCGGAGAACAGGCGUCGGGCUUGGGAGAUGCACCGGAUCCAGUUACUUCAGCGGGAGAAGUAUCUGUAGGAUCAGAUUGAGGCUGGUCUUGUGGAGAUUCACCGUCUCAACAACUUGCUACACCCUAUUCCUCGCCCUACACCUGUGUAUCCAGAGGUGGGACCUCAGGUGAUCGUGGCCGAUGAUGAUGGUAUGGAGGUAGAUGGACCGGCCGCGGCUGCACCACCUUUGCACGAGGACGUAGAGGACGAGGAGCUUGAGCCGGUUAGUGACGAGGAUGGAGAGGCGAUCUUCAACGCUGACUCAGAGGACGAGCUUGGAGUGUAGUGGGUAGUUGGUAGUUAUCCUGUGAGGAUCUUUUGUAGUAUGACUGUCAGCAGUUAUGCUUUUGUAAUCUUGAUGUAAUCCGGAACCUUGAUCUUUGACUUAUGGCCUGUACUGUGAUGGUGUAAUAACUUUAUGGACCCAAUGUUGUUUAACCUUAUCAUGUUCGACCGGAUAUGAUGAUGUUUUCCAUUGUUGUGCAUAUUGCGGAUAUCUGUGUCAUGUGUUGGAUUGGCAAUGUUGUUUUGUGGAAUUGAGUUAUUGUGCCUUUUUCUGUAAAGUUAUUAUCUCGAAUACUUUCAGGCAUGAAUAUAAUUUCUUCUACGACAAAUCUUGUCAUCAUCAAUGCUCACUGACUGUGUCCUUACAGAUGUCUCGUGCCACUCGAGGUGUGGAGCAGCGUGCGAACAUGAAUCCACCCCCUCCUCCUCCACCACCAAAUCUAUCUGAGCUGAUGCAAAUGAUGGUGGAAAAUCAUAGGUUGCUCACUGCAUCAAUCGGAUGGCAAACCAGGGUGGUCAGAAUGCACCGGAUGGGCCAGCACCUAAUCAGUAUAGUAGCUUCAAGGAUUUCAUGGAUACUAAGCCCCCAUCUUUUAGAGAGGCUGAAGAACCCCUUCAAGCUGAGGAGUGGCUGAACACCGUGGAACAAAAGUUAGCUUGCUUCGGCUGACUGAUGGUUUGAAGGCCGAGUAUUCAGCUCACCAACUGCAGGGUCCGGCAGGCAUAUGGUGGAAUCAGUAUCGGGAGGCUCUUCCAGACAACACUGUGCUUGACUGGAAUCUCUUUCGUGAAGCUUUCAUGGGGCAUUUCAUCCCUCCUGGUGUCAUGGAAAUGAAGCAUACCGAGUUUAUGCAGUUAACUCAGGGCAACAAAACCCUCAAAGAGUACUUGCAUGCUUUCAAUCACCUGUCAAUGUAUGCUCCUAAGUUUGUGAGCACUGAGACGAAGAAGAUUGCUAGCUUCAAGAGGGGUCUUGGCCCCAAGCUGUUGAAGACGAUGGGCCGCACCAAGUGUGCAACUUUCAAUGAGUUUGUCAGUGGUGCUCUUACCCAAGAGAACUACAAUACUGUGUACACUGCGACCAAGACUCGCAAGAGGGCUUUUGAGGCCGGGGCAAGGGCAUCUCAGUCCAAGGCUCCAGUGGCAGCUAGGCCCCAGUAUCGUGCUCCAACUCCUAACAAGCGAUAUCGCCCUCCAGCGAAGAAGAAUUAGGCGAAGAUGGGGUUCCGCAAUGGUUACUCCAUUGCUCUUCCUAGGGGCAACACCGGUCCCCGCUAUGCCAAGACUCCACCUGCCAACCGUCCGUGCUAGAACUAUAAUCAGACAGGGCACUGGCAAAGCAACUGUCCUUACCCGCCAAAGAAGGGAAACCAAGGGAACGUCCGUCAGGGGCGUGUUCACUAUACAACUGUGAAAGCAAUCCCUGCUGGUGAGGUAGUUACGGCUGGUAAGUUUCUGGUUAAUCAAUGUGAUGCACUUGUGCUUUUUGAUUCAGGAGCAUCGCAUUCUUUUGUGAGUUUAGACUUUGUGUCUAAGCAUAAUCUCAAGGCAAUUACACUUGAUAAGGGCAGUUAUUGCAUUAGUGCUGCUCGAAAUGAUAUUUCUACCAAUCAAGUGGUUUUGGGGCCAACUCUAGAAAUAGGAGGCCGUCAGUUCCUUGCUGAUCUGGUUGUUCUACCCGGUGUGGGUAUAGGUGUAAUUCUGGGUAUGAAGUGGAUGAGUGGCAACGGAGUUCUUAUCGACACCACCACUCGCGUGGUGAUGUUGAGAGACCCGAAUACCAAAGAGGCGUUCUUAGUGCAACUUCCUCGAGAUAUUCAUAUCCGUAGCACGAUGAAUGCAGUUACGUCUAGGGCCAUCGAGGAUAUUCCGGUAGUGUGUGAGUUCCCGGAUGUAUUCCCUGAUGAUUUGCCCGGGCUUCCUCCAGAUCAGUAUGUGGAGUUCAAAAUUGAAUUGCUUCCAGGUACUGCUCCUAUCUCUAGAAGACCAUAUAGAAUGCCACCAAAUGAGCUAGCUGAGCUUAAGACCCAACUGAAUGAGUUGUUGAAGAAGGGUCUUAUUCGUCCUAGUUCUUCUCCUUGGGGUUGUUCGGCUAUCUUUGUGAAUAAGAAGGAUAAGUCCUUGCGCAUGUGUGUGGAGUAUUGUCCCCUGAAUGCUGUGACCAUCAAGAAUAAAUACCCUCUUCCUCGCAUUGAUAUCAUGUUUGACCAGUUGUCUAAAGCCAAGGUAUUCUCCAAGAUUGAUUUGCAAUCUAGGUACCAUCACAUCAAGAUCCGUCCUGAAGAUGUACCUAAGACAGCUUUCUCGACGAGGUAUGGGUUGUAUGAGUAUCUCGUCAUGUCCUUCGGUCUGACGAAUGCGCCUGCUCACUUCAUGUAUCUGAUGAUUGCCUACUUCAGAAGGAUGAGAAGUUUGUGUGGACGCCGGAGCGCGAAGAAGCAUUUCCAAGUUGAGGACAUUGCUAACAUCAGCUCCUGUCCUAGCUCAACCCGAUAUCGAGAAGCAUUUUGAUGUCUGUUGAUAUUUGGUAACGCAAUAAGGAAAUGAUCCGCAAGCGCACGGAUAUCGGUGAGCAUUUCACCCGGGAGGUUAUCCAGAGUUAUCGUAUUUAUAUUUUUACCACUGGGAGAAAGGGUGCAUCUGACUAACCAAAUCUAUUGCUACUACCCCUUUAGGCUACAAAGAAUGUCUCUCGAUGUGAGUGAUGUAUAGAGAAGACUGCAACCGUAGUCUCGUUCUAACCUUGGUAAGGAUGAUCUACUGUUCUAUUGGGGAGGCUCACGGAAUCUAGACAACACAAAGGAUGUUCGACCCACACCUAUAAACCUACCCGUCCUGCUAACGAGAUGUGAUCUGCAAAGGUAACUCAGAAAUGUCACGUUCCUCGCUACUACCACGGUCCAGCUAGUCAGGGGAUAUCUAUGAGUACCCGAGCCUAAACACCACAUUUACGCUAGCAAGUGAUUACUCUAAUACUCAACCGGAAGAGGAUUAAAGUAAACUCAUAAACCAAAGAACAAUAAAACAAGAACUUACUAGUAUUAGAAGUCGAAUUACUGAAGAAUCUUAGAAGCAAGCCUCGGGUUAGGAGACUUGAUCCCACAGGUACAACUCGGAGUAGACACCGACAGGCCGGCCUUCCUCCGAUCCACACCUCCACUCUAUCUCUCUCAAUGUAGUAGAAACUAGAAGAUCUAUUUCUACUUUACAUUGGUUGCUAAGCCUAAAAAGAAAUAUUAUUUAGAGAAGAGGUUUUCCUUCGAGGGCACCCCUCAAUCUCUAUGAUAAUUUCUUGUCUCCUCCAGGGCCAGAGGGGAUCUCCUUAUAUAGUCCUCCCCUUCUAUGCGUUUUUGGGUCGAUAGGCGAGGUGGUACUAUGUUAUUCUGGAUCCAAUAGGUCGGUGGAACGUCGUGUGCGAAGAGAGUCCGGAACGGAGUCCAGAGGGGGGCGGGCGCCCAGGUCCUCAGGGCGGGCGCCCGGGGCCUGGCCCCUUUCGGGCUCCGCUUCCUUGCCGUGGCUUCUGGAGUCUUCUAGAUGGUAGAAAAUUGCGCGGUGGGUUGAUAUCUCUAUGUAAUCCCGACAUGUGGGCCUUUCUUCCUUAUUUCCUGAUAACCCCCUGCAGAAAUAGACAAACACCAAAACUCGUGGAAUUCUGUCAGAUAAAACCCUAAGUCUAGGUGUUGAUUUCAUUUGGAUCCUUUUCUUUGUUUAUUUGAUAAUUAAAUUUGAUACUUAAGGACCGUCAACAAACUCCCCCAAGCUUACCUCUUGCUCGUCCCUGAGCAAGGAUGAACUCAAGAGUUUCUGUAGUGGUUUCAUUUCUUAGAAGUACACACGCAUUUAAGCAAGAUCUCAUAUCUGAGUUAGAAUAAACUGUUAAGACUUAAAACUUACUUACUUUACCUACACCAUAGGACUUGUAACUGUCACUUCUGUCUUGAGUGGUUAAAAGAUAGAACAGUCUAGCCAAGUGCCAUGUCUCUUAUUCUUGAUCAGCUAUAGCUCUGGGGUUUUUGCAGAUUUUUAAAUAAAACUCAGAAAUUCCUUUUAUGAUUCUCUCAGGUCUCUCUUUUGUGGUAUUUUUGGAUCCUUACCAAGGCAGUGAUGGUAUAUGCUCUUCUCUCAAGAUAUGUAGUAUUUGUGGUAUGAAGCAUAGUGACAUUGUCUUUUCUCUCACCCUACUCUAAUAAGGCUUUAAUAUCUGAAGCUCAUAGGUGGGAGAUAAAGUAUACAUACUUACAAGACAUUUAUUGCAUAGUCAAACCAUGGAUCCAAAGAAACAAAUCAAUAAGCCAAAUCAAGAUGUGCAUGUGUGGCGAAUGAAUGGUGUAUGUUGAUGAUGGUGAUAACAAUGAUGGUGGAAGCCUAAUUCUACUUUGCUCUUUGAGGGGAUACAUACCUUCCUUGCUUUUGAAACUUUAUGAGGAGAAUGAGAUGCCCUUCUUUUUCUUUUCUUUCGAGGUUCCGAGCACUUGCUCCUUUUUAUUUCCUCGUAUCUUUUAUUUUCUUUUUCUCUCUUUUUACUUUUUUUUCCGAGCAUUCAUCUCUUGAGAUAAUAUAGCAAGUGGUAGUAACAAGAUAACUUGAGCAUUUAUUUCACAAGGGGAAACAGAAAUAUUUUUGGUUAUUCUCUCCCGGAUUAGGAGUAGAAUACUUUUGGGUGGUUUUGGAGAUGGAAAUGAGUGGAUAUAUGUGGAUGGUACUUCCGGAGUAGAAGUAGCAUGUAUGAGUGAACGUGCAAGUGAAUCUUGAUUUAACCACAUGACAAGCUCCUAAGGGUCUACACAGCUUGACCACACUCAAUGCUCAUAAGCAGUAAAAAGUAAAUGUGUGGCUCAAAGUCUAGCAAGCAUGUAUAUAUGGCUGUGGUAGGAAUUUAAACUCUCAUCAUACAGGAACUCAUCAUGUGUUAUUUUAAAGAUUUUUCAAAGAUAAAAUUCUCCAGAAUUCUAGCAUCUCUAGGAACAGAUGAACAGCAGCUCAACCUUCCCAUAUCGUAUCCGUUAACAACUUAGACUUCAGAUCAAGUUUUCAUCCCACAAGUUUAGGUCUAGAGCAAGCCUUAAAAAAUAACAGUUAUAUCUAAACUUGAGAGAGAACUUCAAAUUUGCAAAUUAGGCAGAGCAACUAUUCAUCAUAUCCAUGCUUUAUUAGAUACAGAUUAGCAUAGCCACUUUAUUUAUUUAUUAAACACACUAAGCAAAAUAUAUAUAAGCAUAAAAUCUUUAUUUGGUUUUUCAUAGUUAUGUGUAUUUAUAUUCUAAUAUAGUAUGAGUAUAAAGAUAGAUAGAAAUACUUAUCGAGAUAAAUGGGGGUGCUCUCUCCCAAGCUGAAUUUUAACGUAAUUUCUCUUGAUGUAGCUAGCAGGUGGCAGAGGUGUGUUUGAAAGUCAGCAGUAUUUUGACAGCGAUUAGAAUGUCCUCCGUCUGCUAGUCUUCUUGAUUCUUAAAUUCUGUGGAGCUCAAAUAGACAACAAAGCUUGUUGAACUGGUUAAGUGUUAGCAUAAAUAUCUAGCCUUUAUCAUAUUGAGACUCCUUAAUAAAUAUUACUCCCUGUUUUUAUAUUUUUGUUUUUAUAAAGCAGAAAAAUAUUUAUUUUAUUUUUAUGCCACCACAAUGAAUGUACUUAUGGGUUUUAUGCCACUCGUCUACUCACAUGGGGCUUACAGUUUUUUUUUCACAUUUUUAUUUUCUUUCUAGGAUAAUACGAACAUGAUUAACUAAGUAAACUAUUUGAAAUAAUUAAAAGGGGAAGGAUAACUUACAAGUUUACCUCUUGGCAAGGCAUUCGGUGUUUUUAAGUCCUCCGAGCGGGACUCUCCAUUUUCUUAAUCGUCCUGGGAUUCGCUGGAUGACGUAGUCGGUGAUUCCGGUGGCGCCUCCUCUUCGUGUGUAACUAUAUUCUCUCUCCACACCUGACUCGGUGCUAUGGUCUCCUCAGGACAGUUACGUUCAAGUGGUAUGUCUUCAGUCCUUACCACUUCUCCUUCGUAGUCUACCCAUCCGUCCUUGAUGAUUUGCCUCCUCUGGUUGCGGUUGCGAUGUCUUCUUCUUGUCCUAACCUGCUUAGAGUCUUCAACUAUAUAGUUAGGGUCUGUAAAAGAGCGGCAUACCUUCUCAGAGGAGAAGUGUAUGUGGACUUCUCCGGUUCCAAUAUAGAUGAUGGCUUUGAUAGUGCUGAGGAACUGUCUUCCAAGGAUGGUGGGUGGAUCAUAUUCAUCUUCUCCUAUGUCAAUAACUUGAAAGUCAUCUAUAGCUGAAUGUAUAUUGGUUGUAGGGGCAUGGUUUCAUGCAGGAGCUGAUAAGUGACUACGGCCAUUAUGUUGACGUCAGAUCCGGUGUCGUAGAGUGUCUUCUGAAAAGAGUAUCUGUUGAUUGUGCACUCAAUGCUUAGAACACCAGGGUCGUCCUUCUUGAUCAAGAAAGGUGACUUGAGUCGACGAUCUUGACCUCCUUGAGCUGCAGUGACCAUCUUAGCUGACUCGGUCCACAUUUGCUUGUUUCUGUUCCUCCUGUUGGUCCUCUUCCUUGGUUCAUGUCGGGAUUGCUCUGAACCUUGUGUAGUCUUGUUCUUGAAGGAAAGUCUCCUUCUUCCCCUUGAUGUAGAGACUGAUCUUGGCAGCAUUAACGUAGAUGACAGCUCUAGUGUUUAGGAAUGGCCUUCCUAAGAUAAUGGGUGCCCUCUCCUCAGUACUAGUCUCUAUCACCAUGAAGUCUGCUAGAGAAUACAAGGUACCAACUCGGACGCAGAGGUUCUUCAAUAUUUCCUUUGGGAAACUGAGUGUUCGAUCUGCAACCCUGGGCAUAAUGUUGACGCUGGAGCCAAAGUCGCAGAGUGCUUCUGGGAAGUCCACCAUGCCGAUGGAGAUCGGGAUGACGGGACGUCCUAGAUCACCUCUCUGAGUAAUUAGGCCUCUGUUGAUUCCAACCUUGAUGUUGUUGAGGACGGUUGUAGUAAUAGUUGUUAUUGUUGUUGAUGUAGUUCACGUCCUCAAGCAUCUUAGGGCAGUGAUUGCCUGAGCGUCCAGUAUCUCCAGUGUGUUUAUGCUCGUAGAUCCUAGUUCUUCAUUUGGUGGAAUCUGGGAGUUGUAAAACUCCUUCAUAUUAUGCUCGAAGUGUUCCUGCUCAUAGAAACAAGGUAGAGAUCAAGUGCAUGGGCCCUGUUGGUGGAAAACACCAACAGAACCAAAAGUGUAUUUGUUCUUCUCUAACCUUAAGCAUAGUGAGCAAGACAAAGUUGAUGGAUCAUGAGUGUAGCAUUUGUCAGAUCAGAUGGCUCAACCUAAUGGAAAGAUAAUCUAUCUAUAUUUAUGUUUUGUUUAUAUCUUCCAAAGAUUGUAUGUGCAAUACUUUAGCUUAUAUGAUUAGGAGUGUGGGGUCACGAAGGUAGUACUAAGAACAAAGAUUAAAGGACUAAACAUGUUGAAUUAAUUGAGUUGGUUAAUUUGGAGUUAUAAAUCAUACAUGUUUGUCUCUUUAUUUAUGUGAAUGCCAGAACCAAGGAGGAGCUUGUAAAAGUGUUAGUCAAGUACCUUAAGAUGUUACCUUACUUGAAGAGUGAUGGUAUAGUAUCACCUUGUGGAAGCUUUCCUUUCUUAGCGGUUGUGCAUCGUGUUUGUGGCACCCUCCAUGAAUCAUCUCUUAUGAGCUACGUCUUUCUUGUGCAAAUUGUUAAACUUCAUGUGUCACUUUCUUCAUCUCUAAUGAGUUUGCAUCUCAGGACUUCCCAGGUUGUUAUUGAAAGUUUUCCUACAGGGGUUAGUCCAACAAAAUAUACCAAUAUCUACUCAAGCAGUUUUUAGUUCAGUAACCAAACUAGACUCCAUGUCUAAUCAGAUUAAGGAAGGCUAUUUAACCUAAGCACCACGCUUAAUUUAAAUGCCAUUGGAAGUGUGACUAGUACUUCCAAACUAACACUUACUAGGAUAAACAAAGGUAGCAUGAUGGCUUUUAUAGAGAUCUACUCAAGUGGAGAUGAAGUAGUGUGAUUAGUAUUUAACAAAUUGAGCAUGUCUCAAAGGUAAGGACAACCAACAUAGCAACAUGGCAAAGGAUGUUUUAUGUAAAGUACUCCCCCAAGCUUGAAUUUUGCAAAAUUCAAGAUUGAAUGAAUUUAAUUUAAUUUAAUGUUGCAUGAUGAUUGGUUGGGCAUACCUUGCGCUUGUCAUUCAUCCGAUCUUCUUGCUCCAAUCCUAGAAAGGUUAGUGGCAAGAAUACCCGAAGGAAUAUUUCUACAAUUAUCUUUAUAUGCUCAAUACACAAGGCAAUGUUGCAAAUAAUUAGAAGUGCUUGUUUUAGGACACUAAGCUUGUCCUUGGGGAACCAUCAAUUAACUCAACGAGAUCUGCAAUAUUUAUUAUAGACAUAUGCAUCGACAACCGCCCUUUUAAUGUUUUUAUAAAUAGAAAAGAAGAGGGGGCUGGAGAUCUCAAAUGUGGUAAGCAUGGAGAGACAAAUUGAUUGGAGAGAUGUUUUAUAUGAGCAAGUACUGGGUGAGGUAUUUAUGAAAUAACUUCCAUGCUCACUGUUGUUUCUCUCAUUCUCAAACUCCAAGGAUGAUUCUUCAUGAAUGUUUAAAAUUCCUCUAGGAUUGUCUCUCAAGUUUGUUUUGUCUAUCCAUUCAAUGGUGAUAGCACAUGGAUUUUUAAUGCCCUCUAGCCAUUGAUGUUGCUCUUCUCGAUCCUCCUUAUGCAUGGGAUGUCUAGAAAGAUUCAUAGGAUUAUCGGGAGGUUCAAGAGGAAGAGCAUAGUAGAAACUAUUAAGCUCAAGGAUGGGAUGGAUAGCCGAAUCAUGGGAUUGAAAUGUUUGGAAAUCGGCUAUUGAAACUUCCUUUCCUCGUCUGGGAGAUGAUUCCUUCUCUAUUUCUAAGAUUUUUCUAUGAAGACUAGUACAAGAAGGAUGUCAACGAAUGAAGACAUACCUUCCUUUACUAAUAGAUAAAGAAAGAAUGACUCUACCAAAGGUUAUAUGAUUAAGACCAAUUUGAAAAUAUCUAGGAAAAACAUGGUCUUGUAGGGCUAGGUCUAAACCAGAAUUUAUAAAAAGAUUAAAAGAUUCCCUAGGUGUAGCUAAAAGUGCAUUAUCUUCUUGAUUAAAAGAUAGGUCCUCGGCUAUAGAAAAGGGUUGGUUUUGACCUAUUGCAAUCAACUCCGGACACAGAUCAUAAUUAGGGGCAGGACGUGUUGACUCCCAUGGUCUAUGGCUGGUCUCCGAAGGUGCAAAGAAUUUAAUUAUAGGUAUGGAAUUUGAGUUAUCCAUAAAGAUAAAAAUAAAAAGAUAAAAUAAUAAAAGUAUAAAAGUAUAAUACAAGAUAAUAGCAAGACUCAAAGUUAUCUCAGCAAACCGUCUUUCUCCCCGGUAACGGCGCCAGAAAUGCUUGUUGAUAUUUGGUAACGCAAUAAGGAAAUGAUCCGCAAGCGCACGGAUAUUGGUGAGCAUUUCACCCGGGAGGUUAUCUAGAGUUAUCGUAUUUAUAUUUUUACCACUGGGAGAAAGGGUGCAUCUGUCUAACCAAAUCUAUUGCUACUGCCCCUUUAGGCUACAAAGAAUGUCUCUCGAUGUGAGUGAUGUAUAGAGAAGACUGCAACCGUAGUCUCGUUCUAACCUUGGUAAGGAUGAUCUACUGUUCUAUUGGGGAGGCUCACGGAAUCUAGACAACACAAAGGAUGUUCGACCCGCACCUAUAAACCUACCCGUCCUGUUAACGAGAUGUGAUCUGCAAAGGUAACUCGGAAAUGUCACGUUCCUCGCUACUACCACGGUCCAGCUAGUCAGGGGAUAUCUAUGAGUACCCUAGCCUAAACACCACGUUUACGCUAGCAAGUGAUUACUCUAAUACUCAACCGGAAGAGGAUUAAAGUAAACUCAUAAACCAAAGAACAAUAAAACAAGAACUUACUAGUAUUAGAAGUCGAAUUACUGAAGAAUCUUAGAAGCAAGCCUCGGGUUAGGAGACUUGAUCCCACAGGUACAACUCGGAGUACACACCGACAGGCCGGCCUUCCUCCGAUCCACACCUCCACUCUAUAUCUCUCAAUCUAGUAGAAACUAGAAGAUCUAUUUCUACUUUACAUUGGUUGCUAAGCCUAAAAAGAAAUAUUAUUUAGAGAAGAGGUUUUCCUUCGAGGGCACCCCUCAAUCUCUAUGAUAAUUUCAUGUCUCCUCCAGGGCCAGAGGGGGUCUCCUUAUAUAGUCCUCCCCUUCUAUGCGUUUUUGGGUCGAUAGGCGAGGUGGUACUAUGUUAUUCUGGAUCCAAUAGGUCAGUGGAACGUCGUGUGCGAAGAGAGUCCGGAACGGAGUCCAGAGGGGGGCGGGCGCCCUGGGCCUGGCCCCUUUCGGGCUCCGCUUCCUUGCCGUGGCUUCUGGAGUCUUCUAGAUGGUAGAAAAUUGCGCGGUGGGUUGAUAUCUCUAUGUAAUCCCGACAUGUGGGCCUUUCUUCCUUAUUUCCUGAUAACCCCCUGCAGAAAUAGACAAACACCAAAACUCGUGGAAUUCUGUCAGAUAAAACCCUAAGUCUAGAUGUUGAUUUCAUUUGGAUCCUUUUCUUUGUUUAUUUGAUAAUUAAAUUUGAUACUUAAGGACCGUCAACAAUGUCUUUUGUGACGCGUCUGGUAUCGGACUAGGCUGUGUGUUGAUGCAAGAAGGUCGUGUUAUCGCUUAUGCCUUGCGCCAACUUCGAUAGCAAGAGGUCAAUUAUCCUACUCAUGACUUAGAAUUGGCUGCAGUUGUCCAUGCUUUGAAAAUCUAGAGGCACUAUUUGUUGGGUAAUCUGUGCAAUAUCUACACGGAUCAUAAGAGUCUCAUGUACAUCACUCAACCUGAAUUGAACAUGCGACAGGGAAGGUGGCUUGAGUUGAUUAAAGAUUAUAAUCUUUAAGUGCACUACCAUCCGGGCAAGGCAAACGUGGUUGCGGAUGCCUUGAGUCAGAAUACGCACUGUCAUUCAGUUCAGAUGGAAGAUCCAUUGUUGUCACAUCUUAUGCACCCACUUGUGCUCAACCAGAUUUCUCUGGAGAGUUCUCUUCGCAAUCGAGUCAUUGAAUUGUAGCAAAUAGAUGUAGGCAUCUACCAUAUAAAUAGGAAAAUGAAAGAAGAAGAAACCAAGCAUUUCUGGGUCGAUGAAAACGGAAUUCUAUGGUUCAAGGAUCGACUUGUGGUCCCAAAAGACCGUGAGCUACGAAACCAGAUUUUAUCUGAAGCUCAUUCAUCCAAAUUGUCUAUCCAUCCUGGUAGUAGCAAGAUGUAUCAGGAUCUAAAACCUCUGUUUUGGUGGACCAAGAUGAAAAAGGAGAUUGCUGCUUUUAUCGCUCCUUGUGACAACUGUUGUCGUGUGAAGGCCGUUCACAUGAAAGUAGGCUUACUUCAACCCUUGUCAAUUCUUGGUUGGAAAUAGGAAGAAGUUAGUAUGGAUUUCAUCUCUGGACUCCCAAUUUCUGUUAAGGGUUACGACUCUAUCUGUGUGAUUGUGGAUCGUUUAACCAAGGUUGCUCGUUUUAUUCCAGUUCGAACUGAUUAUCGUCCACAUCAGUAUGUAGAGCUGUACUUCGAGCACAUUGUCCGUUAGUAUGGUGUGCCUCGAACUAUCAUAUCAGAUCGUGGACCACAGUCCACUGCACAUUUUUGGGAGUGUCUUCAUGAGCAGAUUGGUACUCACUUGGUUUGUAGUUCUGCUUAUCAUCCUCAAACGGCCGGACAAACCGAACGGGUUAACCAAAUCCUAGAAUACAUGUUGAGGGCAUGUGCUCUCUCUUCAAAAGGUUCUUGGGUAAAGUGGUUACCGUUAGUUGAGUUCUCUUAUAACAAUAGUUACCAAGAGAGCAUCAAGAUGGCUCCAUUUGAAGCCCUGUAUGGUCGUAAAUGUCGAACCCCGUUGAAUUGGGUGGAAUCCGGGGAACAACGGUAUUAUGGCAUCGAUUUCGUGAACGAAGCAGAGCAGCAAGUCCGUACCAUCUAGCAACAUCUGGAAGCUGCUCAAGACAGUUACGUUGGUCCCUUGUAGUCCACCUCCCGUUAGCAGGACUGAUAGGGUUUAUCGGCCUAUGGAUAAGCAUCGUUCGUGGUGUAUUCUUAUCACGUGGUUCACCCCAGACAUAGACAUACCCCUUUGAAGUAGAGAAACCAUAAUUAUCCUCUCUAGUCUCCUACCAUUGCCCAUAUACUAGAUUGCUCCACUUUCUAUUCUCAUAUUAUCACCUAUUGUUAUCUUACCUUUAAUAUUGUUCCUAUUCAAUUCUACCAUCUUUCCUAUUUACACCUACCUAUCUAUCUAGGUUAAGUUAGAGCGUAGAUCAGUUCUCCUGUUUCCCUAUGGAUACGAUAAAACCUUUAACCGGGUAAAAGCUACAACGGUAUCCGUGCGCUUGCGGAUUUAUCUGUGUGCAUAUAAAUACCAUAGUACACUCUAGUGCCAUACUGGGGAUGACAACCUAGUAUUCAAGUGGUGUUAGCAAGUGUCAACAAGCUUUUUUGUGCCGUUCCCGGGGAAACGGUUGCUGAGUUGACGACGAACUAGCUUAAUCAUUUUCUAAAAAAUAAAAAAUAUAUAUAUACUUUUCGUGUUAUCUUUUGCCUUAUCUUUGCCAUUCUUUCUUCUUAUCUAAUCAUUGAUCUCUGGUCUAUCAUGAAUCCAAACAUGUCUAUCUAUGAAUUUGAUAGACCUACGGGCACACAUCUCGAACCACUAAAAUCUUCAAAGCCUAUCAUAGCAUCUAGUUUUGAGAUAGACCCCGAAUACAUAGAAUUUGUUCAAAAACAACCUUUCUUAGGAGAAGGUGAGGAAAACCCAUACACACACCUAAGAGAGUUUUAUCGAGUCUGUGUCCUCCUUCGCAUUGAAGGCAUGUUCGAUGAGACCCUUAAAUGGAAGCUCUUUCUGUUCUCUUUAACAGGAAAAGCUAGACAUUGGUACAAAUUCAAAGUAGGGAGUGUUCAUGGAGAUUGGAAGGAGUUAUAUAAUAGUUUUCUUUUUAAAUAUUUUCCAAUCUCCAAAGUGGUGGAACUUCAGCGUGAGGUUCUUUCUUUUAGACAACUGGAAGAAGAGUCUCUUGGCAAAUCAUGGGACCGCUUUAUUAACCUUACUCUCACUGGCCCAAAGCUUUCUAUUUCAGAAGAAAUUCUUCUAAUUCAAUUUUUUGAGGGCCUUAGCAGGGAAAAUAAGCAAACCUUGAAUACAACCUCUAGAGGAUACUUCUAUCACCUACCUACUAGUGAAGCUAGGGAUUUAAUUGAUUCAUUGAGUGGAAAGUUUCCUAGCAUCUAUAUCCCUAUGAAAGAGAAAGAACAAGUUCCUAGACAAGAAGAAGAAGUUUCGAUAGCCAGAUCACAGCCACUUCAAUUCCAAACUUUAGCUAUCGAUCCUAAACCAUCAAUAUCCCAAAAUUCUCCAAGGGAGGAAGGAAUUCUGACCUUAAAUCAUUCAAAUGCUGAUGGUUUAGACUUCUGGUUCCAUAAGAGACCUUCAAGCAUGGAUAAUUCAAAUCCUUGCAAUAAUGGUUCUCUUAGAGAAUGUCCUGGUUCCUGUUAUGAAGAAGUUGAGGAUGACAUAUCAAGUGAAGGAGAGCUAAACCAUAUAGAAAAUUCUAUCUGCUCCCCUUCCAUGUUCACAAAUUCUAAAUACAUCCUUGACCUUAGAGACCCCUGUUAUCCCUCUCCUUUUAAGUCUCAUGAUGAUCCUAGCAAUCCAUCAAGACGACCAAACCAUAGGAGUCAUGAAGACCAUAAGGAUGGCAUGUCAAGUAAUGCCAUAGAAGGAGAGCUAAGCCAUAGAGAAGAUUCUAUCAGCUCUCCUGUCUUGAUCACAAGUUCUAAAUGGCUAGAAUUUGUAGAAUGGAUGGAUAAGGAAGAAGCCUUAAUGGAUUCUGACUUUGGCUCAAUUUCAAAUGGUGAGUUCUUGACUCCCUUUGAAGAUGAGAUUCAUCCAACUACAGAAGAGGACAUAGGUGAGACCAAUCCAGGAGAAACUCCGAUCAUUCAAAUUGGAGACAAAGAUAACAUUAAUGAGCAUGGAAUUUAUUUCAUAGCCAAUUCGUUUACUCUAUGCUCAUAUGAAACAUCUUCCCAAUCUAUUGGUCUCUCUGUUGACGGUCCUUAAUGCUCAUAUUUAACCAUCAACUAAUCAUGGAAAAGGAUCCAAAUGGAACCAACACCUAGACUUAGGGUUUUAUCUGACAGAAUUCCACGAGUUUUGGUGUUUGUGUAUUUCUGCAGGGGGUUAUCAGGAAAUAUAAAAGAAAGGCCCACACGUCGGGUUUACAUAGAGAUAUUAACGUGCCGCACAAUUUUCUAUCAUCUAGAAGACUCCAGAAGCCACAGGACCGAAGCGGAGGCCGAGAGGACACAGGGACAGGGCGCCCGCCCUCCUUUCCUGGGCGCCCGCCCUCAGCUAGAGUCCAAUCAGGACUCUCUUUCGGGAUAUUGCUCCACCGACCUAAAGGAUCAACAAUAACCAUUCAAUCAAUGUCGGUUUGAUCCGACGGUCCAGAUUCACUUGAAGGGACUAUAAAACCAGACCCCCUGGCCCCUGGAGAUCAUACCUCUUCUACAGAAUCAAAGUUAGGGUUUCAAUUCUUCAUCCAAGUAGAGAGGAUCCCUCUAGUUCUUCUAGUUCUACCUCUAGUUCAUCUAGAUCUAGUUCUAGUUCUAGUUCAUCUAGUUCUAGUUCUAGUUAGUUCUAGUUGUAAUCUAGAAAUUAGGGAGAGAGAAGAGGAGAGCGGAGAAGGAGGAGCCGGAUCUGUCGGAUCUUCCUCAACAUUGUACUUUUGCAGCAACUGGUUCGUUCUUCAUCGUUCUCCAGGUUCUUCAACUCAUAACUCCUGAGUUCUCUAAUUACUUUUAUUUACAUUCAAGUUAUUUAUUGGAUUCCCGCUUGCAUCAAGUGCUCUAAUCUUUGAAACAUUAGAGUAGUAAUUAAUAGAUUAGACGUGGUGUUUAGUCUUGCGAUUACCUAGAAUUGCACCCAAUCCUGCGGAUUGUUGUGGUAGCCCUAGGGUAGUGACAGCCCUAACGGUCGACGUAUUCCACCACGUUCGGAUCGGUGUUUGUAGGACCGUAGUCAGACCUUCCUAGCCCCCUUCUCAUCUCUUUCCGUGGUUAGUGCUCUGAUGUCCCGAUAUAGAUAAUCUUGAAGUAAUUCUUGAUUCUUAGAUCAGCUAGAGAACUCUUAGGAAACUUCCUCUCUUCCCACCAAAAAUAAUUAUAUAGUUAUCCUUGGGCGAUCUUGGAUUUUAAUUAGUACACUCACGUUCUCUGUGGAAAAUCGAUACUCUGGAAUACUGCCGGGUGAAGGCUACAUCGGUAUCCGUGCGCUUGCGGAUUUUUCUGUUUGCGUUUAAAAUACCCAACAAGCUUUCUGGCGCCGUUGCCGGGGAACGGUAGCUGUGCUAGUUUCGAACCAAGUCGUCCGUGUAUCCUUUUUAUUUUUCUUUUUUUUACCACACUCAACUUAUCAUUUUCACCAUACCACAUGGAUUUCACUCUAAGCAUCAAUGAGCAUGGAAUUUAUUUCAUAGCCACUUCAUUUACUCCAUGCUCAUAUGCAACAUCUUCCCAAUCCAUUGGUUUUUCUAACAUCACCACAUUCGAGAUCUCCAACCCCCUCAUCCUUUCUAUUAAUAAACACUUUAAAAGGGCAGUUGUCGAUGCAUAUGUCUAUAAGAAAUAUUGCAGAUCUCGUUGAGUUGAUCUUGAUAUAGGUCAGCGUUGGAGGGGAAACCACUUCGCCGACAUAAAUUGAUGGUUUCCCAAGGACAAGCUUAGCGUCCUAAAAUAAGCACUGAUCAGACCAUAACAUAAACUUUUAAUUAUUUGCAACAUUACCUUGUGUGUUGAGCAUAUCAGGAUAAUUGUAAAAAUAUUCCUUCGGGUAUUCUUGUCACUGACCUUUUCAGGAUUGGAGCAAGAAGAUCGGAUGAAUGACAAGCACAAGGUAUGUACAACCAAUCAUCAUACAACAUUGAAUUAAAUUCAUCCAAACUUAAAUUUUGCAAAAUUCAAGCUUGGGGAAGUACUUUACAUAAAAACAUCCUUUGCCAUGUUGCUAUGUUGGUUGUCCCUACCUUUGAGACAUGCUCAAUUUGUUAAAUACUAAUCACACUGCUUCAUCUCCAAUUAAGUAGAUCUAUAUAAAUGCUCUCAUGCUACCUUUAGUUGCUUUAGUAUAUGUCUAGGUUUGGAGUAGUUUCAUUUAUCUCUUAAUUAAGCAUGGUGCUUAGUUUAGGAAUGAUGAUCUCAUUUCCAAAGGAUUUUAAAUUAAGCAUGAUGCUUAGGUUAAAAUUCCCUCCUAAAUCAAAUUAGACAUGGUGUCUAGGUUGAUCUUUGAGCCGAUAGUAUGCUAUAGUAGAUAUUGGAUAUUUUGUUGGACUAACCCCUGCAGGAAAAAUUUCAAUAUCGACCUGGGAAGUCCUGAGAUAAACUCACAUUGGAGACAAAGAGAGACACACAUGAAGUUUAACAAUUUACACAAGGAAGGCAUAGCUCACAAGAGAUGAUCCAUGGAGGGUGCCACAAACACGAUGCACAACCGCUAAGAGAGGAAAGCUUCCACAAGGUGAUACUGUACCAUCACUCUUCAAGUAAGGUAAUAUCUUAAGGUACUUGACUAUCACUUUUAUAAGUUUCUCCUUGGUUCUAGCGUUCACAUGAAUAAAGAGACAAACAUGUAUGAUUUAUAACUCUAGAUUAACCAACCCAAUAGAUUCAACAUGUUUAGUCCUUCCACCUUUGUGGUCCCACACUCCUAAUCUUAUGAACUAAAAUGUUGCACACUCAAUCUUUGGAAGAUAUAUUUUAUAAAAAAACAACAUAAAUAUAGAUAGAUUAUCUUUCCAUUAGGUUGAGCGAUUUGAUCUGACAAAUAUUUUAAAUGCUACACUCAUGAUCUUAUUAUCCAUCAACUUUGUCUUGCUCACUAUGCUUGAGGUUAGAGAAGAACAAAUACACUUUUGGUUAUGUUGGUGUUUUCCACCAACAGGGCCCAUGCACUUGAUCUCUGCCUUGUCUCUAUGAGCAGGUACACUUCGAGCAAAAUAUGACAGACUUUUACAACUCCCAGACUCCACCAAGUGAAGAACCUAGAUCUACAAGCACAAACACACUGGAGAUACUGGACACUCAGGCAAUCACUGCCCUAAGAUGCUGGAGGACAUAAUUACUGGAGUAACCCCGUUGUGGAAGUAAUUACUGACCUUCUGCCGGUCAAGAGAGACAACCCAGGACGCCCCGUCAUCCCGAUCUCCAUCGGCAUGGUGAACUUCCCAGAAGCACUCUGCGACUUUGGCUCCAGCGUCAACAUUAUGCCCAGGGUACUCUAUGAAAAAUUCUUUACACAUCCUUUAUCAGAAACAACCAUGUGUUUGCAGCUUGCAGAUCAGAAACUAAGUUUCCCAAAGGGAAUAUUGAAGAACCUUUACGUCUGAGUUGGUACCUUAUACGCUCCAGCAGACUUCGUGGCGAUAGAGACUGAUACUGAUGAGAGGGCACCCAUCAUCCUAGGGAAGCCAUUCCUGAACACCUCGGGAGCUGUCAUCUACGCUAGUGCUGCCAAGAUCAGUUUCUACAUCAAGGGGAAGAAGGAGACAUUUUCCUUCAAGAAACAAGACUACACAAAUCCCAGAGCAAUCCCGACAUGAACCAAGGAAGAGGACCAACAGGAGGAACAAGAACAAGCAAAUGUGUACCGAGUCAGCUAAGAUGGUCACUGCAGCUCAAGGAGGUCAAGAUCGUCAACUCAAAUCACCGUUCCUGACCAAAAAGGACGACCCAAGAAUGCCAAGCAUCCAGUGCUCCAUUAAUGGAUACAACUUUCAGAAGACACUCUACGACACCGGAUCUGACGUCAACAUAAUGGCCGCAGUCACUUAUCAGCUCCUGCAUGGAACCAUGUCCCUACAACCAACAUACAUUCAGCUCCAGAUGAUUUUAAGAUUAUUGACAUGGGAGAAGACAAGUACGAUCCACCCAUCAUCCUUGGAAGACCGUUCCUCAGCAAUGUUAAAGCAAUCAUCUACAUUGGAACCGGAGAUGUCCACAUGCACUUCCCUUCUGACAAGGUACGCCGCUAUUUUACUGACAUUAACUAUAUAGUUGAAGACUCUAUGCAGGUCAGGACAAGAAGAAGACGACGCAACCGUAACCAGAGGAGGAAAAUCAUAAAGGAUAGAUGGGCAGACUACGAAGGAGAAGUGGUAAUGCCUGAAGACAUACAACUUGAACAGAACUGUCCUGAGGAGACCGUAGCACCAAGGCAGGUGUGGAGAAAGAAGAUAGUUAUACAUGAAGAGGAAGCACCGUCGGAACCACCGACUACGCCAUCCAGCGAAUCCCAGAAUGACUCAGGAAACGGAGAGUCCCGUUCGGAGGACUUAAAAACACCGAACGCCUUGCCAAGUGGUAAACUUGGUAGUUAUCUUUUUUCUUUCAAUUAUUUAAAAUAGUUUGCUUAGUUAAUCAGGUUCAUAUCAUCUUGAAAAGAAAAUAAAAAUAUUAAAAAUAGUAAGCCCCAUGUGAGUAUGCUCAUGGCAUAAAACCCAUAAGUACAUCCACUGUGGUGGCGUAAAAAUAAAAUAAGUAUAUUCCUGUCCUAUAAAAAAUAAAUUAUAAAAAUAAAUUUAUGAUCCUACAAAAGAGAGUAAUAUUUAUUGAGGAGGCUCAACAUGAUAAAGGCUAGAUAUUUAUGCUAACACUUAACUAGUUCCACAAAGCUUUGUUGUCUAUUUGAGCUCCACAGAAUUAAAGGAUCAAAGAAGACUAGCAGACAGAGGACAUCCUAAUCACUGUCAGGGUGCUGCCGAUAUUCAAAUACACCUCCACCACCUACUAGCUACAUCAAAAGAAAUUGCGUCAAAAUCCAGCUUGGGGGAGAGCAUCCCCAUUUAUCCAGCUAAUUGUUUCUACUCACGUUUAUACUUUACUCUAAUAAUAAAAAGAUGCAUAAUCAUAAAAACCCAAAUAAAGAUUUUGUGCUUAUAUAUAUAUCUUUGCUUAGCUUGCUAAAUAAAUAAAUAAAGUUUGCUAUGAACCCUCAUGAUAAGCUCUCAUAUGAAAAUGAUGAAUAGUUGCUCUGCCAUGACUAGUUCUCAAAAUUGAAAUCUCUCUCAAGUUUAGGCAUGACUGUUAUUAAUUAAGAUUUGCUCUAAACCUAAACUUGUGGGAAGAGUACUUGAUCUGAAGUCUAAGUCGUUAACGGAUAUGAUAUGGGAAGGUUGAGCUGCUGUUUAUCUGUUCCUAGAGAUGCUAGAAUUCUGGAGAAUUUUAUCUUUGAAAAUCUUUAAAAUGUUGCAUGAUGAGUUCCUGUAUGAUGACAGUUUAAAUUCCUACCACAGCCAUAUAUACAUGCUUGCUAGACUAUGAACCACACAUUUACUUUACUACUUAUGAGCAUUGAGUGUGGUCAAGCUGUGUAGACCCUAGGAGCUUGUCAUGUGGUUAAAUCAAAAUUCACUUGCACGUUCACUCACACAUGCUACUUCUACUCCGGAAGUACGCAUCCACAUAUAUCCACCCAUUUCCAUCUCCAGAACCACCCAAAAAUAUUCUACUCCUAAUCCGGGAGAGAAUAGCCAAAAAUAUUUCUGUUCUUCCCUGUGAAAUAAAUGCUCAAGUUAUCUUGUUACUACCACUUGCUAUAUUAUCUCAUGAGAUGAGUGCUCUAAUAGAAAAAAGAGAGAAAAAAAUACGAGGAAAUAAAAAGGGGCAAGUGCCCGGAACCUCGAAAGAAAAGAAAAAAAAAGAAAAAAAAAAGUGAGACGAGAGGUAAAAAUGGACAAGUGUCCGACAGUAGAAUUAGGGGUACAAGAUACCCACCUGAGAGAAAAGAAAAAAGAAAAUAUAGAGCAUCUCAUUCUCCUCAAAAAGUUUCAAAAGAGCAAGAAAGGUGUGUAUCCCCUCAAAAGAGCAUAAGUGGAAUUAGACUUUCACCAUUAUCACCAUCAUCACCAUACACCAUUCAUUCACCACACAUGCACAUCUUGAUUUGACUUAUUGACUUGUUCUUCUGGAUCCAUGGUUUGACUAUGCAAUAAAUGUCUUGUAAGUAUGUAUUAGCUGUCUCCCACCUAUGAGCUCCAGAUAUCAAAAGCCUUAUUAGAGUAGGGUGAGAGAGAAGCCAAUGCCACUAUGCCUCAUACCAAAAAUACCACAUACUUUGAGAGAAGGCAUACACCAUUACUGCCUUGGUAAGGAUCCAGAAAUACCACAAAAAAAGAGACUAGAGAGAGUCAUACAAGGAAUCUCUGAGUUUUAUUUGAAAAUAUGCAAAAACUCUAGAGCUAUAGUUAAUUGAAGAACAUGAGACAUGGCGCUUGACUAGACCGUUCUAUCUUUUAACUGCUCAAGACACAAGUGACGGUUACAAGCCCCAUGGUGGAAGGUAAUAUGAGUAAGUUUAAAUCUUAACAGUUUACCCUAACCCAGAGAUGAGAUCUUGUUUGAACGCAUGUAUAUCUUUAAGGCAUGAAACCACUGUAGAAACUCUUGAGUCCAUCUUUGCUCAGGGACGAGCAAAGGUUAAGCUUGGGGGAGCUUGUUGACGGUCCUUAAUGCUCAUAUUUAACCAUCAACUAAUCAUGGAAAAGGAUCCAAAUGGAACCAACACCUAGACUUAGGGUUUUAUCUGACAGAAUUCCACGAGUUUUGGUGUUUGUGUAUUUCUGCAGGGGGUUAUCAGGAAAUAUAAAUGAAAGGCCGACACGUCGGGUUUACAUAGAGAUAUUAACGUGCCGCGCAAUUUUCUAUCAUCUAGAAGACUCCAGAAGCCACAGGACCGAAGCGGAGGCCGAGAGGACACACGGACAGGGCGCCCGCCCUCCUUUCCUGGGCGCCCGCCCUCAGCCAGAGUCCAAUCAGGACUCUCUUUCGGGAUAUUGCUCCACCGACCUAAAGGAUCAACAAUAACCGUUCAAUCAAUGUCGGUUUGACCCGACGGUCCAGAUGCACUUGAAGGGACUAUAAAACCAGACCCCCUGGCCCCUGG